rnacentral:lncRNA from 1 species
UUCAAUUAGCUACAAGAGCUCUUUGUUCACUAUUAGAGGAAAGGAAAGGGGUGAUGGGGUAUGAGGGAAGGAGUUGUAAUCGGGAUCAGGAAGGUUCUGUGUUCAGAAGGGGUCUUCCUUGUGGGGUUGAGAGGGCCGUUUUUUUCUGUUGCUUAGGCCUUCUUGUUAGGGACGUUCUUUCUUCCUCAAGGGUUGGUUGUAGUAAGGGUGGGGGACAUUUGUUUUUCUUUUUCCUUUUUCCUUUUUCAUGCUUCCCUUUAGGCCUUUUUUGUAUACUAUGCAUAUGCUUCAUUGCACCCUUUUGCAAGUGUCUUAAUAUGUCAUGCUUAUUUACCUAUAAAAAAAAAUGUACAAUUUCCUAGGAUGGGCGAGAGUGUAUAUAGGUGACUAUUUGUAGGACUUCAUUGAUUGGUUAAGCUCUAAGUAGGAAGAGAGUAUUGUUUUUUGUGUCUAUCUUCAUUUUGUGUGGCCUUUUGGCAUCUUUAUAUGUAUUGUCUAUACUUUUGUGACUUUUUUUUUUGGGCGCUUUUUUUUUAAAAUUGAUCUUUGCCUAAAAAAAUGAAGAAGAGAGAGAGUGGAGUGGCAUGGGGAAUUCACUCACUGUUAUUUUUUAUUUUGCAUAGGCUAAAGCGUCAAAUGAAGUUCUAUAAGAGUAAGAGCAGUAUAUGUAUUGGCAACUGGGUGCAUUCAAAGUGUGGAAGAAGAUAAACACAAGUGCUUCUAUGAAUUUCAUUGGGAAUAAAAUUGUUGAGUGACAUUAACAAGAAACAUUUAUGGCUGAUAAGCUGAAUUGUUAACCUUGCUCUACUAUAUGGGACCAAAAGUACAAAGAAACUAACAAGUCAUAUGAAACAUAUGGUGAGGUUUCCUUUUUGCAACAGUAUUUGUUGAUUCCUGCCAGCACAUGAAAGUUGGUACAAGUGCCUUGAGAUGUGAACCUGGGUUUUAGAGAAUCAAAUGGAUCAUGCAUAAAUUAUUGAAUUAUCUACAUACUUCUCGUGAAAUACAGCAAGUUAGCAAAAAUAAUCAUCAAUAAAGAUAAUAUCUAUUGCCACUGUUAGGAUAGGAGUAGGUCCAUAUAUAUCAGAAUGAACCAAGUCAAAUUGGAGAUUGCAUGGUUUCACUAAUGAAAAAGGCUAUGCCUAUCAUUUUUCAUGUUGACAAGCCAUAGGAAAUGACAUGGACUCCUAUAUGGAGCUGCGGACAACAGUAUUCACAGAGAAUCUAAGCUGAACUUGAAUAUGGGCAAGCCUACUGUGUCAAAAAUCAAAAGGGGACCAAAACAAGCCAAACUAGUAAAUGUCGUAAUCAAUUGCAAAUGGUCCCAUAAGAAAUGAAAAUAUUUGAUGAUACAUUCAGUCUACAUUCCCCGAUAAUACAAACUAGUCUACAUUCCCUGAUGUUUUAGGUUGGUUUAAAUGCGGUUUUGUAAUAUGAUUUUCAGAUAUAGAGAUCAGAUUAAAAUUUCUAUAUCUCUACAAUUAUAUGAUGAAUUUUUGCUUUGAAGAGAUGAUCUAGCCCAUGGUAUUUCUAAUACGUGCACUUGUUUGCAUUUGAAAACUGUCUUAGCAGAAGUUGUAAAGAAGAAGAAGAAGAAAAGUAAAAGCAAGUGAGUGCCCAUAUCUAGUUUUGGUUAUCCUAUUAUCAGUAAAGCUUUUUCACCUGAAAGGUUGAUGGUUUUUCUUCCAUGGUAUGCAGGAAAAAGAAAGAACUACCUGAGCAGACUGAUCCACCAUCCAUUCCUGUUGUUGAACUUUUUCCCUCUGGGGAGUUCCCUGAGGGUGAAAUUCAACAGUACAAAGAUGAGUGAGUAUAAGCUAUUUUUCUUUGACCAUAAUAACUUGUAAUUUGCUUAAGUAUACACAAAACAUAAUUCCUAUAACAUAGCUGGAAUAUGGUUUAUUCUGAGUAUUAUUUUUGUUUUGGGCUCAGGUUGUACAUUUGUAUUGCUCCUUUACUUUUGUCGAUCAAAGUCUGUUGUAUUCAUGUCAAAUGGAAAAAUAUGCUCAUGCUGCUCUAUGGUUGAUCAUGAGAAGGCCCUGAUUUGUGGGUUAAAUGCUCAUUCAAUUGGUUUAAGUGCAACAAGGAGCUGAUUUUAUUGUUCUAGUGGUCAUAUAUAAGUAGCACAAGAAUAGAUACAGGACAAUGUGAUAAGUCAAACACAUGCUAACAUGACAACUCCUAAAAAUAGGAUAUGGGCUAGACAAAGAUACAACAAGAAUAAUACCUGUCAGGGCAUGGCCUAGUGGUAAGGGCAAGUGCUGGGAUGUGUGGUAGAGGCACACGGUCUUGGGUUCAAUCCUUGCCAUUGGAAAUCCCUAGAUUACCCGAAGCUGGCUGUGGCAGGUGUUGUCAGUCUCCCUGGGGUUUGGAAGCCAUGGGUGGGUCCAAAGGGCCAUGCCAUUAUGGGAUUUUCUGGUUAAAGAAAAAAAUAAAAUAAAAAUACAGGCACUGUCCCUUGCAUUUGUUUAGAGAACUGUCUCCAAAAUGUAGUAUACAAAACCAUGUUGAUUUAAUAUUAGGAGCUAAUCUAUGCAGAAAAAUGAAGAAGGUUGUGUUUGUAGGAUUUUAUUAAGAAUUUUUGUUCAGUAGGGGAGGAUGCUUAGGGGAGGAAGAAGUCGGUUUGUGGUGGAGUCCAAAUUGUUUGAGAUUGUGGUUGAGGAUUCGGGUGGAAAGCUGAAAGGAUGUGUAUGGGAGAGAAGUAGGGGUUUUGCUUCUUGGAUUAGAUUUGGGGAGGCUAGUCUUCGUUGUCUUUUGGAAGGCGUUGAAACCUGUUGUAGAGAGGUUGGUGAUCAAAGAUGGGUUAUUGAAUGGAUGGAGGAAAACAGAAAGUUUAGAAUGGAGCGACGGCUGAACAAGGCAGGGAGGUUCAUCCUAUGCUCUGUUCGAGAUAUAGAAGCUAAAAGACAUAGCAUUAUCUUCCCUGAAGGGAAGGGUCAGGCCAGUGGCUGGAACUCUUUGGCCGUGAGGUCGAGAGGUCUUGGAGUGAUCCCGUCAAAAGGAUUAAAGUUUACCAAUGUGCCAGAGGAUCCAUUGAAGCCGAAGGGAGUCCUGAAGGUUCAGUGGAAGGAAAAGGGGUGGAAACGAUGUCUUUUGCAGAAGCUAUUAAGUCGACCCUGAGAAGGGCAGGUGAGUCAGUGUGGUUAGAGGUAGGGGAAAAAGAGGUGUGUGGAAGACUAGAGCAACUAAGACAUUGUCUGAUAGGGAGGUGGGGUUCUAUCUCAGCUCCAUUACUUGAGUUGGAUUACGUUAGUAACUGGACCCGUCAAAAUUGGGAGGUUAAGGGGAAGAUGACGAUUGCUGUGUCAGGUAGGGGUAUUAUGAUGUUUGAUUUUGAGCUGGCUCAAGAGGCUGACCGUGUUUUGGCCAGAGGUAAAAGAAGCAUUAAGGAAAAUUGUCUUAUCUUGGACAGAUGGAACCUAGAGGUGGGGUGUUCCUGCAAGAUCUCCAAUGCCGUAGAGACAUGGGUAAGGGUGGUCGGGCUCCCACUCCAUUUUUGGAGUUUUGAGGUGUUCAAAAGAAUUGGAGAUGGGUGCAGAGGAUUUAUAGUAGUGGAUGAAGGAACCAAAUCCAUGUCUGAGUUGCAAUGGGCUAGGAUUUUGGUGAAGCGUGCGGAUUGGGAAGUCCCUAACUCUGCUCAUAUAGUUUUGGGGACGGGUUGCUUUUCUCUCCAACUGUGGUGGGAAUCUGCACCUUGGUUCUCGCAGGUGGUGCCAACGGGAAGCUCCUCCGGGAAGGGCGGGCUAAGGGUAGGCGAAGAAGCUGCUGAGUCUUAUCAGGUGGCUUGUUGCGAGAGUCAAAGGAAGAGGGUGGAGCAGUUGAGGUUGCAGGCGGAGGUACAAGACGUGGCGCUCGAUGGAGGAAAACCACCCAUGCCUUCUGAUGAGGCCUUUGCAGAAGAGAUUGUUGAGAGGAGAUGGGUUGGUGGUCCAGCCGAUCUAGUGGGAGGGGGUAAGGAGUCCUCUCCCAUCAGUCUGGACGAAUUUGGAUGUGGGCUGGCAGGCCCUUGCAGUGGGCCUAGCUGUGGACCUUCAGCUUUAAGCUGUGGGGAGGCCCAAGACUUUUGUCUUGUAAGCCGGGUGGUUUUGGGCCGGGAUCCAAGGCCCAGUCACCUAAAAGGCCCCUUAAGUAACAGAGAGGGGGUGUCGGGUGAGGCCUGUGGGCCUGUUCGAGCUGUCGCAAUGGGAGAAGGGGCUUUUUAUGGGAACGAGACCCCAAUCUCUCCUCCUAGGGCUCGGGUUAUGCAGUCGCCAUCCAAAAUCAAGGGUGGAAGUCGAGACGCAAGCAGAGAAGCCGACCCCCUCGUCGGGUUGUCGAGAGACUCGACGAUGCUAUGCUCCUCACAGUUGAUGGAUCGGGGGCACUUGACUAACGAAGCGCUUUGCGAAGAGGCUUCUAGGUAUGUCGAUCUUUGUUUUAUUCCAUUGGGGGGUUGGGAUCUCUCUUCUUCUUCUCCUUCUUCUUUCGAACGGGUUACUUUGAAUGAGGGGUCCUUCGGUGUUUUGGCGUCUGAGGUUAACGAAGAGGAGUAGACUCCGUUGAGCAUCAUUCUAGCUGACGGUAGCAAUGGGGUGCUAGCCUCUAAGGGAGAGAAGCCAGUGAUUAGAGAAGGUGCGGGAGGGGAGUUUGAGGGGUUGCUUUAGGACCUUGAUGGAUGCCGUUGGGACGACAGCUGCCUGGCGAGGUUUAGUAAAUUCUUGGGCUUCUCCACGGAAGGUUUUCAAGGCGAAAUCCUGAAUUUGCUCCUAAGGACUAAGAGAAGAAGAGAGCAAAAUCUGAAGAAGGGCUCGUCAGGGACCACUAAGUUUGAUCGGGAGUUGAAAAAAGUUGAGUGGUCUAUUAAUUAUAAUGGGGUGAGAAAGGAGAAUUCUUUGGCCAGAGAAGGUGGGGUUAGAAUCUCGACAGGUUAGAUGAAGCUANNNNNNNNNNNNNNNNNNNNNNNNNNNNNNNNNNNNNNNNNNNNNNNNNNNNNNNNNNNNNNNNNNNNNNNNNNNNNNNNNNNNNNNNNNNNNNNNNNNNUUCUUUGGCCAGAGAAGGUGGGGUUAGAAUCUCGACAGUUAGAUGAAGCUAAAGAUUCUAUCCUGGAAUGUCAGAGGGGCUAAUGACAGAAAUAAAAGGAAGGUAAUCAAGACCCUAAUUAGGUCGCAAAAAGUGGAUGUGGUGUGCUUGCAGGAGACCAAAAUUCAAGAAAUGUCCCAAGGGGUUAUUCACAGUCUUGGUGUGGGAAGAUUCUUAGGUUGGGGAGCUGUGAAUGCAAGGGGGGCAGCUGGAGGGGUGGUGGUUUUCUGGGAUAAGAGAGUGUUGGAGUUAGUAGGCCUGGAAGUGGGAAUCUUCUCAAUCUCGUGUCGGUUCAAGAACUGCGAGGAUGGGUUUACGUGGUUCUUUACGGGGGUCUACGGACCUACUUUGAAAAGUUAUAGAGAACCUUUUUGGGAAGAGUUAGGUGCCAUUCGAGGACUGUGGUCUGAUCCUUGGUGCAUCGGUGGGGACUUCAAUGUUAUUAGAUUUCCCAGUGAACGUAGUAGAGAAGGAAGAUUGUCUGGUACUAUGAGAAGGUUUUCGGAGGUGUUAGAUGAGUUGGCUUUAAGAGAUUUGCCUCUUCAGGGGGGUCCUUAUACGUGGAGUGAAGGGCUGAAUGGCCAAUCCAGGUCAAGACUAGAUCGCUUCUUGAUUUCGGAGGAUUGGGAAAAUCAUUUUAGUGGAGUGUCUCAGAGCACACUCCCAAGGCCUGUGUCUGACCACUUCCCAAUCCUGUUAGAUGGGGGUAGGGUGAGGAGAGGUCCAAUUCCUUUUCGUUUUGAGAACAUGUGGUUGAAGGAGGAGGGCUUUAAGGAGCUUCUUAAGGGCUGGUGGCAAGGUUUUAAUUACAGUGGGUCUUAUAGCUUUGUCCUCUAAGAAAAACUAAAGGCCUUAAAAGUUAAGCUGAAGAAUUGGAAUAAGGAAAUCUUUGGUAAAGUGGGGGUGAACUUGAGGAUGGCUUUGGACAAAGUUUCUUUUUGGGAUGAUCAGGAGAGGCAGAGAGCUUUAAACGAGUAGGAAUUAAAGGCUAGAAAGGAGGCCAGGGCGGAGUUUAAAAAGUGGGCGAUUAUGGAGGAAAUCUCGUGGAGGCAGAAAUCAAAAGAAACAUGGUUGAAGGAAGGCGAUAAGAACACGGGUUUCUUUCAUAAGAUGGCAAAUUCUAACAGUAGAAGGAAUUGUUUGAAAAAAUUAAAGUCAAUGGUAACUGGCUCUCAGAAGAUCAAGAAAUUCAAAGGGGAGUGGUGAGGGCCUAUCAGGACCUGUUAUCGGAUCCUGGUGGCUGGCACCCGAGUAUGAGCAGUUUGGAGUUUGAUAGAAUUGGGAGUGAGGAGGCUGCCAGGCUGGAGGAGAUGUUUUCUAUGGAAGAGGUGUAUUUGGCCCUCUCAGAGCUGAAUGGGGACAAGGCUCCAGGCCCGGAUGGAUUUCCCAUUGCUUUCUGGCAGUUUUGUUGGGAUUUUGUCAAAGACAAAAUAAUGGGCUUCUUUAAGGAUUUUUUUGAGAGGGGGAAAUUUGUUAGAAGUCUAAACUCCACGUUCCUGGUUUUAGUCCCAAAGAAAGGCGGGGCUGAUGAUUUACGCGAUUAUAGACCCAUCAGCUUGGUGGGAGGUCUGUACAAGAUUCUCGCCAAGGUCUUAGCUAAUAGAUUGAAGAAGGUAGUGAGUAAGGUGGUGUCUCCUACCCAAAAUGCCUUUGUUGAAGGAAGGCAAAUCCUUGAUGUUGCGUUAAUUGCUAAUGAGGCCAUAGACUCGCUGCUGAAAGGGGAUGAAACUGGUGUGUUAUGCAAAUUAGACCUAGAGAAGGCUUACGACCAUAUUAACUGGGAUUUUUUGAUGACAGUGAUGCAAAAAAUGGGUUUUGGGGAGAAAUGGACUGGUUGGAUAAGGUGGUGCAUCUCCACUGCUUCCUUCUCAGUUUUGAUUAACGGAUCGCCUGCGGGUUUUUUCCAGAGCACUCGAGGGUUAAGGCAAAGGGACCCCAUUUCCCCUUACUUGUUUGUUUUAGGAAUGGAGGCCUUAAGCUGCCUCAUUAACAGAGCAGUUAGGGGGGGCUUCCUGACCGGUUGCAGGUUAAGGGGUAGGGGUGGCAAUGGGAUUCAAGUGUCUCACUUGUUGUUCGCGGAUGAUACAUUGGUUUUUUGUGAGGAUUCCCAAGAUCAAAUGGCUGUUCUAAGCUGACUUUUAAUGUGGUUUGAAGCCAUCUCUGGUUUGAGCAUCCAUUUGAACAAGAGUGAAAUUCUGCCGGUGGGAAGAGUUGAGAAUGCUGAGGUUUUGGCUUUUGAACUGGGAUGCAAAGUGGGUUCUCUUCCCUCCACUUAUUUGGGGCUGCCUCUAGGUGCUCUUCACAAAUUGGUGGCUGUGUGGGAUGGUGUGGAAGAAAGGAUGAGGAAGAGACUCGCUUUGUGGAAGAGGCAGUUCAUUUCUAAGGGGGGGAGAGUCACUCUCAUUUGGAGCACUUUGGCUAGCAUGCCGAUCUAUCUUAUGUCCUUGAUGCGUAUGCGGGUGGGGUGCGUUGGAGAAGAGGCCUCAUCUUGUUAAGUGGGAUGUGGUUCGUUCUCAUAAAAUGAAGGGUGGUUUGGGGAUUAGAAAUUUUUCUAUCCUCAAUAGGGCCCUGUUGUGUAAAUGGAGCUGGCGCUUUGCGGCUGAAAGAGAGUCUUUUUGGAAGCUUAUUAUUAGUAAGAAGUAUGGGGAAGAAGGAGGAGGGUGGAUCUCUUGUGAGGUUAGGGAAGGCUAUGGGGUGGGGUUGUGGAAGGAAAUUAGUAAGGAAGGCGCUCUGAUGUUUAAAAACGUUUCCUUCACUGUAGGGGAUGGUAGAAGGGUGAAAUUUUGGAAGGACAUUUGGUGUGGAAACAUUCCCCUUUGUGAGACUUUUCCUUCUUUGUUUGCCUUUGCGGUCUCUCAAGAUGCGUGGGUAGAGGAUUGUUGGGAUUCUAUGGGGGAUGCGGGGGGAUGGUAUCCUUGUUUCUCUAGACCCUUUAAUGAUUGGGAGAUGGAGGUGGUGGCGAGUCUCCUUUCGUUCCUUCAAGGAAAGAGGCUUAUUGUUGGGAUGGAGGAUAGAGUGUGGUGGAAUGCUUCUAAGAAUGGGAUUUUCUCUGUAAAAUCCCUUUACAAUACUCUUGAUUCUAGUGGUGCAGUCCUGUUUCCUUGGAGAAUCAUUUGGAGCCCUUGUGUGCCUACAAAGGUGGGUUUUUUUUGCUUGGGAAGCUUCUUAGGGGAAGAUGCUAACCCAAGAUCAACUCAAAAGGAGGGGCUGGAUUUUAGCAGGUGCUUCUUGUGUUGUGAUGAUGAGGAGACAAUAAACCACAUCCUUAUUCAUUGCCCCAAGGCGAGGGUGUUGUGGAAUCUUGUGCUUUCGUUGUUUGGGGUUUAUUGGGUCCUUCCGCUUACGGUUAGAGACACUCUCCUUGGUUGGUCUGCUUCCUUUGUGGACAAAAAGCGUGGAAAGACUUGGCGGGCAGCUCCCCUUUGUUUAUUUUGGACGGUUUGGAAAGAAAGAAAUAGGAUAGUUUUUGAUAAUGAGGCUUUGUCGAUCCAAAGAUUGAAAAACUCCUUCAUUUGUAAUAUUUUCUCUUGGUCUAAGUCUUGUUUAGAUGGAGAACCCCGUUCCUUAAUUAACUUUGUUGAUUGGUUGGGUUCUAAUUGAGGGUUGGUGAGUGUUUGCUUUCUUGUGUUUUUGUUGAGGGGUUUCUUGUGUAUACUCCCUGUAUGCUUUGGGUUGCCUUCUUGCUCCCUUCUUUUAAUAAAUUUUCUGUGUUUUUUCUAUCAAAAAAAAUAUUAGGAGUUAAUCUGCCAAACUUGCCUUAUUACAUGAUGGGCUAGUUUAAGAGUUCUUACAAGGGAAUUAUUUGGGAAUCUAGUGUGGCUGUGUGCUAUUCUAGUCCUCUUUAUUUGGGACUCUUGAUUUCCAUAAAAAAAAUUAGCUAGGUAGAACGGAACAAAAUCUGACGAAACAGAUAAGACUAAAGAAAACGAUUUUACUAAGGAAACUUCUAAAGAGGAUGAUACCCAAGCUUUCGCAUCUAGAACAAAAGGGGUCAAAUGAAUAUUGGAAAGUAAGGACGUUAAUCUUUCAAGAUUUACAAUCUUUGCAUCUGGUAGAUUGCGAUGAAAGGUAAGAUCCCAAGACAAAGAGGUGUUAUUACCCAAGAUGGCUGAAAUAGGACAGUUUUUAGUAGUGGUGACUCUAAAAAGACUUGGAAAUUGUAAAUAGAAAGGUUGGUCCCCCUACCACAAAUCUUCCCAAAAAAUGGAUUCUAGACCGAUCUCACCUACCACAAAGCGAGUGUGUGUAGAAAAAACUUAGAGCAUAUGUGCAAUGGCCUUCCAAGAGUAACAAUGUGACCAUCUAACUAAAUUGUUGUCAUCCCAUCCAUUAGAAUAUGUCCCAUAGGUACUCAAUACAAUCUAAUGCCAGAGGAUAGAACUAUCCUUAGGAAACCUCCAAAGCCACUUCCCUAAUAAAGCUUGGUUCCUCAGAGAAAUUUUCCCAAACCCUAAACCACCAAAUUCCUUAGGCCUACAGACUAAGUCCCACUGCACCAGAUGAUCCUUUUUACCUUCCCCACAAUUUGACCAAAGAAAAUCUCUUUGUAAUUUCUCAAUCCUCAAAGCUAUUAAAGUUGGGAUCUUGAAAAUAGAUGGGAAGUAGCUCGGCAUAUGCGACAAACAAGACUAAAUUAGGGUGAUUCUUCCACCAAAAGAUAAGAAGGCUUUCUUCCGAUCAUCCAACCUCCUAGAGACGCUAUCCAGCACGGGGUCCUAAAAGGAAAUCAAUUUUGGGUUUUCCCUCCCUAAAGGGAGACCCAAAUACGGUAAAGGUCAAUCAGAAACUGCACAAUCAAGCAAAGAGGCCAACCUAGCCGUUUUGUCUUGGCUAAUGUUGAUUCCAAAGAGAGUGUUCUUAUUUAGGUUAAUCUUAAGCCCAAAUAGACACCUAACACCAACAAAAUUAGCUUAAGCAAUUGCAACUCUUCCAGGGAUGCUCUAGAAAAAAAUAUGGUGUCGUUCAUGCAUAGUAUAGCUUUUCAAUACUGCUGUUAGAUGUUUUUCAUUUUUCCUUUGAAAGGUUAGAUAAUAUGAUGGAUAUGGUUAGCUAAAUAUAUAUAAAAAUUCAAGAACCAAUUUUUAUUGAUUUUCCAUGGCCCCUUCUAUCUAGGGCCCAUAGUUGUAACCCUAUCAAUAAUAAUAGAGGUAAGAAUUAGAAGGAACUUUGAAAUUCUGAUUCAUUUCUGUCAGAAAUGACUAAUUAAUUAUAUUUUGAUCAUUAGCAUGUUGGAUCAUUAUUGAUCCUAAGUUAGUUAUCCUUUUGAGUUGCUUGUUAAACUGCUUUUGCAAAAUAUUAUCCUUUGCUUUUGUGUCAAAUACUUAUGUUUGUGUACCAAGUAAACCUAACAUUGAUUGGGCUUGUCAUUGAUUUUUACUGCAGAAGUGCUUCUACUUGGUAAUUGUCAUUCCAUUUGUUUCAAAAUAACAUUUAUGGAAUGGAAUGUCAAUUAAGGCACUUUUCCAUGCAUAGUUUAUUCUACUUAUUUGUAUUCGUUUUCCUGAGUUAAUUGACUGUAGGAUUUGUGCCUGUUCACCCAUUUGUUUUCUCUAUUUCUGUUGAAAUAUCUGGAGCUUGAUAUUCAAAGUUGGUGAUGAUAUGCCAGCAAUCUCUGGAGGAGUACAUCUGAAGAAAAGCGGGAGUUGGAGCGCCUUGAAAAACCAAUUUAUAAUUCAGUUCGCCAAGCAGCAGAAGUCCAUCGCCAGGUUGCAAUUGGUUACCAUAUGUACAUAAUUGCUUCUGAAAGGAAAUCAAAUAUCAAUAUGCUGCUCAGGAUUAAUAUAUAUAUAUAUAUAUAUAUAUGUAUGUAUGUAUGUAUGUAUGUGAAGAGCUUUUCUGCUUCUGGUCCCUGACUGGAAUUGUUUGCUUUAUUUUGGUUAGGUUCGGAAAUACAUCAAAAGUAUUUUGAAGCCUGGAAUGUUGAUGACUGACCUAUGUGAGACCUUGGAGAAUACAGUUCGAAAGCUAAUAUCAGAGAAUGGUCUGCAAGCAGGCAUUGCGUUCCCUACUGGUUGCUCUUUAAACUGGUAAGUUUUUCUUUUUGGUGUUUGAGAAUGCUCAUCAGUUUUGAUUUGCUUCAUUUGGUUGCAUCUGUACUGGGAGAUCUCCUUAAUGGCCAGGGUGGCUGCUCACUGGACUCCAAAUUCUGGAGAUAAGACUGUGCUUCAGUAUGAUGAUGUAAUGAAGUUGGAUUUUGGAACUCAUAUUGAUGGUAGCACCACUCAUACUUCAUCUGUCUUCUUGAUUUCUCAACAAGUUUUACUUUUGCUUACUAGAUUGUCAGUAGAGUUCCACUCUUGGAUGUGUUACAUCACCAUAGUUUUGUUCCUCAUUGUUGGCAGAGAUGACUUAUUACAGUUGUUUUUACAGGACAUAUAGUUGACUGUGCAUUUACAGUGGCAUUCAAUCCUAUGUUUGAUCCACUGCUUGAGGCCUCACGUGAAGCUACCAAUACUGGAAUCAAGGUAGUGUAUUAUGGACCUAUAAUCAUAACAAGAUAGGCCAUCUUAGCAUAUAAAUGUGAGAGAUGUUAAAAUUUAAUCCUGUAUUCCUUUGAUAUUUUGGGUGUACUUCUGUAUCCCUUCUAUGUAUUGGGUAUCUUCUAUGGAGUGAAAUGUUAUGCAAUUAAGUGACAUCAUACUAGUUAGGUUAAGUGGUGCAUAGGAAUGUUUAAAAGAUCAGGGAAAGUAGCCAAUUUUUCACUGAAAAAAAAUCAGAACUCGGCAGGCAUGGAAAGGUAAAACAGAGAGAAAGAAGGUCCAACGGAAAAUCACUGAUUUUGUCAAAAAAAUCGGAAAAAAAUUGCUGACAAUAGAAUAAGUGGAGAGCAGCACAUCACAUCACUUUAAGAAACACAUCAGAAAGUGGUAUUUACACUUUCUUGUUUAUCAUGUAGGAAUCUGGAAUUGAUGUGCGUCUUUGCGACGUUGGUGCUGCAAUCCAAGAGGUCAUGGAAUCGUAUGAAGUUGAAAUUAAUGGGAAAGUUUUCCAAGGUAUGAUGUUAUAUGAAAUUUAUAAUUUUAGAUUGUUAAACAAAUUUUAUUCAAUUAAAUUUUGAUAUGCAAAUUUUUUUUUUUGCGGUGUGUAUUUUAAGUGUGGUGGCAUUACUUCAACCAAAUAUAUGGAAGAAUUGUUAUUUUCCAUGCUUUACUAUAUGGUUAUUGAUUCUUGGGCUCAUGUACUAGUAAGCUAGUUUAGCUAUUGUCCGCAAUUGAGAGCAUUUUUGGAAAUUCAGGCAAAUUUAGUGAUUAUAUUUUGCUAAUCCAUUGCAAUUCAAAGCACUGAUGCAAUUUGUCUAGGGUGCACUGAUCUUAGAAAAUAGAACAUUAGCAUUGAUGCUUAUGAAUGGGAUGUUUACUUACAAAUCCUAAAACUGAAUUUCCUUUUUCAAUAUGUGCUUUUCAAAUUCCUUUGUAUCUCAAAAGCACAAGUACAAAGAAAAUGAAGGAUGAACUGAGUUUGAGGAGCCUUUACAUAGAGAGAUUGAGAAUCUCCAAAAUGAGGGGGUGGUUUCGCUUUUUGUUAUGAUUUGUUAUCCAUAUUUGACAAAAAACAACAGCAUUCCACCCUACCUAAUCAACAAGCUUUCUCAAGGAAGAAGACCUUUUUUGGGCUAAGAGGGAGAUGUCAAAUCAACUUAUUGGCUCUAUUUACACAUCAUACUGGUCUGAGGUUCAAACUGAAUUUUAAGACAACAGUGUUUAACUAAGUUCCAACUAAAAAUAUUAUAGUUUCAAAGACAAACUCUAUUUCAUUUCUAUGGAUCAAAAUGCUGGUUUUUCUCUCAUGAUGAGCAUAAUGCCUGAAAACCAUACUUCUGUGCCUUUUUCUUAGUUCAGUGUUGUAUAUGUUGUUAGGAUGUUGAAUUCCCUUUUCAUGCCUUACACCUUUACUCCAUGGGGUAAUGUAUGGGGACAUUGGCUGUUGUUGCUGGGAUGAUGAAUUCACCUUUUCUAUCUAUAAUUUGUAUUUAAUAUGUCUAUGGCUAAUGUAUGCGGACUUUGGCUGUUAUUGACAGUUAAAAGUAUCCGGAACUUGAAUGGACAUAGUAUUGGGAGUUAUCAGAUCCAUGCUGGAAAGUCUGUUCCUAUCGUUAAAGGAGGGGAGCAGACAAAAAUGGAAGAAGGCGAAUUUUUUGCAAUUGAAACUUUUGCAUCAACAGGUGCAUCUUUUUUUUUUUUUUUUUUUUUGCAUUGGUAGGGAAAGAUAUUUAUUUCAAAAGAGACAGCAAUGAAUGCAUAGCCUACUCAACAAUGUCAUUUUUCACUUUUAUGUGCAGGAAAAGGCUAUGUGAGAGAAGAUUUAGAGUGCAGCCACUACAUGAAAAAUUUUGAAGUUGGGCACAUUCCUUUGCGUUUGCCUAGAGCAAAGCAACUGCUAGCAACAAUCAACAAGAACUUCUCCACAUUGGCUUUCUGCAGACGAUAUUUAGACCGCCUAGGGGAGACUAAAUAUCUGAUGGCGUUAAAGAAUUUGUGUGAUUCUGGUAUUGUUCAGGUAUGUUUUAAAAAUGGUUUUAUUUAGCAUAUUUUUAGGCAUGUAUUAACCGUUGUUAUUGUGCAGCUCUAAGUGUGAUUCUACUGUGUCUUCCUUCUUUCCCUAUUCUGUACCACAUUUUAAUGUAUUCUGAAUCUGAAUCAAUCAUAUUCUAGCAUAGGGUGCCUCAGUACUUCCAAUUGCUGAAUUUUCCCAUCCUAGAGAUAGGAUAUCAUGUGCAUUCAGAUGUUUAAAAAAAUUGUGUGCGCGCGCGCGUGUAUACAACAAACUAAUCUUACCAUUCUUUUAGCGUACUUGUGCUAUCUCAUUUACCAAAUGGAAUGUCUGAUUGGAAAGAUUCUGUAUUUCUUUCCAAAUCCAUUGAACCUCUUGUUCAGCCAGCUUCUCCAUCUGAUCAUGUUUUUAUGAUACCAUGCCUGAUAUAUAUAUAUAUAUAUAUAUAUAUAUAUAUAUAGAUAUAGAUAUGUAAUUAGUUCUUCCAAUCAUUAAAGUAUAAAAAUCUUUAUUUAGAGUGUUAAAAAGUAUGAUAGACAUUGUGAAUCCAAAUCUUACACGUUUAAGCUUUUAAGAAAAUUGGUAGUUGUACAUAGUAUUAUAGCUUUGUUUGGUGAGAGGUCAUGUAUUCGAGUCUCACUGCAUAUUUAUUUCUCCAAUUUAUUGUAUAAGCCCAAAGGAGGUUAAUUGUGGUUGUUUGCCUACAAACCAAUGUACCUCUCCACAUGUGAGUAUGAGGAUUGCACAUGAGGGAGGGUGUUAAAAGAGCAUGAUAUGCAUUGUGAACCCAAAUUCUAAAAGCUUAAGCUUUUAGGAAAAUUGAUUAUUCAACGAAGAGAAAAAUAGUUAGUUUAAUUAAUUGACAAUUUUUAAGAAAUAAACAGAUCUAAUAAAGAUCAAGGGCAAAGAAGGAUAUGAAAUCAUUAAAAGAAAAAACCACAUUAAAGGACACCCAAAUGAUUUUAAAAACUAAGUGAGUGAAAGUAAAGAAAAAUAUAGGUGGCAGAAUCGGGGAGUAAAAAAAUCCUCUAUGAAAAUCUCAAGGGACCCAAACCCCUUUGAGCCAAUCCAUCAGCCACCUAGUUGGAUGGUCUAAGCCCCAAGAAAGAGAUGAGCCCCAAACCUCUUGCCUAGGACUGUAUCCUUGUUCACCAUUAGGAGAGCUUGCAAAGACCACCCCUUCUCGAAGAAACCCAAUAAAUAACCAACACCAAAAUUACCUUCCACCGAAAGGUUUCUAAUCAUGGGAGAUGCUUUUUUCUUUGUUCGGGGUGUCUUGGGUGCUUCCUUUGUCAGUCAAAGAGACUUUACUAGGUUGUCAUGGUUCCUUUAUGGGCAAAAAGUGCAAGAAGGUCUGGAGAGCAGCUCCCUUAACACAUCUUUUGGGCGGUGUGGAAGACAAGGAAUAGAAUGAUCUUCAAUGAUGACAUGCUUACGAUACAGAGACUAAAAAGUUGUUUAUAAAUGAUUAUCCUCUAACUUUAGUUAAUUUUGUUGAUUGGUUGGGCUCUUGUUGAGGUUUUUUUAGCCCCUUCUGUUUGGUUGUUCUUUUUCCUCUUUUUGCCAUUUCGGUGAUGGGUGUAUGGGUAUUGUAUACCUUGAGUUGCUCUUUUGACGACUCUUCUUAAUAUAUCUUUCUCUUUAUUAAAAAAAAAAAAAUAGAUGUCAUUCUACUGAAAAUAAUGAGGCAAAGCAAGAAGAAAAUAAUUUCUAGUUAAACAACCUCCACAUAAAUCACUCUUUCACCUCUGGGAGGUUGCCCACUGAAAACCUACUAGGGGAAGAAGGCAUAUCAUCUAUUAAGAGAAAACAAACCAAUGAAGAAGCAAAUGGUCAACCAAUUCUUCAUCGGUCUUACAUUAAAAACAUUUGUUAGGGUUGCUAGCCAUGUGCACUCUAUGUGAUUGAUGCAUGGAAUUAAUAUGUACUUUCUUAGGGGUCACCCACCAUGUGAAUGCUUUUUAACCCUAGGGAGCUUUUGUUUUCCAAAUAAAUUUAGUUAGAAGGAAAGUUGUUGAAUUUGCAUAUAAAUCUAGAAGAAAGCAUACCUUCUCUUCCAUCCAAGGUCCAACAUCAAGAGGAUCCAAAAUAAUUAGAGAGAUUAAUAAAUUGGAGAAGGGAAAUGAAGUGAUCUCUAUGACUAAAAUUUCUUUGAAAAAUUGAAAUUAAAGUGAAAAAUGAAUUAUCAUGACCCAAGAAGUUUUUGUCUUGUGUGGAAUUAAAUACAUCCUAUUUACUUUGAUUAUUUCUUUAAAUUAAUCAUAGCUAAGAAUGUAUGGAAGGAAACCAACCUUGGUCGUGUCUCAUUUGUUGUUUGCCAAUGACACCCUAGUUUUUUACAAGGCCACACAAAAUUUAACCUUGAGAAAAAUGAAUGGAUCAUAAUAGGGAUGGUAACUAAUGUGGAGGAUUUUGAUCUACAAUUGGGAUGCAAGCCUAGGGAGCUUCCAAGUACAUUAGGCUUCCCUUAAGGCCUCCAUUUGAAGUAGAAUCAAUUUGGGGAAGUGUGAAAGAAGGAUAUUGUAGAAGACUAUCGUUGUGGAAAAGGCAAUAUGUUUUGAAGGGGAGAGGCUUUCCCUAAUUUGAAGCAUCUUGUCUAGUUUCCCUAUUUAUUUUAUGUACCUGUUUAGCAAUUCUCAAAACAGUAAGAUUGGGGCUUGAGAAAAUUCUGAGAGAUUUCCCUUAGGGAAGCGGGGGGUUUAGAGAAAAAGAUGCAUUCAGUGAAAUAAUUGAUUGUUUUUAGGGAGAAUAAAUAAAUAAAUAAAUAAGGAGCCUAGGAAUUAGAUGCCUUUCCUCACCUAAUACGGCUCUCUUGGGAAAAUGGUAUUGGAGAUGUGCUUUAGAAGAAGCCUUUUGGAAAGAGAUCAUUCAAGGAAAGUAUGGAGAGGAUGAGGGGGGUUUGAUAUUCUUACAAAGUGAGGGAAGGUUAUGGGAAUGGGAUAUGAAAAAACAUCAUAAAUGGAUGAGACCUAGUAGACAAUAGAGUAUCCUUUGAUGUGGGAAAUGGGAGGGUGUAGUUUUGGAAGGACAAAUGGUGUGGGGAUGAACCCUUAUAUGUGUCUUUCCCCUCCUUGUAUGCCUUUGCAUUGUCAAAAGAGGCUUGGGUAGCGGAUGUUUGGAAUGGUUUGGGUGAGGGAGGCCACUAGAAUCCUCAUUUUGCUAAACACUUGAAUGAUUGGGAGCUAGAUAAUGUAAAGGCUUUUUUUCUCAAGGUUGCAAGGAAGGUCUAUAAAGAGGGAAGAAAAUGAUAGGGUGGUAUGGAUGGAUUCUAGGAAUGAGAUCUUCUAUGUCAAAUAUUUAUACAUAUUCCAUUCUAGAUCUAGGACAUGCUAUCUUUUCCUAAUGACUAUUUUUUGGAGUUCAUGAGUUUCAUCAAAAACAAUCUUUUUUGCAUGUGAGUAUAGUUGGGGUAAGAUGUUAACUUGGGAUUAGCUUCAAAAGCGGAUGGCUUUACGGGCUUGGGUUUGCUCGUCUUGGGGAGUAGGUCUCUCACCCCAUCUCCUUCUCCUUCUUCUUCUUCUUCUUCACCCAAAGACGGGGGUGUUUGUUAGCAAGAGAUAUUAUCCAAUGGAGGGAGCAAAAUGAGGAGUUUCAAGUUGAAAGAAAGGAUGAGUGUGGUAGGCCUUUGCUUGUCUUCUGGUGCAAGUUUGGUUCUAGUUUUACCACAGACUCCUUCCAUUGCCAUGAGUGUGGACCCAAUCGGGUUCAAUGAAGACGUGGGUGGGAAGGAUAUGGAGUUAGGGGGAGAAUUUUGCUGAUUCUUACAAGAACUUCGUCUCCUUUAGUGAGCACUUAGGUUUGCCUAUGGAAGGCUUUGAGAAAGAAGUUGGCUCCCUUUUGAGAAAGUUGGAAGCCCAAAAGGGUCAAAGAGUGGUGGGGUCGAAAGGUAAGAGGAGGCCUUCCCCUACUUCUCAGUUUGAAAGGGAACUUUGAAAAGUUCGAUUGCUCAACUAAUUACAACCUCUUAAGCGACAAAGGAAGACAAAGUAGGAAGUUUAGGUUGGAUGUGGUUUUUGAGUGCCCACGAUAGGGCCUUGGGUGGGGAUGGGAGGUAGAGAGGAAAAGGUGGUUUGCAGUCUCUUCCUUGUGCAUUAGGCUUUCACAAUGGGUGGAUUCUUCGUUUUUCUUGGAAUUGUGGGUUUGGGAAUUAAGCAACGACUUGGUUUUGUUAGUCUUGUACUCCUUAGUUUGUUAGGGCUUGGUUUUGUUGGUUUGGGAGCACUUUGGCUUGGGUUGUGAUUGGUUGUUUUCUCCUUUCGCCUACUUUUUGGAGCUUUGUAUACUCCUGUGUAGUUGGUGCACCUUUCUUUGCGUGUUUAAUCUAUUUGCUUAUUUACCUAUCAAAAAAAUAAAAAAUUGCCAAACAAAUGUCUCAUUUGCAAAAGCAAAGAGAAAUCAAUAAAUCACAUCCUUCUAUACUAUGUCAAAGUAAGGGCACUAUGACAGCUUUUGUUCUCUUUGUUCGACAUUGCGUAUGUCCUUCCUUCUAUAGUCAAAGAGAGACUUUUAAGUUGGUAAGUCUCUUUUGUGUGAAGAAUAUAUAGAAAAGUUUGGAGAAAUGUUCCACUACUCAUUUUUUAGACAAUUUGGAAGGAAGUGAACCAAAAAGUGUUCAAAAAUAAGGAGAAGCCAAUUUAAGCGCUAAAGUGUUCUUUCCUUAGGAAUCUAUUGUUAUGGGUGAACAUGUACAUUGAAAAGGCUUAAUUUGUAGAUUAGGUGGGAUCUAGUUGAAGGAAGGAAUAGUUAUUAAGUGUUCUCUCUCUUUCUUGCAAUGUCUUUUGGUACCCAUUGUAUAUGUCUGAUGUAACUUACUAUAUAACUUCUUAUAUAUAUAUAUAUAUAAUAUUUCCUUGCUUCUACUUAUUAGGGGUGGAAAAUUGAAGAUAUUUAAAAUGAUACCAGGCCAUGCCAUAUCAUAAACUUCAUUUUUCAGUUACAACAUAAUUACCUAGAUUAGGGUUGAGCAAUCAGCCUAUAUAGGACUGCAACUUAGGCAGGUUGGGUAGGUUAAAAGGCUAAUCCGUGUCAAACUUGUCUCUUAAUAUUACAACAUCUUCAACCUACUUAAGUUGAUGUUGAACAGUCCGACCAAGUAAUCAAAUUCAAUUUUAUGUACACUUUUGUGAAUUGGGCUAGGGGGUAUAUAGAGGGCGAGACAACAUCUAUGUUAGAUUUUGUAGAUUAGUUGAGCUUAAAGUAAGGAGAGUGAUUUUUUGUGAUUUAACCUUUUCGCUUAUACUAGGUGUUUUUUGUAUACUUCGUAUGUACUAUGCUACUCCUCUUAGGGGGUUUUAAUAUAUGUUUUCUUUUGUCUAUCAAUAUAUUUAUAAACCUAACUUGAGAGCGGGUCAAGAAUUCCCCAUCCAUGCCAAGACCAUGGACAACUCAAGUUACUAUGUGUUACCAAUUUUUUUAGUAGGUAACCCUUACACUUAUCAUUUUUCUCUCUCCCUUGUACAAAAAGCUUGUCUCGUAAGCUAAAUAUUUCCAUCUUAAAAUCCAUACAUAGAUAAGUUGAGAAUAGUCUUCCAACAUAAGUGACAACCCUAAACUCAAAUUUCAUCAUUCGAAGAUAUUUUAACAAUUCAACAAAAGUGAUAAAUCCAAUCCCUACCAGUCUAUAUUUUUUAUAUUUUACAUAAAAUAAUUAACAAUAUAAUUAAAUGAAUAAGAAUAAAUAAAUAAUAACAUGCACAAUGGAUUGCCCUCACCUUAAACUCAUGCCAACCCAAGUAUUUUUUUACAGAUUCAAACCUGACAUUAACCCAUUCAAACCCCAUCCAUCCUAACCCAAACCCCAGAUUCUAACUUGUAACCCUAACCCAUACCAUGCCAACAAGAUAGCUCCAACCACAUGAGUCCCGUUUGGCAGUCUGCAUUGUCCUCACCCCUACCACACCCCAUAAAAAUGGUGAGACCAAACUACAACGGUAACUAAUCAUAUGGUCAAAUUACUUGGUUUCAACUUUGCUAUGCUACAUAGACCUAGAAAAGCUUACAUGGUGUUUUAAACAGACUUGCUUCUAUUUUUGAAAACCUCUACAUGGUGAAAACUUUCAUGCAUAUACUACAUUUACCUGUGGUUUUUAAAAUUUUUAAAAAAUGAUAUAAGUACUAAAUUAUUUUUACUUUCUGAAAUUUUAAAAAUUUUGAUAGAAGUUUUUAAGAACAUAAGCAUGUCCCUGCUUUUUGUAUAGGAGUUCCUACACUUUGUAAAGGUUAAUACUAUUUUCUAUUUUUGAAAAACAAAAAACAGAAAGCAUAACGCCACCUUAGGUUUUUUUUCUUUGUUUCUUCUCCAAGAUAAUGGAGAUCAAAAUGUUUAACAUAAAAGCAUGCCCACAUUUAGGUGUACAAAAAGUAAAACAAAAUUCUCUCCAAUUAGAAGAGGCCUAUGAUAAUGAACUAAAAUAGCAGGUGGGACCCCAACAAAAUCUUGUUUCUAAAAGGACCAUAAUACGUAGACAGUUGACAGUUCAUUUAAUCUAAUAAUUUCUAUGCUUUAAAUGGAAUUUUUUUCUGGGUGUGCUGCUGUGCUUUAUGAAUUUCCCCUCACACCGUUAUUGCUACUCAUGGAGAAUUUCAUCCAAUUAUUUUUUUGCAGCCUUAUCCUCCUCUCUGUGAUGUUAAAGGAAGCUAUGUAUCUCAGUUUGAGCAUACCAUUUUACUUCGGCCAACCUGCAAGGAGGUCAUAUCCAGAGGAGAUGACUACUGAAAAUGGAAGGGAAUCAAAUACUGUCUUGUUAAUACCUGCAUUGUAAACAUACAUCAUCUAUUUGGAACACAAAAUGCUCACUUCAAUCCUGAGUUAUCUAUGUUUUCUUAGCUUUGGUUUUGAUGAAUGCAACGAUGUAUUGAUCAAGAUUAUUAUCCUUCUGGUCUUGCCCUCUUGGUGAUAUUUUGUUUAUGCUGUUGAGGCCAGGAUACAUGUGUUUGACCCAAAAACCGAAAAAUUGCCUAGAAAAGAAAGGGAAUAUAAAAUUUGGAUCGUUUUUGUUGUUUCUAUUUUUUUUUCCCUUUUAAAUUUUAUGAAUGGUGAUGAAUUACAUUUUUAUAAUUAAUCUACCUUAAGUCAGGUUUUAAGUAAUAAAUGGAAUUGGAAACUGGUCCCAGGUGUAGGAUUCAAGGCAGUUCUGAUCAAAUGAUGGUGAAUUGGGUGUUUCCCAUUUCUUUCCUCAUAGCCAUUAGCCAACUUGAUGCAUUCCUAUGGAGGAACAAAAUCAGUAAAACUCUGCGAUAGGGUUUUGUAGAAAUAAGUUACAGAUGGAUGCAAUUCAAGAGAAAACCUAUAUUCUUGCCCUAUGUUUAAAUUUGAAUUAAAUCAUUUAAAAUCCCAUCCUAGUAGCCUAUCAUUGCUUGAUGGAAAGUGAGGUUGUCCUGUUCUUCUCUUUCUUUUUAUUGUCAAAUGCGCUUUAUCCUCUUAACCUUUAUCCUCUUAACCUAUGACAGUUUUUAUACUUUGUCUUGUUGCAUUCAAAAUCUAACAAUUUGCCCCUGAAGUUUGUUAUUGGGCAACAUUUUGCCAAAGUUAUUCAAUAAUAAUAUUGUUAGGAUUUUAUCUAUAACAACCGAAAGUAAUCCUCCCUUUAGGGUGAGGGUUCUACUCUUUAAGACUUCCAAUAUAAGCCUCCAAGCAUUACAAAUUGGAUUAUGAUUCUAAUCAACCAUUUUUAACUUAUGCCUCUAAACACCACUUGAAUUAUAGAUUCAAGCACUUUGUACAAUCACCUCAAAAGAUGUCUCACUCUUAAAAUAUCCAAGUGAAAUCCCAUAAUUAGCAAAUACUAAAUGAUACUUUACACUUAGAUUUUCCCUCAAGUGAUAUUCUACACUUGAGAUUACCUUUAUAGGUUUAUAAGAAACGAUAAGAAAUAUCUUCACAAAUUUAAAAUUCAAAUGAUAUAAGAUAAAUUAAAAUUGAGGUGAACUAAUGGAUAUGCUAAUUUGAAAACAAAGUGCCUUCAAAACACUCCUCUAAAGCUUAAAUAAUAUUUACAAAAGAUUUAGAACUCUAGCACAACAAAAUAAAGAAGUUUAAAACCUUUAAAUAAGAUUUGGAAGUCAAACUAAUUAUUAAGCAAGUUUAUGGUCAACCAAUUGAGCAAUCGACUUGAUCGAUUCACUAGCCAUUGAGCAUUUAAUGUUUUGAUAAGUGACUAUUAGAGGUUAAAACAUCAAUCAACCCUCGACCAAUUGAGGCAUUACCUCAACUAGCUAAACAUAUGCUCCUAAAAGUGAGGAAUGCACAAAAUGCCCCUCGACCAGUCAAAGCUCAAUCCACUUAUUGGUUCCUCACACCUUUAACCAAUUGCGUUAUAAAGUGCUUAAACAACUUGAUUUGAAGUGUCCAACAACUUAUGUUUAAUUUCUUAAAACUUUUUAGGAUAAAUUUUAAAAACAUUUGGCUCAAGGUUUUGAUUCAAAACAAGAAAUUAUUCAAAUUUAAAAUAACUUCAAACAAUUUAGCACUUUGAAUGAUUUUUGGUGCAAAAAUAAAAAUAAAAUGCAUGAUCUUAAUAUACCAACAACCUCAUAAAAAGAUUCUAUAGAAAUGAGUUUUGAAAGUUUUUUACUUUGAGGUCUUCUCCUUAAUUUUGAUUUUCCUUUGGCUUUAUUUAUUUUUACUAUUGUCAUUUUGAAAACCUUCUUACCCGAAUACAUUUAAUAUAAAAUAUUUGUUUCACACUUGGUUUUGUUAUUAUCAAAACUGAACUUAACUAAACUUUGAUUUUACAAAAAUAUUUGUCUUUCAAACUUGUUAAAAAGUCAAUAAACAACAAAGAAAUAAGACUAAAAUACAAAUAAAAUACCUAUUAUCCAAAUUCAAGAUUGUCACACUUCACAAUUAUAUGUAAAAAUCAUGAAUGGCAAUAUAAACAUCUCUUUAAAAUCAAAAGCCAAAAUUAAUGGUUGUCAUGUUUUGAAAGUGUUUGAGAAAUUUCACUUCAAACUUGUCAAUACUAAAUUGGUUCCGCUUAAAUUCAAACCAAUGUUUGAAUCAAAUGCAAAAAGAGCAAUCCCUUUUUAUGAUUUUAUAAAGGGUUUGUAAUUGAGGUAAAAUAUUGCUCACAAGUUUUGAGGAAAAGCGUUGGAUUUUGAAUAUGAAGGUGCAAAUUAUAGAAACACAUUAAGUGAAUUUAACCCUAUUUUUAGGAGAAAACAAAAUGAUAAUAUUCGUAAGAAUCAAUGAAAAUUUAUUCAAUAUUAGUAUAAGGUUAUUUGGACCUCAAUAUUUGUCACACAUAAAUACAAUACAACUUAUUUAACUUGUAUGAAUUACACAAAUAAUAUGUUAGUAGGAUUUUAACUUGUUAAAACAUAAUUUUAAUCCAUCGAACUUAUUUUAAAAUUUAAAUUCACAAACACAUUGUUGCAAACUGUCUUAUAGUUUUAAUUUUUAAAAUUUUUAAUUAAUUUAAUUAUAAUAUGUUUAUAACAUAAAAAGUAAUUUGUAGUUUUAAUUUUACUCUAAUUCACAUAUUUAUUUAGUAUGUUAACUAUAAAAUAUUUAAAGCUUUAUAAUGAAAUAUAUAAAACUUUAUUUAAUUAUUUUAUUUUAUUUAAUUAUAUGAUAUUUAUAAUUUUAUUUUAAUUUUUUUAUAAUUUUUAAAUAUAUAAAUUUAAUAAAUAUCGGAUUAUACCUAAUAAACCCUUGGGUCAUUUGAUUAGAAGGAUAAUUGGAAACCAAUUUUAGAUAUUUAACCCUCAAUUUUUUUUUUUUAUCACAUUUUGAUAAAAAAGUUUUUUUUUAAUAUUUAUAUUAAAAAUGGGUUCACGAGGAUUAUUUCGUCCUUUUAACCGAUUAAUUCUAAACCGUUUCCUUCGGUCGUUACUGUUGAGCGCUUGCUCACCUUAUCCGUCAGGGAUUGUAAGCAAGCGUUUGGAGUAGUGACGAGGGAAAUCACCUGGUUCAGUUGGUAGUGAUGUUAUCUUGGCAAAUUCGCACCAGCUUUAGUGCUCUGUCCUCACCUACUUAUACCUUUUCUUCUUCCCGCCAUGCCGUCAAUCUUAAAGCCCCCACUUGCUCCAUACGAGUCCAGAAAAUCCCCGUCAAGAAUUUACAAUUUCCAUCGCCGGUGGAGGCCACGAAGCUCAACAAUCUUGAACAUGGCGUUCCAGAUGAUGGAGGUGGAAAAGGGGAUAAAGCGCUAUCGGGAAUUCAAGUGCCGAGGCAGAAAUACAUACCCAUUUCCAAGUCGGACCUGUUGGACGCCAUAGUACUAAAGUUCGACUCACAGCAAGAUGUCGAUCACUUUCUUCUUCUGUCCUCGUAAGUGCGCUUGAUUUCUGUAUCCUUCCUGCUCUAUCUCAGUCGGGUAAGAAAGAAGGAAGGAAAUUUUUUUAGAAUUUUGAUUGGUAUUUUGUCCUGGUCGUUUCCAAUUUGCCAAGCAUCAUCUGUUCCCACAACGAACAGAAAGAAUGAAAAUAUCCCUGCCAUUUUAAAUUGAUUUAUUGAAAAAGGGUUUGAUUUCCAGUAUCUCAUUCGUAUAUCCCAUUCUAUGCACAGAAAUCCCAGUGCAUUAGGGAAUAGGAAUCACAGGGGAAAGAAAAUAAGUAGCAGAGAGGUUGAAGAGAUUCUCUUCUCCUUGUUUGUUUUCUGAAAGAAAAAGAGUCCUAAGAAAGGCAAGAAAUUUCUCCUUUUCUAGUUAUCCUGAUGUUAGUGGUAGCAUAAUCCAAUUCUCUCUAUUUUUAAGAGGGAACCUAAAACAAGUACAUGGAUUUUUCUUAUUUAUCUUCAUUCUUUUCAUGGGAAAACAGAAAACAUAUUAGAAAGGGCCUAAUGAAAAUGGGGCGCAUCCUGUUUGCGUGAGGGUAUACAAGAGACAUUGAAGGAAAGGAGAACUAAACCACCGAGUGAAAUUCUCAAUUUAGACUAUCAAUAAAAUUCAAGAAUGUAUAAUUUUCAUACCAUAAACGUUCCAACCCAAUCUGGAUUACCCAUGACAGUUCAAAAAUUAUCCAUCUAGUCCUCUCACAGUCUGUUCACCAACCCCUACCCUUUCCCAAUAAGGAGAUCUAAUAUCUUUGCUAUAUCACCGCCCAUGCAAUAAAUAGUAUGAAUGAGCUCCAUAAAUUGUUCACUUCCCAAUUAUAAGAAUGCCUUUGGAAAUGAAGUGAUCCAUAUCCUCCUCAUCGCAAUUCCAAUAAAUAUGUAACCUUUUUGGAAAAGGCUAGACCAAAAAGCAUAGAGGCCUCUUUCUAAGAGCAUUUUCCCACUAAAGUGUCAAACCAAAACUUGGUCAUUAUUCCAUUCCUCACCAAGAAAGCAGUUCUAAGGCUUAACUCUUACCAACCCCUUCUAAUAUUUGUUGGCAAGCAGGUUUUUGGAUCCAUUGGUUAAUAGAAUCUCACGGAGAUUGGAUGGGUAGAAAAGAGCCUUUCUAUCAUUGGGGGGAAGAAUAAUUCCAAUUCAGUCAUGCUUGUCUUACAUCCUUAAAUUCAAGAUUCCAAGAUCAGUAGCUUCAAAGAUUAAGAAAUUGGAAAGAAUUUUUCUUUGGUCGGGGGUUCUCGAGGGUAAAAAAGAUCAUCUUAUCAAUUGAGACAUAGUAUGUAGGCCAAAGGAGUCUAGAGGUUUGGGCUUCUAGAAGACUUCUCUGAGGACUCAUGCUUUAUUACAGAAGUUGCUUUGGAGGUUCCCUAGGGAAAGUUCUACCCUUUGGCAUUAGGUUAUUUCGAUUAUUUAUAAGAUACAUCCUAAUGGAUGCGACACCAACGUUUUGGUUAGAGGGUCAAGCUAUGGUCUUUGAAAGGCCAUUAGACUUGUUUUCUAGGAUUUUUCUCCAUAUACCCACUUUGUGGUGGGUGACAGGGAGAUAAUUCAUUUUUGGGAAAACUUAUGGUAAGGAAAUCAACCUUUAUGUUUGAAAUUUUCAAAUCUUUACAGAGUUAUAACAUGAAAAAAUCUUACUAUUUCAACUGUUCUUGGUGACCCUUCUUCUCGUUCUCUUUCUUGGAACUUGAACUUUUGUUGCAAUUUCACGGAUUUGGAAAUUGAGGAACUUGAAAGACUUAUUUCCUCACUCACUCUAGUGCACUUAUCUCCAUCCAUCCUAUACACAUGAGUUUGGUUUUUGAUCUCUUUAGGUUUAUUCUUGGCAAAAUCUUUCUUUUUUGCCUUAUCCAAUUUAUCAAGUCUAGUUCCUUUCCUUCCAACCAAAUUUUUUAUGAAAAUCUAAAGUCCCAUCUAAUGUUAAGGCCUUUGCAUGGUUAGUAGCGUAGAAAAAGAUAAAUACCAAUGACAUGUUGCACUUGAGAAAACCUUACAAAUUACUUAGUUCUAAUUAGUGCAUCUUAUUAGGAAGUUGAAAGUCAAUUGACCAUUUCUGUUGAAAUAAUACCAAAGUUAGGAUUUUAAUUUAGGAAAGUAUUUUAGGAAUAAAAAAGGAGAGAUCAUUUAGGAUAUUUCCUUAUGAUUCAGUUUCCUAAUUUUAGGAGAGAAUUAAGCUAGAUUGAUUUUUUCUUAUUCAGUCAUUUGUGUAUAUAUAUGUGUAUGGUGUGUACCGAAUAGAAACAAUAAAGGAGUUCAGAAAUUCUUCAUGGUAUCAGAGCCAGUUUUCUGAAACCCUAAUCCCUUCUGGCCACCUCUUAUUCAGACCAUCAUUCAUUCCGGCCAAAUCUCUCUGGCCAUCUCUCAAUCCGACCAUCUCUCUCUCUAGCCAUCUCUCAUUCCGGUCAUCAGUCCCUAUUCUCAGAGUCAAGGGAGAAAACGCUUUCCGGUCGGUCGAAUCGUUGUCAGAAAACAUUCACCGCCGGCAACUUUUCCGGUGAACUUUUCCGGUGAACUUUCCGGCGAACUUCCGGCGACGAUUUUUUUCUACACCGCAAGGAGCACCUGGAGGAGAUCUCCAAUUUGUCCCAAAGCACCGGAACCAGAAACCCAUCCACGCGCCGUCCACGCGCGUUUUUCCGGCCGGCGACUGCAUCUCACGCGUGAGCCACUUUCCAGCGACGCGCUUCCUCCUCCAAGCUCACUUGACGCCGACCAGCCACCCUUCUUACCUGUUUUUGCCACCCGAGCCCUGCACGUGCCUCUUUUGGGGUUUUUUUGCUUCUGUGGGCCCUUCGAUCAGUUUUUCCGGCGUCCUCCGACUAUUUUUUCUCAACUCCAAUCGCUGCACGUGCCUUGGGAAGUGUUCUUCUACCUUUCCGGUCCAUGACAAAAUACGGAAUGGCAUCAUCACAAGUAUCCAGCGUCACGUCACCAGAAUCAGGGGGCAGAUCUGAAAUUCCAAACCUUGGUGGCAAUGAUUCCUCUCCUAUUCUCAUCAGAGGACACAAAUUAAAUGGCCAUAACUAUUUACAGUGGUCACAAUCUGUGUUGCUGUUCAUUUGCGGUAAAGGAAAGGAUGAGUACCUCAUUGGAGAAGCAGCCAUACCAGAAACUACAGAACCGGGUUUCAGGAAGUGAAAGAUUGAAAACAGCAUGAUCAUGUCAUGGCUUAUCAAUUCCAUGAACAAUGACAUAGGAGAAAAUUUCUUGCUGUUUGGGACUGCAAAGGACAUAUGGGAUGCAACCAAAGAAACCUACUCAAGUUCUGAAAAUAUUUCAGAACUUUUUCAGGUUGAAUCAGCCCUACAUGACUUCCGCCAAGGAGAACAGUCAGUUACUCAGUAUUAUAACACACUCACAAGGUAUUGGCAGCAACUUGACUUAUUCGAGACUCACUCAUGGAAAUGUUCGGAUGAUGCAGCAACAUACAGGCAAAUUGUGGAACAAAAGAGACUGUUCAAGUUCUUCCUAGGACUAAACAGGGAAUUGGAUGAUGUUAGAGGCCGAAUCAUGGGCAUUAAACCCCUUCCAAGUCUCAGGGAGGCUUUUUCAGAGGUUAGGCGUGAAGAAAGUAGAAAGAAAGUGAUGAUGGGAUCCAAAGAGCAACCUGCCCCAACAUUGGAUGGCUCUGCCCUUGCUGCUCGGUCAUUUAAUAGUAGUGGUGAAGAUCGUCAGAAACGAGAUAGGCCUUGGUGUGAUUAUUGUAAGAAACCCGGCCAUUAUAAGGAGGCUUGCUGGAAGCUUCAUGGCAAACCGGCUGAUUGGAAACCAAAGCCACGGUCUGACAGAGAUGGCAGAGCACACGUGGCUGCCAACUCUGAGAGCACAUCUGUUCCCGAGCCGAGUCCAUUCAACAAAAAGCAGAUGGAGAUGCUACAGAAACUAUUAAGCCAAGUUGGCAGUGGCAGUACUACCGGGAUAGCCCUCACUGCUAGUCGAGGAGGAAUGAAGCCGUGGAGGACACAGGUGCUUCUGAUCACAUGACAGGAGAUGUUGCCAUUCUUCAAAAUUACAAGCCAAGUAAUGGUCAUUCAUCCGUCCAUAUUGCUGAUGGUUCAAAGUCAAAAAUUGCCGGGACAGGUUCUAUAAAACUUACUAAAGACUUAUAUCUUGACUCUGUCCUCCAUGUUCCAAACUUGGAUUGUAAUCUUUUGUCCAUUAGCAAAUUGGCUCGUGAUCUCCAAUGUGUUACUAAAUUCUAUCCAAACUCGUGUGUUUUUCAGGACUUGAUAUCGGGGAAGAUGAUUGGCAGUCCUGAACUGUGUUCCGGGCUCUACCUCCUCUCAUGUGGCCAAUUCUCAAACCAAGUCUCUCAAGCAAGUUGUGUACAGUCUCAGAGUAUGUUAGAGUCUUUCAAUUCUGUGUCAAAUUCUAAGGUCAAUGAAGAUAGUGAGAUUAUAAUGUUACACUAUCGCCUUGGUCAUCCUAGCUUUGUUUACCUUGCAAAAUUGUUUCCCAAAUUAUUUAUCAAUAAAAAUCCAGCAUCUUAUCACUGUGAAAUUUGUCAGUUUGCAAAGCAUACUCGAACAGUAUAUCCUCAAAUCCCAUACAAACCUUCGACUGUUUUCUCUCUAGUUCAUAGUGAUGUGUGGGGUCCCUCCCGGAUAAAAAAUAUUUCUGGCACUCGAUGGUUUGUGACAUUCGUUGAUGAUCAUACUCGGGUAACAUGGGUUUUCCUUAUGAAAGAAAAGUCAGAGGUCGGGCACAUUUUUCAAACCUUCAAUCUUAUGGUUCAAAACCAAUUCAAUUCCAAAAUUCAAGUCCUCAAGUCAGAUAAUGCAAAGGAAUACUUUACUAGUAGUCUCAGUACUUAUCUUCAAAAUCACGACAUUAUUCACAUAAGUUCUUGCGUUGACACCCCACAACAAAAUGGGGUGGCUGAACGCAAGAAUAGACAUCUCUUGGAGGUUGCCCGGUGCCUUAUGUUUUCCUCUAAUGUUCCAAACUAUUUCUGGGGGGAAGCUAUUCUCACAGCUACAUAUUUGAUUAACCGUAUGCCAUCCAGAGUGCUUACCUUUCAAUCCCCACGUCAACUUUUCUUAAAACAAUUUCCUCACACCCGUGCCGCCUCUUCUGAUUUACCACUCAAAGUAUUUGGUUGCACGGCAUUCGUUCAUGUGUAUCCUCAAAAUCGUAGCAAAUUUGCUCCUCGAGCAAAUAAGUGCAUUUUCCUAGGGUAUUCUCCAACCCAAAAAGGGUACAAAUGCUAUUCUCCAACCAACAAAAGAUUUUACACCACCAUGGACGUCUCUUUCUUUGAACAUGUCUUCUUCUAUCCCAAAUUUCAUGUUCAGGGGGAGAGCAUGAAUGAACAUCAAGUUUGGGAGUCUCGUCUUGAGGGUGUACCUUCUUUUCACUCAGAGUCACCAAAUCCUUCCCAAUUCGCGCCCACUGAGUUGUCCACACCCAUGCCGUCAUCAGUCCAGCCAGCCCAGCACACAAAUGUUCCUUCUCCCGUGACCAUCCAGUCUCCCAUGCCUAUUCAACCUAUAGCCCCACAACUUGCUAAUGAGAACUUACAAGUUUACAUCAGGAGGAGGAAAAGACAGGAAUUAGAGCAUGGAUCACAGUCAACAUGUGGCCAAUAUAUUGACUCCAAUUCAAGUCUUCCUGAAGAGAACAUAGGUGAGGAUAGGGCUGGAGAGGUGUUAAUUCCCAGCAUUGAUGAUUCUACUCUGCCGAUUGCAUUGAGGAAGGGUGUUAGGAGAUGUACAGAUCAUCCAAUUGGGAAUUAUGUUACGUAUGAAGGACUAUCACCAUCUUACAGAGCAUUUGCUACUUCUCUUGAUGAUACUCAGGUUCCCAACACAAUACAAGAGGCAUUAAAAAUUUCAGAAUGGAAGAAGGCAGUACAAGAUGAGAUUGAUGCACUUGAGAAGAAUGGGACGUGGACUAUCACAGAUUUGCCGGUUGGGAAGAGGCCUGUGGGGUGCAAGUGGAUUUUCACCAUAAAAUACAAAGCAAAUGGAUCAGUCGAGAGAUUCAAGGCUCGUUUGGUAGCUAGAGGGUUUACACAAUCCUAUGGGAUAGACUUCAGGAGACUUUUGCUCCUGUUGCAAAACUAAACACUAUCAGGAUUCUUCUCUCAUUGGCUGUCAAUCAAGAUUGGUGCUUGCAACAACUGGACAUAAAAAAUGCGUUUCUAAAUGGUGACCUAGAAGAGGAAGUCUACAUGGAAAUACCACUUGGUUUCGAAGAAAGUAUGGCAAAGAAUCAGGUUUGCAAACUCCAAAAAUCCUUGUACGGCCUUAAACAAUCUCCCCGAGCCUGGUUUGAUAGAUUCACAAAAGCAGUCCUGAAGCUAGGCUACAAACAAGGUCAGGCUGAUCAUACUCUAUUUGUCAAGAAGUCUCAUGCCGGGAAAAUGGCCAUAUUGAUAGUCUAUGUCGAUGAUAUUAUUCUAUCUGGGAAUGAUAUGGAGGAAUUAUAGAAUUUGAAGAAGUAUUUGUCAGAAGAGUUUGAAGUUAAAGACCUUGGAAAUUUGAAAUAUUUCCUUGGUAUGGAAGUGGUUAGAUCAAGGAAGGGAAUUGUAGUCUCUCAAAGAAAAUACAUACUCGAUCUUCUUAAGGAGACCGGUAUGCUUGGAUGCAAACCAAUUGAUACUCCUAUGGAUAGUCAGAAGAAACUUGGUAUCGAGAAAGAAAGUACACCGGUAGACAGGGGGAGAUAUCAGCGGCUUGUCGGGCGCUUGAUUUAUCUCUCACAUACUCGGCCAGAUAUUGGCUUUGCAAUGAGUGCUGUAAGUCAUUCAUGCACAGCCCCACUGAGAACACAUGGAAGCAGUCUANNNNNNNNNNNNNNNNNNNNNNNNNNNNNNNNNNNNNNNNNNNNNNNNNNNNNNNNNNNNNNNNNNNNNNNNNNNNNNNNNNNNNNNNNNNNNNNNNNNNUGGAUAUUGUUCUUUUGUCUGGGGAAAUCUUGUUACCUGGAGGAGUAAGAAGCAAUUAGUUGUAGCCAGAAGUAGUGCAGAAGCUGAGUACAGAGCUCUUGCACAGGGAAUCUGUGAAGGGAUUUGGAUAAAAAGGGUUCUUAGUGAACUGGGACAAACGAGUUCAUCUCCAAUUCUGAUGAUGUGUGAUAAUCAGGCAGCUAUAAGCAUAGCAAAGAACCCCGUGCAUCAUGACAGGACCAAGCAUGUUGAGAUUGACAGACACUUCAUCACAGAGAAGGUGACUAGUGAGACGGUUAAAUUGAACUAUGUUCCUACCAAGCACCAAACCGCAGACAUCCUCACCAAAGCUUUACCUAGGCCUAACUUCGAAGACUUAACUUGCAAGCUGGGAUUAUAUGAUAUAUAUUCUCCAGCUUGAGGGGGAGUGUUGAAAUAAUACCAAAGUUAGGAUUUUAAUUUAGGAAAGUAUUUUAGGAAUAAAAAAGGAGAGAUCAUUUAGGAUAUUUCCUUAUGAUUCAGUUUCCUAAUUUUAGGAGAGAAUUAAGCUAGAUUGAUUUUUUCUUAUUCAGUCAUUUGUGUAUAUAUAUGUGUAUGGUGUGUACCGAAUAGAAACAAUAAAGGAGUUCAGAAAUUCUUCAAUUUCUUUCUACAUUGUUCAAUAACUUUGGGAUUAUGACACAAAUUAUUCAGUCUAGCCAAGAUGGAUUAGGUUUCGUCCUAGAGUAUAUGCGACAUGAUGACCAUUUCUUCAAGGGGAUUGAGGAGUUCCAUUAGAGGCAAAAUCCUUUAGCAAAUUGCUUGCCUCACAUUGUCUUGGCUUAGGUGGCAAGAGAGAAAUGAUAGGAUCUUUGAGGAAAAGUGGAGGACGGUAUAGAUGUUGUGGGACUUACUUCACUUCUAUUCUCCUUUAGGGCCUUUUGUAUUGUUACAUUUAAAGACACUCCUCUCAAUGUUAUUCAGCUCAAUUGGCAUUUGAUUUAUAAUUCAAAAGGGUUGGACAACAAUGAGAGGAGCUUUGUUUGGAAUUGAUGUAUGGUCUUUAGUGGACUAAACUUUUUGUAUAGGUCUCCCUGUAUAGUGGAGUAGUUUUAGUUAUACCUUGAUCAAAUUCUUAUAUUUUGUGGGGAGAACUCCUCAUCCUUCUCUUGUACUUUUUAUCCAUGAUGAAUAUAUCCUUGUUUUUGAUAAAAAAUAAUAAUAAUAAUAAAAAAAAUCUUUCUACAAACCACACCAAAAGCCUCUUUCAACACUUGGUGUGACAACCCCCACAAACUAUCAUGUCCAUGUGUAUAUAUCCACAACCAUUUGCCAAGCCUUAUUUAGAGAAUGCUUCUUUUAAUUCGUAAUCCUCCACACUUUUUAUUCCUUGGUAAUGACGACCAUUUCACUUUAUGCAUCCUUCUUCCCUAUAAAUGAUUCUGCUAUAAAAACUGAUCAACACCAAAGUGGUAUUCACAUCAUCGCCAAGUAGAAACCAAGAUACCCCUUUUUGGCUGCAUCAAAAACUCUCUGAAUAUCUUUUAGACAGGAUGUCACUUUCUUGGAAAUACAAAUAAGGGCAUAAAGUAUAUGAGGAGGCUCAAGAAGGCACUCUUGAUAAGGGUCUAUCCCUCUCCUAACAAUUAAGAUAAAGUAAAAUAAAUAAAAUAAAAGGAAAAAGAAGCAACACACAAAUGUUGCUUCUUCCAAGAGGCUAAUCUCCUUCUUGGUCUUUCUCAACUAAGUCCCACUCUGCACAAGACCUAUGAGACGCUCCUAAAGGCAACCCUAGGUGUUUAGUAGGAAGGCGUCUGACCCCACAACCAGACAAGGAGGCAAAUCUAUGCCUGGUUCUUGCUAUCUUGUCUGCCUGAACCUUAGCAUGAGAAGAUAAUUUUAAGUUUACAUUCUUUCUUUUCCUUCUAUGCCUGGUUCCUUAUGAGAUGUAUAUUUUUAUGUAUUUCAGGUGCUUGGAUUCUAUUCUUCAUGCUGAACACAAAAACGUUUUAGAAGAAAUGCGGAUUAGUUAUCCCCUUACUCAUUCAGCAGAGGACAAGGGAAAAAUUAAUGAGGAUACAACUAGUUUAGAAAGAAAAUUUGUGACUAAGGUGGAGGAGCCUGACAUGGCUGGUGAUAGCACUACUGGGGUUGGCAGCAUGGAGAGAUGCAGGAAGGAGAACAUUGAACCUGAAAAUUCAAUUUUUUCCAGCUAUGGUCUAGAUUUGAGAUAUCUCUUCAGUUCUUCGACCAACAAUAUGAAGAAAAAUUCUGGUGCAGAGUCCAGGUUAGUAACAGAUUGUCUUGACAGCUUGAUUUUCAGUGUGCCAAGGUUAAAAAAGUUUUUUUGAGUUAUUCACUGAUUAUUAGUGAUGAAAGAACUACUAAUGAUAACAAAACUGGACAAACUAGGCACUUAUCAGAAUAGCAACCAAGCCAUGGUUUUUGGAUUAAUUACUUGUGCUUGAUAUUAAUUUUAUAUCCCCUUUGUUGAAAUUUUCUUAGCCUAGCAGAUUCAUGUGAAAGGCUUAUAAGAUACUGAAGAAAUAUAAGAAAAUAAAAGAAAAAAUUGAUUGUCUCAUAUUACCCUAGUAGAGAAAGAAAGGUCUUACUUCUUGAUUGGGAGUCUUGUAGGGGUGUAUUGCAUCUCUCCAUGCAAAUAGUACCAAUGCUAUAAUAUUUUCUACAGUUUAUUGCUUGAAAUGGAAAAUACAGCCCUAUAUAGCUAAGGAUUGGCUGUGGCAAGUUGGUGUUUUCUUUGCAAGCAGAAUGAGGAAUAAAGCCAAUCAUAUUCUUAUUUAAUGCUGGGUGAUGCAUAGUUUAGACCUUUGGUGUUAUGUCUUUUUGUGGGUGUUGCCUUGUUCAAUCAAGAAUGAGUUGUUGUUGUGGUUUUCCUUCUUUUUUUUUGGGGAUCAGGAACACACUAGAUCUUUCUAUUGAUUAAAAAGACAAAGGAGAACAAGAGUUCCUUUCAUAAGAUACAAACCUAAUCAAAACAAGAGAAAAAACUCCUUAACAAGGAGCCAUACAAGCUAAAUAAUUAAAAAAAAAAUGAAUUACAAAAAUCUAGGAAUAGAAUGUAAAUAAACAUUAACUAGAAAAGGAGGCAAAAAAUCUAUAACAAAAUAUACCAAAUGUUUUGCUCCUCUUUUAGCUAAAAAGUUUUACACUUGAUUGAUUAAGUGAAUAAACCAACAGAUGAAGGAUCCUAUACAAUAUUUAGUGUGGCCACCUAUCAAAUCUCCAUGCACCUUUUUUUCUUUUAGCCGUCCAUGAAAUGGUAACAUCAGAAUCUUCCUUGACUACAAGAAUUACAAAAAUCUAGGAAUAGAGCAUAAAUAAACAUGCAUUAGAAAAUGAGGUAAAAAAUCUCUAAUAAAAGACACCAAAUAUUUUGCUUUUCUUUUAGCUAAAAAGUUUGCCACUUGAUUGAUUAAGUGAAGAAGCCAAUGGAUGAAAGAUCCUAUACAAUAUUUGGUGUGGUUACCCAUCAAACUACUGGGAACCCCAGAUUUUCCCACUCCUUGUCCCUGGAUCUCGUAGGGUGCAUGCAUCUAUCUCUAAGCAUCUCUAAAUCUAUCAUAGCGAAAUAAAAACCAUUAAUUAACUAUACAUCUAGAGAUAUAAUACUCAUACUUGGAUUUGGAUGUUCCCAAAUCAAUUUCACGUAGAGAAGAAGUUUGAAGGACUCACACACCCAAUGUUUUUUGCCCAAUGACUCAAACCACAAUCUUGACACUCCAAAGUGUGGGCAAUGGAAGAGAGGAAGCUUUGUCUCUCUCUUUCUCUCUCUUUGGAGAUGGAAGACGGCUAAUUGAAAGUCAUUAGGAAACCCUAACCCCUAAAGUGUAUUUAUAGUGUUGCUCACUAAGCUUAAGUGACUUGAGCCUAUCAAGGUUUGUGCCACUUAAUCUAGCUUAAAACAGGUCCUAAUUGAUUAAUUAACCAUAUAAAUUCAUUUAAUUAAUCAAUUAGCUCAAUCCAAAGACCUUGUUCACUAUCCCUUGUGUAGUCUUAAUUGCCAAAACGCCCUUAUACACAAAAAUGAACUUAGAGCCAAUUCAAUCCUCAUAAAUCAUGUCAUUAUGGUAUAUGAGCUCAGAGUAGGGAUCAUUGGGACCCAUAGGAGUAUUGGAUCCCUCAAAAUCCAAUUUUAAAGUUGAUUUAACAUUCCACUGAAAAGAAUUAAUUUCACUUUAGUACUCUAUGUAAAUAACAACGAGGCAAAGUUCAGGUUUGUGACUUACUAUCCAUUGCAUGCAGACUCCCCAUGAAUUGGGGUCUGUAAUCUAACAAGGUAGUGCUAUCGUCUAUCAAAAUUACCUCUCUAAUCCUUGAGUUACAGAUCCUACUUAUUUUGUGAUCAAUUGACAUACUCUAGCUUUAUGGAGUAUACGUCAAAUUCCACUAAAGGAAUUACUGCGAUUGUAGAUUUCAUGAUCACAUGUUCUUUGGAUCACUCAAGGGCACACACUGUCUCAAUCCCAUGAGAUAUUUUGUUGUCUCUAUUGAAAAUACCUGUUACCAUCAACCUCUAUCAACAGUGACCUAAUCCAUAGGGAUAUAUGACCACUUUAGGGUCUCACCAAUAGGUUAAAACCUCCUAUUGAUUUUGACACAUGCUCAAUAUCUUCUUAAGGUUAAGAAUUCAUGUAGUAUAGUAACUUGGUGAAUCAUGACAAUUGAUAGUCUUACGUCAUGAUUCACCGCAGGUCUUAUCUAAUGAGCAUCACAUACACAAGUGCAUUACAUAUAUAAGUGCACUCACCAUGAGCAACCCAUCCCGAUCGCCAAGACAAGUCAUCUCUCCAAUUAGGAGGUAAUGCACUACAGUCUAUUGGAUUACCUAAAUCCAUUAACUGACUAUGGACAAUUUAUCUAUAUACAAGGAACCUAUAACUUGUAUCCUUUGUGUAAUUCCUAAUAGACCCAAGUCAUGUACAAUGUAAAAAAUGUGCGUUGAAUGCUUAAAUCAAUGUCAAUGUAUAAAAAUGAUAGCAAGAAGAUAGUCAAGUUUGACUUUGUUACAUCAUGUCUUGCUUUUAGGGGUUCAAUUCCAACACAAAUCUCCAUGAACCUCUUUUUCUCUUAGUCGCCCAUGAAAUGAUAACAUCAAAAUCUUCCUUGACUAUAAGAUUGGACAACCUCAAAGCUUUGGUCUCAAUAGCAAAAGCUCUCACCUGUAGGUUUAGGGUAAGCUUUUGUCACUGUACCUUGUUAAUCUCUAAUUACUCCACCAAUUCCAAGUUGCCUUGGGGUAGCCAAAGAACAUCCAUCAAAUCCAACUUGACGAACCGUUCAAUCAAGGUUGACCAUAUUUGAGAACUGUUCUUAACCAACUUUUUCCACCUACUUACAAGGCCCUAGUUUUGUGUGAUACAAGGCUUAAAGGAGUGCCAGUGAAAGCUUCAGUAACAAAGGGUUAAAGGGACAUAGGAGAGUAAAACAAGUAAUAAACCAUAUUUUUUAUCCUCCAAACAUCCUAAAAAAUCUUUGUAUUUCUUUCUGGCCAUACUGUUCAAAUCAAGUUGAAGCUUGAUCUGCUGUAAAGUAUGCCAAAGAAACCCAAAUCUCAUCCGAGAUAUUAUCUUGGUUAUCUAUCAUUAUCUCCUUAUUCAUCAAUGAUUUGAAUUCGAUCAAUUUCUUUUUCUUAUUCUAUUAGCUAUCCUAUGGAAGUAUUUUGAAUUAUAAUGCCCUUCCUUUGCCCGUUUAGUUCUCUACAUUUUUGUCUUUAAUGCACCUCUUCUUUCAACACCAAAUCUUUCAGUUCCACAUUUUUUGUAGGCCUCAAAGUAGCCAACUCAAUAGUUACCCUCUUGUGAAUUGACAUAGCAAUAUUACCUCUCAAGAUGGCUUCCUUCCCUUUUUUGAUAUCUAAAAAAUAACCUUCUUUCAGAUUUUCAACUUUGUUUUCAUGUCUUGCAACUUUUGCAUAAACUAUGCCUUUCCCAUCCCACUACGGAGCACCCUUUCCACUAAGUGCUAAUACAAAUUGGGCCUAGGAUUGUCACUUUGGGUCUUUUCAGGAUCUAGUUGACUACUUAUGUUGAGAUUAAGGUGUCGUUGAUGUCCUAUUAAUUCAUUGUUAUCACGUAUUAAAAGAAAAAAAAAUGUCACUAAAUGCUGCUGAUUUUUUAAGAUAGCUGUUCAUUUUUUAUUCUUAUAUUCACAUUGUUCUAUAUUGACCGUUUUCCAGUUUCAUGCUUUAGCUGGAUUUAGCUUAUUCUGCCAAGUUGUUUGUAGAGUUGCUGUUGCCACUCAAUUCCAGCGUGCUUUUAUGCAACUUCUGUAUGAUGCUCAGUUUGAAGAACUAUCAGCUAGGGAUUUGAUGUUAACAUCUGCAUUAAACACUGAUUAUCUCCUUACUCUGCCCAUAUAUGUCGACUGGAAGAAGGCAUCUGAGUCCAAUGCAAUAAUAUUCAAGUGAGUUUUAGUUAUAGACCUGCUUAUACCUUUUUCAUCUUCAUCUUAACUUUCAGACAAAUUUUAACAAGCCAAACUCAUGAAGUCAACUUGUAGUUUGAGUGAAACAGUAGAUUUGGACAUGAAAUUUGUAGAUUUUAUAUAUUUUUUCUGGUCUAUGCAUGUCUGUACACAUUGUGUGAUGUAUGUGUGUACACGUGUAACCAUGUAUUUGUAUGUGUGUAAAAGGGGCAUGCUUGAAUGAUUGCUUUGUUGACUCGUAACUUUCCUGUAAUCAAGAAUGGUUGGGUGGUCAAUUAUUGUAUUAUGGAGGGUGGUCAGAGUCUCAGGAUCCAAGAUUCUUAAGGAGUUCUCAGGAUUGGAGUUGGUUUUGGUGUAGUUAUUUUUGUAACUUAUUCAUCCUGUUGUUAUCUGUGAUGGAAGAGAUGAUAGCUUGGUGUGGAGAAUAUCAAUGAAUGAUUGCUUCUCUGUGAAGUCUUUUUGUAAGGCACUGUAUUUAGGAGUUUUUUUUUUCGUUGCACUCCUUCUAAGGUUAGGUUCUUUGUAUUGGAAAUGGUUUGAUAAAAAAAAAUCUUGCUAUUGACCAACCCAUGGGAAGAGGUACGUUGGUGCUGAUUGUGCAUACAAAUGGAGGAGUCAGUUACCAUCUGCUCAGGGUGGUUUGGGUGUUUCCUUGGUUGAUUAAGGAUACAUUGUACAAUUGGCUCUAGAAUGUUUUGUUGGCAAGAGUAGAAAGUUGGUGAGAAGAUGUUCCCUUGGUGUUUAUUUUGGUGCCUUUGAAAAGGAGCGGAAUCAUAGGAAUAUUUAUCGUAUGAAGUGUUCAGAGUGGGUUCUGAAAGAGUAUCUCAUCAAAUCUCUGUUUCUUGGUCAAGGGAUCCUUUGUGGUUAACAACUUGUCAUUUUUAGAUUUUAUUGAUCAGUGAACUAGGUUUAAGGCCCAUUAGUGCUUGUUGCAGUUCUUUUUCUUCUUCUUCCUUUUUUUUUUGGUUUUAAUAUUUUCAGUGCUUCUGGUAUACUUCCUAUGUACAUGGAUUGUGCCCCCUUUUAGUUAGGUUCCUUAUAUUUAUAUUCUUCCUUCUUUUUCAUGUGAUAAAUGUCUUAGUAUGCACUCGCAUGCCAUGAUUGCAGAGUUAUUUGUUUUGGUUGCUUUCUGUGCAUAAACCUGCCAUUUCCACAAAUUCUACUAUGUGAGAUAUUAGAAGGCCGCUUACUUUUGACAGGCAUUCACCUUUUAUAUUACAGGCGGGGAUAUGCAGCCGAGAGGCAGAAGGGUCUAUUAGUUGUUGAAAAACUGGAUUACUUACAGUCAAAACUUCUGCAAGGAAUUUUCUUUGUCAUAUCAAAACCAUUAGGGAAAGUUGGCACCUGGAUAAAUGAGGUUGUUCUCUUGUUUAUGGAAACUUGGAUGUCUCCAUCUUGAGGCAGUCUCAAACUUUUACUUUUUUAUUGAAGGUUGCAUAUUUAAAGCUACCUAGAUGUCAUAUUGUUAUUUGAAAGGAUUCUACUACUUCAUACGGUUGAUUGUAGAUGUGGUGUAGACAAGCAUGCUUUUAUAUUUAUCUAUGCAUGUGUUUAUGUGUAUUAAGUGUUCCUAUAAUUGUUUGUAAUUGUCUUAAUAAGAAUUCCUUAAGUUUGCAUUUUAAGAAAAAAGGGGGAAAAACAACUGGUUUCAUUUUCCAAUUCCUGACCAAAGAAAAUCCCUAUAUAAUUUCUCGAUCUUAAGUGCUACUUUGGAAGGGAUUUUAAACAUUGAUAGAAAAUGAAUGGGUAAGAGAAAUAAAAGAUUGUGUCAGGGUUAUUUUAUUGUCUAGGGACGAGGACUUUCUUCCAACGAUCCAAUCUACAGGAAAUCCUAUCAAGAACUGGGUCCCAAAAUGAAUCAGACCAAGGGUUCCCUUCCAAUGGGAGACCCAAACAUGAAAGGGGCGUAUUUGAGGCUAUGCAAGGUAGCCAAACCAGUAAUUUGAGCCAAUGGCUAAAAAGUAUAGGCAACAUACCUCCACUGUGCAGCAUAGCAUGACCCUUUGUUUCUAGGACAAAAAUUGCUUCAUUUUCAACUCUUUCCAGAUAUUACUAGACGGAUAUGGCUCUCUCUGGAUUCAUCAGUGGAGGUACAUAUAACUACUUUGCAAAAUUUGUUGUUCUCCACAGAUCUCUUCUGGUUAAAGAGAUUGAACUGGUAAAAUUGAUGAAAUCUGUGAAAUUUCUUACUGUUUUGUCAGGGUGCCCUGAAAAGAAAGUAUUUCAAUUUUAUCUAUUUCAAACACAAAUGCUUUUUCAGUGUUUCUGGAGUAACACUAAUCUUUGACUUGUCUUGUUUCAUCUAUUUUUAACCCUAGACUUUCUUAACAUUGUGGGAACUUUUUAAUGUCUUUGCAUCAAACCAUCUCCCAGUUACAACGCUUAUGGUUUGGGUAAUUUUAUGGUUAAGCACAUUUACAAAAAGUUUCUCAUUUUCUGGAGCCUGAUUUAGAACAAAUGUUUUGUGAUCAUAUGCAUUUAAGAAGUGCAACUCCUUUAUAAUAUAUAUCUUGUUUGGCAGUUUGAAACUAUAUGGGUAAGUAUGAUACUCCUUGUGUCUGAAACAAUCUACAAUAUCCUCAUAAGUAAUCUAUUAAAGGAGUUGAAUCAAAGGAGGAACAGUUGGAUAGACACAGCUAUUCUUUUAUCUAAUAUUUUCUGUUUUUAAAUUCAUUAUUUUGAAGACUCUAUUGCUCACUUUGCUUCUGUAAAUUUUAAGCUUUUUUUUUUCUUCAUUAUAGAUAGUAUUGCAUCUGACAUGUCUCCUUAAUUGCUUUAGGACAGGCUUUCAAAAGUGCUUAUCAGACACAGGAAAUACAAGUUUGGAUUAAGAGAAUGAAACUUUGGCUUGAAGAACUGUCUCUUUUUCAACAAUCAUAUUCUUAUAAAGAACAAACUUCCGAUUAUCUGUUGGACGUAGACAAACUAUCAGAUAGUGAUCUUCCUAUUUGGCUAGCAGCACAGAAGGCUGUAACUCGUUAUGAAGGACUCCUGUCACCUGUUGGACCCCGUGGCAGGCUCUUAAGGAAAUUGCUUACAUGGAGUGGACUUAUACCCUCUACAACAGAAACAACAUUUGAGCUUCAAAAUGAUAAUACUGCUUCAGAACUUUAUUUGGGGUUUGUCUUAAUGAAAUUGUAUCCCUUUUGUUUUUUGUGUUGGCUAUUAGUAAUAGACCUAUUGCCUUGGCUAAUUGAUUCAUGGAAAAGAGUUGCUUGGGUGUUAUUUAAAGCAUCUUGUGCUAUGAAAGGUCUCCCAUAAUCAAUCAUUGUUUGUGAUGCUAAUUAGGUUCCCAUGUGAUGCUGAUUAUGCUUACAUGUAAAUAGAAUCGAACCAUGAUCCUAGGCUGAUGUUGGUUAUGUUUCCUCAUAAAUACAAUUGGGCCAUGAUUCUAGGUUGAUGCUGAUCAUGUUUCCUUUUGUGUUGGGAUUUACCAUCUAUUUAAACCAUUUAACUGUACAUGCUUGUACAUUGGAAAAUAUACUUGUGUUUGAUCAUUCUCUGUCUCCCAAAUGUUUUCUUUCUUUUCUGCUCAGUCUGAUAUUAUUUUCAUAUUACAUGAGCUGUUUUGAUUUUGAGUUGUUCUCUUCCUCGUUCUCCUAAAUUUAACUUCAGCAUCCUACUUUUCUUUUGUUUUCAAUUUCUCUCUCCAUUUCCUUGAAAUCGUUCUAGGGAAACCAAAAUUUUGCUUUUGUUUUUGAACAAAUAAUGGAGGGGAUCUUUUCUUCUACAUUGGGUAGUUACUGGAGUUAUAAUGGGGUUGUUAAUCAAAUAUCUUGUGUAUACGUCUUAACAAAGUAGGAUAUCUCAGAGGAAAAAUAGACAUUUACUUGAUGUUAUUAAGGCUUUGUUAUUCACCAUGGGAGUGCCACAAUAUUUGUGGGAGGAAACUAUCCUAGCUACUUGUAGUGGUUAAUAGAAUGCCUACCCUAGUCCUCAAUUUUAACACUCCUUUUUACUCUCUUAAACUUGUUUUUCCAACCUCUCACUUGUUUAAGACUUAUACCAAAAGUUUCUUGUUGUACAAUCAUUUGUUCACUUUCAAAAGCACAAUUUGAGUAAGCUUAAUUUUAGGUCACUUAAGAGUGUCUUCUGUUGUAGUGCCAACGAAAGCUUUGAUGCCAACAAUGUUAGUUCAAGAACACAAAGAUAAAACAAUCACACAUACGGUACACGAGGUUUUAACGUGGUUCGGCCAACCAUGCCUACGUCCACGGAUGAGAGAGAAUGAUUUCACUAUACAAUAGAGAAUAUUACAGAGGACAGAACCAGAUACAACUAUUGGGUUCCCGAAAUAUCCCAUGUUUCCCCACUCAUUGUAUCCAUACCUUACUACGAGCCCUCUCGCUCCACCGGGUACCUCCCGUUCUUCCUCACAUCUCUAUCCACCUCGUAUAGUCUCUACAGGCCCAUCUCCAUCUCAUAACUUUUUCUCCUCAUGAUCUAGAAUAUUUAUAGAGAUAUUUCCAACAACCUUCCUUAUUCUAUAAGGAAGUCUAAUAUUACAAUAAUAUAUCAACCUAAAAAUAUUCCAUAUAAUAUUCUUUACAAAAAAGGGAUUUAUAUUAAUUAGGAAUUUGGGACACUUCCUAACAAUCUCCACCUUGGACCAAAUUCCAUGAAGUUAAUCUUCAAUCUUUGCAUGACACAAACCUUUUUGUAUCAUAUCACCACGAAAGAGCAAUCGACUCCACCUUCAGUGAAAAUUACUUUUGUUUUCAUCUUGUGUGCUUUGUGAUCUUUUACUCUUCCAGAAAUCUUCAACCCAAGCUCUGAUACCAGAAAAAUACAAUGGGAUUCAUAGAAGAUAACAAUUAGAAUCUCUAGAUAAUUUGCUAACAGACAAGAGAUUACAAGUAAGUUUAGGAACAUGGAGAACAAAUUUAAGAUUUAUUCCCUCAGAGAUUUUUAUUAGACCUUUUCCUGCAAUAGGUGAGAAAUUACCAUCACUAUCCGAACCUUUUUAUUUCCAGGACAAUAGGAUUCAAACAUGUUUGAGGAAUUGGUCAUGUGGUCGGAUGCUCCAGAAUCGAUUAUCCAUGGAGUAGAUUUAAAACGACAAGAUAGAGCAUAUAAUUCAUUACCUGUGUGUGCCAAAGAAACACUAGAAGUACCGGAUGUCAAGUUGGAUUUCAGCAGUGCGGUCUGUGAUUGAUUCCCUAAAUCAGAAUACAUCUGAUUUACAUUCUCCCAAAGCUCUUGUGCUGUUGGAUAGCACAUGUAAUUAGAGUUAAUGUCUUCUUCCAUAGAAUUCACAAGCCAUGUCAUCACCAUGGAAUUCUCAUUAUCCCAUAUAGCAUAGUUCGGAUCAUCCACUGCAGGAGCCUUCUUUUCACCCGUCAGGUAGCCUAUAUUUCCACGUCCUCUGAUGUACAUCCGAACUGAUUGAGACCAUCUCAGAAAGUUGUCACCAUUCAAGCGAAUCGUGGUGAUUUGGACAGAGUGAGAUUCCAAGGUGGUAGGACUGAUUUUUGAAGAAUCAGUGAUGAUGGGAUUGUUCAGAGAAGGUUGAGGAACAGUAGUGGACUCGUUUGAAAUAUCCGACAUGGUUUCAGAGAACAGGGAUUGAAAGAGAGGAAGAAGGAGAGUUUUGGCAAGCAAAUUGCUAGCUCUGAUACCAGUUGUUGUGCCAGCGAAAGCUCUGAUACUAGUUGUAGUGCCAACGAAAGCUUUGAUGCCAACAAUGUUAGUUCAAGAACACAAAGAUAAAACAAUCACACAUACGGUACACGAGGUUUUAACGUGGUUCGGCCAACCAUGCCUACGUCCACGGAUGAGAGAGAAUGAUUCCACUAUACAAUAGAGAAUAUUACAGAGGACAGAACCAGAUACAACUAUUGGGUUCCUGAAACAUCCCAUGUUUCCCCACUCCUUGUAUCCAUACCUUACUACGAGCCCUCUCGCUUCACCGGGUACCUCCCGUUCUUUCUCACAUCUUUAUUCACCUCGUAUAGUCUCUAUAGGCCCAUCUCCAUCUCAUAACUUUUUCUCCUCAUGAUCUAGAAUAUUUAUAAAGAUAUUUCCAACAACCUUCCUUAUUCUAUAAGGAAGUCUAAUAUUACAAUAAUAUAUCAACCUAAAAAUAUUCUAUAUAAUAUUCUUUACAAUAAAGGAAUCUAUAUUAAUUAGGAAUUUGGGAUACCUCCUAACAAUAUCUUCGUUGACCAUUCUCUUAUUCAAAAAAGGGUAUAAAUGUUUUCAUCCUUGAACAAAGAAGUUUUUUUGUUACUAUGGAUGUCACUUUCUUUGAGUCACAACCUUGUUUCACCUAAACAUUUUUUCAGGGGGGAAUAAAAGUGUGGGAGAUUAGUUAUAGGAUGAUGAGAUGUUACUAACACUUGUUAUGAAUCCUUUUCAUUGUAACAUACUUUGCCUACAUCAUGGCCACCUUCUACCAUGCCUAUAGUUGAAAUUAACUAAGAAGAAAUUCUAGCUAAUAAUCAACUGGUGGUUGAGGAAAAGGAAAAUGGAAAAUCUUAUGAAUUAUAGGUGUAUUCUUGAAGAAUAAGUCUAAGAAAGAUUGCUAAUCUUCUGAUUUAGAGAUAGUGCCUUUGGAAAACAUAGGUGGCUUUGAGCCUUGUUCUACUCUGCCUAUUACUUUUCUAAAUCUUGCUUUAUUUAUCCCAUUGUUUUUGUCUCAAAUCUUGAUUUGCCUAUUACUAUGAGAAAGGGUGUUAGAUCUUGUACGCAUCAUCCUAUAAGCCAGUUUUUUUCUUAUCAUAUGCUAAUACUCUUUGUUGGACAACCAAUUUUCCUAAAGCUUAAGCUUGUAAGAUUUGGGCCCACAAUGUAUAUUAUGCACUUUAACACUCUCCCUCACAUGCAACCCUUAUACCCGCACGUGGAGAGACACACAAGCCGAUAGGCAAACAACCACAAUCAACCUCUUUUAGGCUUAAUAAAUUGGGGAUAUAAAUAUAUGGUAGUGAGAUUCGGACAUAUGACUUGUCACUAAACAAGGCUUUGAUACCAUAUUGAGCAACCGAUUUUUCUAAAAGUUUAAGCUUAAAAAAGCUUAAGCUUGUAGGAUUUGGGCCUACAACAUAUAUCAUGCAUUCUAACACUCCUUUUUAGAGCCUUCACUACUAAUCUUUCAAGAGUUAUUCCUAAAACUAUACAAGAAGGUCUUGCUCUUCCAAAGUGGAGAGAGGCAAUUUAAGAAGAGAUGAGAACCCUAGAUAAAAUGCUACUUAGGAGCUUGUAAGUCUUCCAUCUUGGAAGAGACAUGUUGGAUGCAAAUGGGUGUCUACUAUAAAGAAUAGGGUAGAUGGAUCAAUCAAAGAACAUAAGGCAAGGCUUGUUGCAAAAGGUUUUAUACAAACCUAUGGAAUUAAUUAUCAAGGGACUUUCACCCCAUUUGCUGAGAUGAAUUCAUUUAGGGUACUGUUAUGUCUUAUUACAAACCUAGAAAGGCACUACUUUAGUUGAAUAUAAAAAAUACAUUUCUUCAUGGUGAAUUAAAGGAAGAAGUGUAUAUGGAUCUUUCACCCGGUUUUGAGGAUAUGUAUGAUAAUCAAAAGGUUUACAAGGUUAAAAAAUCCCUUUACAGUCUCAAGUAAUCACCUAGGGUCUAGUUUGAAAGAUUCACAUGAUCUCUUAUCAGAUAUGAGUACUGUUAGAGUUAAGGGAACCAUAUUAUGAUUUUUAGAUACUCAAGGAUGAAAAUAUAGCCAUUCUUAUAGUACAUGUAGAUGGUAUCAUCUUAACAAGAAACGAUAAGUGUGAGAUACAAAAUUUUGAAACAACUUCUAGCUAACAAGUUUGAGAUUGAGGAUCUUAGAGGAUUGAGGUACUUUCUGGGAAUCAAAGUUGCAAGUCAUAAAAAGAGAUAUAAAGUAUACGUUAGACCUCCUAAAAGAGGUUGGCAUGAUAGGAUGCAAACCAAGUGAUACUUCGAUUAAGGCAAACUGCAGGCUAGGAACUUGUAUUGAGGGUAAACUAGUUGACAAAAGUUGAUAUCAAAGGUUGGUUGGGAAGCUAAUUUAUUUAUCUCAUACAAAGCCUAUUGCUCACAUGGUUAGUGUAGUUAGCUAAUGUAUGCAGUCACCAAGUGAAGCUCAUAUGAAGGCAGUCAUUAAGAUACUAAGAUACUUGAAGGGCACACUUGGAAAAGGUCUUUUGUUCCCUCAGAAUAAUUACUGACUAGUAGAGGCUCUAGUAGAGGCUUACAUACUUGAGGAUUAGGUUUGAUCCCUUGAUGACAGGAGAUCUAAUUUGAGGUAUUGCACAUUCAUUGGAGGUAAUCUAGUGACUUGGAGAAGCAAAAUGCAAGAAGAUGUGGCUAGGUCAAGCACUGAAGCUAAGUUUCGAGUAAUGACACAAGGAUAUUGUGAGUUACUAUGGUUGAGAAUUCUUCAUUCAAAAUUGAGAAUGAAAAAAAAAAAACCAGAAAUUAUGACGUUAUAUUGUGACCACAAGGCUGCUACUAAUAUGGCCUAUAACCCUGUUCAACAUGAUAGGACUAAACAUGUUGAAAUUGAUUGACACUUCAUUGAGGAAAAAGUUGCAUAGUUUUUUUAUUUGUAUUCCAUUUGUGACAACACAUGAACAAUUAACAAAUAUUCUCACAAACAAUUUUCAAAGCAAGUGUUUUAAUCUCUAGUAAUCAAGGUGGGUAUGAUGAACAUCUUUAAACAAGCUUUAAGGGGAGUGUGGAAAGUCCAUAUCGUGAUUUCAUUUACUUUCUUGAUUCUAAUCUGAUUGGUAAUUUGAUUCAUAAACCUUACUUGGUUUUCUAAUUUGUCUUCUUUUUUUUUUGGGGGGUACAGAUUUGUCUCCUUGAUUGUAAUUUAGGAUAAUUAUAGUUGUAAAUCUUCCUUUCCUAGGUUGUUCCCAUUGUAUAGAUGUAAGUGAUAUAUUGUAGAAUUUUACAAGACGAAAAUUCAGAAUUUGUAGACUAAGUGCAUAGAGAUUGAUUACCACUUUGUUUAGUAACAUCUUCAACUUGGGAUCAUUUCACUACCAUUUCUCUCUUCCUUUAUGCAAUUGGCUGAUUUCUUCAUGAAGUCCCACACCAUUAUACGCUUUCACCUUCUUCUUGACAAACUCUUGAUGCUUCAUGUCACACAUGAAUGUUUGAGUAUUACUAUGCUGAUUAUAUUUCCUUGUCUUGCUGAUCAUGUUCACUUGUAAAUAAAAUUAAUCCAUGGUCCUAGGCUGAUGCUGGUUGUCUUUCAUGUAAAUAUAAUUGACCCAGGAUUCUAGGCUUAUGCUGAUCAUGUUUCUUUUUGUGUAGGGAUUUACCAUCUAUUAAACCUGUUUCCUGUACAUACUUAUAAAUUGGAAAAUAUACUUAUGUAUGAUCAUUCUCUCUGUCUCCUAACUCUGUUCUCUCUUUUCUGUUUGUGCUGAUAUUAUUUUCACAUUAUUGUGUUUAUGAAGUGAUCUGAUAGCUUAUGCUACAUUACAAAGUGGAUUCUUAAAGUUUUAACUAAUUAUAUUUUGCAGUUUGCGAUCAUGGUUAGAAUUUUUUAUUAUCUGAGAAGUGACCAAGUAACACAAGAAUUGUUUCACCAGGCCAAUUUCCUUAUCAAGGAUAACAUUGGGUGAUAUAUGGAGACCUGCUACAAGGAAAAAUUGUGGAAAUGAUUUUUGGAAAAUGUUGAAAACAUCCAUUUCCAUUCUUCUCUCACAGUCAAUCCUCCAGGUAUUAGCCAUCUAUGUAAUUACUGUUUUCCUUUUAUCUAUUACUUAUAUUAUAUCAUCAAAUAUUUUAGAAUGAUUGUUCGUGCCUUACCCCUUUUUCCCAUAAAUUACAAUUUCUCUCAUUUUUGGAGUUAGGAUUUUCUCCCAUUGUAAUAGAUAGAUAGUUUUAUUACUUCUCAUUUUGGUUGUCAAGUUUUUCUUGUGAGAUAUAAUUACAGUAUGAGGAGCAGAAGGUUUGCUAUAAAGUACCACACGUGUUUAUGUUGAGAUGACUCUUGAUGGAUUUACAUUCCUCUCUGCCUUUAUGUUCAUUCUAUUAAUGUGGACAACAUUUCUCGACUUUCACUUUUUUUUCUUGCAUCAAGGUUCGAAGGUUAUUUGGAUGCAAGUUUAACCUAAGCUAUCUACUAAAUCCAGAAAAGAAGAAACAUCAGCUUCUCCUAAACAACUGGUCCAACAAAGUUUUAAGGAAAGUUCUUUACUCCACCAUCAAUUAGAAGUGCCCCAAGCCUUGGAAACUUCUUCUAUUUCUCUCUUUCCACAUUUUCCAAUAUAAACAAAUGAGAGUUUUUCUUCAGACCUUCCUGCGGCUCUUGUCCCCAAAGCCUCAAUCCCGUUAAAGUUUCACACCCUUAAUGGAGCAAGGCAGGACCCAAGACUGGGAUCCACAAAUUAAAAGCCCACAACAGUGAAUGAGAAUAUGAUUGGUAGAUUCAUUAUAAAUUUUCAUAGACGCCACAGUCAAGCAUCAACACUUAUAAUUAUGAUUUAUGACAAUACAAUUUUUGCUAUGUUGAUCUUUGGGUGUUUUUUUUGAAGAUUUCCUUAGCUUUCUUUCAAAAUUAUGAAGGACUAUCGGGAGGGAUUCACUCUGAGUGACAAUUGGAAUAAUUAGAUUGUCGCUUGCAUUCUAUUUAAGUCCGCACCCCACAGAUAGCAUAUAGAAAACAUUUUUUUUUUUGAAGUAGCAUAUAGGAAAGAAUCAUCACUUAGAGAACAUGUACAAAAUAAUCAUUGGGGUGAAUUCUUUUUGAUUCUUUUUCUUUUUUAAUUUUAUCCCCAUUGAAGCUAGAACCUAGAACCUCUUACAAACCCCCUUUAACCCCUUAUCACUUGAGCUAGGCCUCAAGACCAAAGGUUGGAAAUAAAUUAGUCAUGUUACUAUUAUACUAAAAAAAAAUGAGUAUAUUGAGCUAUAUUGAGUGGGUUUUGUAGGAAUUGUGAGCUAUAUUGAGUAUACUAAAAAAUUCUGCAUGAGAGGUGUCAGGUUAUCUAGGUAGGAUUAUGGCUUCAUGUGAAAUGAUGAUUGGUACAACUUCACUUUGCUGACUCCAGAUUAGCUUUUUGUUUAUAUGAAUUGGGUAUUCUUUAAUUUGAAUACGUGUCUAUGUAUUUUAUAUGUGUAUGUAUACUCUUCUCCACAUCAUGUGAACAUCUUUUAAAUGGUUAAUUUUGUUAUUAGUAUUGUCAUUAUGAGAUAAUAGUGAAUAUUAUUCUAAAAAUUUCUGCCUUCUCAAAUCAGGAGCCAGCAUUCGAAGAAUUGAUUCUGCUUUAUACUGAAGAAGUGAGUGAAGGAGAAUCCAAAUAUAAAUCUGAGGUUCCUUCAUUGCAAUUGAAGAUCUAUGAGAGAAUUCCUAUUCCUGAUUUACCGGUAAAUAACUGUGUUACUUAUCAAUCCUCCCAUGUGUUAUGCUUGGCUCAAGUUAUUUGUAUCUACCUUUUUGCAGUUCUUUCUUUAUGCAAUGCUUGAAGGAUUUUCUCAUGAAUUUUCAUAUGGCUCAUGUAUUUGCAGGUUGUUUUUCCUCACAAAAAGCUAUCUUUCCGUAUCAUAGACACGGUAUGAACAAUUAGAUUUGUCUUUGUUGCAUGUUGGGUUGGCUCUAUAAAAAAAACUCCAUAGUUACUAUCUAUAAAUUGGAUUUAAACAGUUCAAGGCUAUAUGCAGUAGCCAGUAGCUUUACUGAUUUUCUUGGAUGCUUAUCUGUUGUUACUUUAUCAGAUGAUAAUAUCUAUCACAGAAGUCAUUGUCUAUAUGCUUGUCAUAUCUGCAUUGACCAGAUGAUUACAUAUUUAUUUGGAAAACCAUAUAAAUGUCAAUAAAUAAGGACCAUUAUCUGUUCUAAAAUAAGUUUUCUUUAACCAUGUUUUUGUUAAACAUAGGAAUUAGUUUGACAAUAUAGGAUAAUAUACCAAACAAGGAGUGGCAUUUUUACUUUCACUUUGAUGGAUCUUUCCAUGUGGUAAUGGGUAGAAAUAUCAUGUUCAUUAUAGGUUUCUAGCACUCCCUUUUUCUAUUUUGAAAAGUUGUGUAAUACAUUGUAAUAGUAAUUACAUAGUCAUGUCACCUUAUUUCUAAAUUAUGAGUUAGUCAUGGCACUUUUAUUUCCCUUUCUUUUGUUUUUUCCUUCUACAUUCAUGUAGAGAUGGCAUAUACAAUGAUUGCACACGUUUGACAUUUUGGUGAUUUUUUCCAAUGAAAAAGUAUUCUAAACUAGUGACAUGCAUUGUUAAGUUUCCUUUUUUUCAUUUGUUUUUUAUUUUUUGAUAGGUGAAGUAAUAAUAAUACAAUAAAGGUUUUUCACAAGAAAAAUGGGUGCAACCUUAACAUGGAGGAUGUAUUCAAAUCGCAUUGAAUGCAAACACUAAGAAGGCCUUAACUCUUAGCAAGAAAGUUGACAGGAGUACAAAGAUUAACAAAGAAUUUUUCUACACUAACUCCAUGUUCUCCACUUCUCAAAAUAUCUUUAAUUCCUCUUUCCAAAUAGAAACAUCAAAUCAAGAGUAGUCAUGCUCUUUCAUUUCUUCUCCAUGAAUCUCCUUUCCAACUUACCAGUAACUCUGUUAACCAACCUAAGAAACAGCCCAGAACUGUUAAUGAAGAAAGAUACCAAACAUUAUAGAAUUGUGGGCCAGUUUUGUAGCUGCUUACAAAUAAAAUGCCAAGUUGCUAAAGACCAUCCCUUUUUCUUAAGCUAAGUGGAGUCAAAAGGGUUUUCCAUGAGAUAGGAAGGUGUGAAGUAGUGGUUGCUUGUUGAUCAUCUGUAGGCUGGCCAUAGAUCUUAGUGGACAUAGAGAAUAAUAUUUUGGAUUUAUGCAUUUCAAUUAAAAGACCUGAUCUACUGCCUAUCAAAAAAACAAAAAUAAAAAAUAAAAAUGAAAAUAAAAGACCUGAACUACCAAAUCCUUAAAUAAAACAGUUAUUGUGCUUUAAAUGAUUUUCAUAAUUUUUAAAAGAUGGAACUAUAUGAAUAAUGGAAAAGCUUCAUGAAAGGAAGAUUAAGGAUUCAUACAUAAUAACUAAUGGGAAAUGCCCAUUUAAAUUUAUAUGGAUCGAAGAAGUCCAACAUUGAUUUUUUUAUUUUAUUUUAUCAGUAAAUGAAAAAAAUAUUAAAAAGCUCCUGUUGGAGAUGAAUGGUGAUAAAGCUUCAGGCCUGGAUGGAUUCACAGUGGCUUUUUGGCAAGCUUGUUGGGACUUUGUGAAGGAGGAGAUUUUGGAGUUGUUUAAGGAGUUUUAUGAUCAAAGCUCCUUUGCCAAAAGCCUUAAUACCACUUUCCUGGUCCUUAUUCCAAAGAAAGGGGGUGCUGAGGACCUGGGAGACUUCCGGCCCAUCGGCCUUUUAGGGGGGCUGUACAAGCUUUUGGCCAAGGUGCUGACAAAUAGGCUGAAGAAGGUUUUAGGAAGGGUGGUUUCUGUGGAUCAAAAUGCGUUUGUGAGGGGUAGACAGAUUUUGGAUGCUUCGCUUAUAGCUAAUGAGGUAAUUGACUCCUGACAAAAACGAAAAGAGAAAGGGCUGAUCUGUAAACUGGACAUUGAAAAAGCCUAUGACAGCAUAGAUUGGAAUUUUCUUAUGAAGGUUUUGCAUAAGAUGGGCUUUGGGUCUCGGUGGAUGGAGUGGAUUUGGCCGUGCAUCUCAACUGCCAAAUUAUCUGUUCUAGUUAAUGGUGUGCCAACAGGCUUCUUCUCGAGCACCAAGGGGCUGUGUCAAGGAGAUCCUCUUUCUCCUUACUUUUUUGUCUUGGGAAUGGAAGUGCUAAGUGCACUCAUAAGAAGGGCUGAUGAUGGGAGUUUCAUCUCAGGCUGCAGAUUUCGGGGAAGAGGAAGGAUGGAGAUAAAUGUCUCCCACUUACUCUUUGCUGACGAUACAAUCAUAUUCUGCGAAGCAAGGAAAGAGAAUCUAACAUUUUUAAGCUGGAUUUUGGCUUGGUUUGAGGCUGCGUCCGGCUUGAGGAUCAACCUGGCCAAAAGUGAAUUAAUUCCAAUUGGUGAGGUGGAAGAGAUUGAGGAAAUGGCAGUGGAGCUAAGGUGUAGGGUGGGGUCUUUGCCCAAUGUUUACUUGGGGCUACCCUUAGGAGCUCAUCACAAGGCUCCUUCUAUGUGGGAUGGGGUGGAAGAGAGAAUGAGGAGAAGAUUAGCUUUGUGGAAAAGACAAUAUAUAUCCAAAGGCGGGAGAAUCACCCUCAUUAAGAGCACGUUGGCCAACAUGCCGAUUUACCAAUUGUCUCUCUUUCGAAUGCCCAAGAUUGUUGCAAGAAGGCUUGAAAAAUUACAAAGAGACUUCCUUUGGGGAGGGUGAAGCUUGGAAAGGAAAGUCCACUUAAUCAAAUGGGAGGUGGUGUGUGCUCAAAAGGAGAAGGGUGGUCUAGGCAUAAGGAAGAUUGUCCUUUUGAACAAGGCCUUGUUGGGCAAAUGGAUAUGGAGAUUUGCCUUUGAAAAAGACAAUCUUUGGAAGAAGGUGAUUUUGGUGAAGUAUGGACGGGAGGGUUUUGGGUGGAGGUCUAAUGAGGCUUAUGGGACGAUUGGAGUGGGGGUUUGGAAGGAGAUUCUAAAGAUAGAGUUUUAAGUGGGUAAAGGGACUAAAGUCAAGUUCUGGACUGAUCAUUGGUGUGGCAAUGCAACGCUAUCCCAAAACUUCCCCCAGUUAUUCGUCUUGGCGGUCCAUAGGAAUGCAACAGUUAAUGAAUUGUGGGACCCUAGUUUUGGUCAAGGAGGUUGGAGUCUCAGAUUCUUUAGAGAUUUUAAUGAUUGGGAGCUGGAUUUGAUAGGAGAUUUGCUUAAUAUGUGGAGGGACUUCAAGAUAUCUUCAGAGGAGGAUUCAGUUAUCUGGAAAGGUGGGGGAAGUGGUAUUUUUGGGGUUGAGGAUGCUUAUAAUCUGCUGGUUGCUCCAAACGAUUUCGCUUCCCCGAAAAAGUGCAUUUGGAUGGAUAAGGUCCCAACUAAAGCUGUUUUUUUUUUUCGCUUGGGAGGCCAUGUGGGGGAAGAUUCUCGCCCUGGAUAGGCUUAAAAAAUGGGGGUGGCAGCUCCCUAAUCGCUGUUUUUUAUGUGGUUGUGAAGAAGAAACUGUAAAUCAUAUUCUUUUACACUGUAUAGUGGUCAGGGUCUUCUGGGAGAUCGUCUUUGCCUUGUUUGGGAUUCAGUGGGUGUUCCUAGAGAUAGUUAAAGAGGUAUUAUUCAGUUGGAGGGGCCCUUUUGUGGGGAAAAAAAGGAAAAAGUUCUGGAAUUCCAUUCCGUUGUGUAAUUUUUGGACGGUCUGAAAGGAAAGGAGUAGAUUAGCUUUUAAGGGAGGGGGGGUUCUUAGCUAUACAGAAGCUCAAAAAUUUUUUUGUAUGUAAUUUGUGGAGUUGGGUUAGGGUGUAUAUUGGAGAGGAGUCCUCUUCGCUCUUAAGCUUUUUGGAGUGGCUAGCGUCCACUUAAGGGCUGGUGAAGUUGCUUGUUUUUUGCGUUUUUAGGUUUAGGCUGCUGUGUAUACUCCCUCCCUGUAUGCUUUGUGGCUUUUUGCCUUUUUUUUCUAUUAUGUGCUUAUUUAUAAAAAAAUAUAUAUAUUAAAAAGCGCCAAAACCCAUUUUUUUCGAAACCUUGAGUAAAAAGUCUCAAUUAACACAGUCAUAUGCUUUCUCAAUAUCAAGCUUAUAGAGCACCCCAGGCCUAUUACUUUUCAGCAUUGGGUCAAUUGCUUUAUUUGCUACAAGCACAACAUCAAGGAUUUACCUACCUUCCACAAAGGCAUUUUGAAAAUUGGAGACCACUUUACUCACUAUCUUUUUAAGCCUGUUAGCCAACACUUCAGCUAAUAACUUAUAAAGGCUACUCACCAAACUUAUAGGUCAGAAAUCCUUAAGAUCUUCAAGUUUGCCUUUCUUUGGCAGCAACACCAGAAACGUAGCAUUGAGACUUUUUACAAAUCUACCCCGCUCGUGAAAAUUCUUAAAGAAUCCCAUCACCCCUUCUUUAAUUUCCAACAACAUUGCCAGAAUGUCAUUGAAAAGUCGUCUGACCUUGGAGCUUUAUCCCCAUUUAGAGCUAGCAGUGCAUUGAACACUUCUUCCUCAACAAAAGGUUCCUCCAAUUUGGUUGUAUCUUACCCACUCAAGGCUUCAAAGCUCAUGCCCCUUAUACUGGGGUGCCAUUCCCCUAGCUCAGUCAAAAGAAUUUGGAAUGCCUGGAUGAUCUCUGCCUUAAUGUCACCCUCCUUGUUAAUGAAACCCCAUUAAUCUUGACCUUAGCCAAAGAAUUCUUCCUUCUAUGUGGCCAUUUUGUGAAAAAAAAAAAAAUGGUAUUUCCAUCACCCUCCUUCGACCAAACUUUUCUCCUUAAGCCACAUAUUCUCAAACCUAAAAGGAAAAUGCCCUCUCUGCAUUCCACCCACAUCCAACAAAAUUAGAGAAUGGUCUGACACAAUUCUGGGCAAGAUACACUAUAUCACACUGCUAAACAACCUUCCCAUCCCUCAAAUACUAGGAAGUGAUCUAACCUCGAAUGGGCUUGAUUAUUCAAGCCCUCACUCCAAGUAAAAGAGCCCCCAAGUAAAGGAAGAUCCCUCAACUGGAGAUUGUCAAUGAUCUCUGUAAAUCUUCUCAUUGCCGACGACAACAUGAAGGCACCAAUACACUCACCUAGAAAUCUCACAACAUUGAAAUCUCUACCAAUACACCACAAGUCAGUCCACAGACCCCUAAUUGCCCCCAAUUCCUCCUAAAAGUCCUCUCUAUCACCUCUAAGGGUAGGGCCCUACACCCCUGUUAAAAUCCAAACAAAUUCUUCUAAUGUGUCAAGUAGGCAAAUGCUUUCUCCCUGUCAAAAACACCAACAGGUCUCUCCAGCAUUUUUAGAAAAAAUUUGCAAAAAGAUUAGUGAACCUCAGGUUAAAAAAGAACACAAAAAAAUACAUAGAAAAUAAGGAAGGAAAUCUUAAGAUGUAUGUAUUUCUUCUUAUCAUAUUUUAGUGACAACAAGGUUUUGAUUUUUGUGAAAAGAUAUCUUUUAAAUGUAAAUAUUUAACAUCAAUUAUGCACAAUUACCACUAGUGAAAAUUUUUAGUUUGUAUCUCUCUUUUCAGAUCCAAUUUCUCCACCAACGCUAACCCUAGUUAGUAGAUUCAAGCAUAAUGCACCUUUUAAUUAUCGGGAGAACCUAGUUACAUUCUUUUGGAUUUAAGAAACAACUCUCAAAGAUCUUUUUUCUUUGGCUUAUUGAUGUAGAUCUAGCUAGAACCAGAUUUAAGAAGCAACUCUCAAAGAUUUUUUUUUCUUUUUGGAAGAUAUAGGAGCGAAACAAUUAGCCUAUUGAAUCAUUGAUGUAGAUCUAGUUAUAACAACCUAAGAGUUAACUCUAAAAGAUGUCAUUGGAGAGUGUGCUACAUAGAAAUAAAGAUUUCUACUUUAUGUUUAUAAACUUGUAAGCUUCAAUUCUAAUAUCCUUGUAAGGGAACUCACUUAUGACAACAUAUUUUAUUCCACAUUUUGUGAUCAUUAUAUUAAAAAAAAAUUCUUGUUGUGUUUCCUAAAAGGGAACUAAAGUUUUCCAUUUUUUUUUUCAUGUAUAAUUUUUUGAAGGUUUUUUUUUUUUGAGUUUCCAAAGUCUAAUACUAUGUGAUGAAAAGAAAAACAAUGAAUGAUAAAUGAUAAUAAUUUGCAUCAUUGCAUUAUUUAAUGGUGGGAAUCCAUUAUUUUCUAUUCUAGGUGAAACUUUUGGGAGGCCUUUGUGUGACACUAAGUUUUUUUUUUUUCUAUCCUAUCCUUCUCUGUCUAUUUCUCAUUUUAUUUUUUUUCCCUAUAACCUCAAGCACUUGUUCAUCUCCUUAACUCCUAUAAAAGUGAAACUGUGGUCGACCCCUUAUCAGAUUAUUGGCAAACACCUUAGGCUUAAACUCCACGGUGGAGGUCUUUGAUAGGUCAUAUUGCAGGGAUAUUCAUUACACACGGGGACUUUGUCUCAACUCAAUGGUUGCAAUUAUACUCUAAGCAUAUUGCAGAGAACUUAUUGGUUGGAAUAAAUAUGCAGCAAAAUAACAGGUUGCUCCUGCUAUUUCAAUACAUAAGUAUGAUCGUGGAUGGCUGUUAAGAAAUAAGCAUAGAUCUGCUACUCUAAUUCAAGUGUGAUGGAGGAUGUGUGAGGUUUUCUCAAGUUUCUAUCACAGGCAAGUUUGAACUAUAGCAACAAUGUUGAGGAAAAAACUAGCAACAAGAGAACUCCAAAGGCUUAAAUGAGAGAGAUUAAAAAAGUGAGUUCCUGCAUGUGGGAAAGAAUAACUUGAGAAAGAAUUCAAAGAUAUCAGUUAGCUUCUUUCAAAGGAUGGAGCUCAGUAAAAUCUUGAACACUGCUCUUCUAGAAAAUCGAUGCUUCGAAGGAUAUCACAGAUGGCAUUUCAGCCACUUGGUGCCAUUUGCUUCUGGUACUAUCCCUUAUAUAACCCCAUGGUGGUGGCAACACUUUUCAGAAAACAGAUUGUAAUAAAGGUUCAAAACAUGCAAGUUGGCUUGGAUGUUUCUAUUUCUGAAAUAUCCAGGCAGCCCUUGCAGCCAAAAAGGCUCCUGCAAGAUGUAAUGACAGAGUUUGUUGAGACAAGAGAAGUACCAUCUGUUAUGUCAACCAAAUUUAAUUGUUUGAUCUCCUGAUGUAUGUAGGAUGUAAUUAAAAAUGUUGAUGUGACUCUAACUCCACAAUGUUUGAGUUUGCUGGAAAAGAUGCAUUUAUUGUCUGUGAAAAAUUUAUCUUAAGGGAAUUGCAGCUUAUUGCCCAAGCAUUUCAUUUGGAUGGGAUGAUGAAAAAGGUGGAAGGAAUUGCUUGGAAUUCUAUCAGACCAGAAAACUCAUUUAAAUACAAGGUUAAGUAUCUUCCAAGUUGGUCAAAAUUGAGCGAGAUGACCCUUAAGGUUUAUCCAUCUUUAUAAUACUAUAUUUUUAUCAGGAUUCAGGAUAGCCGGUCAGUUGAAGGAUAGUAUUAGGGGAUUCUAAGCUCUAAGAAAAUAAAACAAAGACAUGAUAAUGAACAAGUUGUUUUCCCCAUGUGUUUGAUUUGUUCAACCUUUAUAAGAAUAUGUCAUUAUCACAUAUAAGAAUAUUUGUUUUGUGUGCAUGCUGAUCAUGGAAUGUAGGUUUGAAGCAUGGCAGUUGUGGACUUUGAACUAGAGAUUGACCUAAUUCAUGCUUACUUUAAGUACUCUCCAGUUCUUAAUUUUGGGCAAAAUUCUGAUUUUCGAUUUUAAUAUUUAUUGACCAAGCAUUGUUAUAUGUGGAACAAAGAAAGUCCUACCAAAAUGUUUAUUGACUUUGCUUGGCCAUCUAUUAUGAAAUUCAUUUACAGGUACGCUUGGAUGUUGCCACAAUAUUGGGACUUUUGGCUUUUUUCAUAAACUACAAAUUUGAGGACAUCUUAUCUUCUCCGUAAGUAUAGCUUGAUUGUUUUACUUAAUUACAUUUGGAAGUUGAGCAACAUAGAUGAAUUAACUCCAUCUCAUAUAUAAACUUGAUCUUGAAUUUCCUAUGAGCAUGAUGAAUGAUUUGGGAGAUAUCCCGUGAUUGCUCUGAUUCCAUAAAGAAGAAAAUAAAAAAAUGUAUUUCCAUGAAUGAGAGGUUGCACAUAAAGAGGUGAGCCAUAAUUUUAUUUUUUUCAAAAGUCAACUAAAUAAUCCUAAUUUGUAGGAACUAGAUUCUUGGAUGAGCUAUAAACAAAAGGCAACUAGUUACAAUUAAGAAAUUAAAAUAUAAUAAAUACACAAUUAACAAAGUAACACAUAAUGAGGAAAGUCAGCACAAUUAAUCAGGACUGCAUCUUCAACAUAUGAAGUGCAACAUCUUUAACAAAAAGCUUCUUGGAUGAGUGGUUGUGGAGGUUGCCAAGGGAAAAUGAGAUUCUUUGGCACAAAGUUAUUAAAAUCAUUUAUUUGACUUGAAUGGCUAGGACGCCAACCUUCAGGUCAUAGGUGUUCACAUCACUGCCCUUGGAAUGCUAUAUGCCCAGGUUUCCUAGAAUAUUCACUUUUCAUUUGUAUUUUGAUUCAAGAAAGUAUAAGAGCUCAGUUCUAGGAAGAUUUUUGUGGAGAUAAGCCUUUGUGCUUCUAAUUCCCUGAUUGUUACUUGCUUUUCAGUCCUAGAAGCUCCCUCAUAGCUUAAUUUCUAGAUUCCUUUUCUCCAUUCUUGUUUUGGAACUUCACUUUUGGUCAAAAUUUGUCUGAUGGGGAAAAUACAGACCUCUCAGAAAAUUACAUUAUCAUUUUCUUGUCUACAUAUUGCCAACUUUCCUUGAUGAGUCUAGUCAUUGAACUCUUCAAAGUAUUCAUCACCUGUCUCAACUCUCAGAAAUCUUCAACCUUGAUAGAACCCUCUAGGAACUCUGAUAUAUAUAUAGUGAAAUAAAAUAAAAUAUCAAAAAAAAAAAAAAAACUUAAUGAUAGAAAAAAGAAUUCAGAGGGACCUAGUUACAUGAUUGCAAACUUCUCCCAUCAUGUCUGUAAUUAGAAGUAAUGGAAAAUUCCAUGAUAGUGUUAGAUUAAGAUUUUUUUUUUUUUUUUACUUUCGAAGACAAUGUGGUGCUAUUCCUAUAUACCAAUCACAUAUUUUAUUAAAGUGGUACAGCAUGAUAUAUGCUAUUUCUUAUCACUGAAGCAUAUUUUAUUACUAGUGGUACAUUAUGAUAUAUGCUAUUUAUUAUCGUUGAGGUUACACUUUAUUUGACUUGAUGAUCAUGAACCAUAUCUAGUUGUUGAUCAGUACAUAGAACAGUAUACUAUUUCUACUUUGAGCUUAUCUCAGAUUCUGUCUCUAAUAUACUGUUAUCUCUGUAUUUAUUUUUCUUGUUCCAUCUUUUAUGUUUUUCCUUUUUGGGACAAUUAAAUGAACUAUGGAUCUGGAGACUUUUAGUGGAUUAUCAUAGGAACAACUAACAAGAUCUAGAGUAACAUAAGCUAGUUUGGGAUAGCUUGACCUUCUUCUCUGCCUACUCAUUGGUAUAGUCUCCAUACAUGGAGUGGUGAUUUAUUGAUUAUGAGUUCCCUUAUCAUUUCUCUGACUACUUUUUAACUGAUACUAUCAUUCCAAACCAUCCUUCAAGUUGCCUGUCAUUGAGAAAAUGCUGACUGCAUUAUAAAAUUCUUAAUUUCUUAUACAGAUCAGCAAUACUUCUUGAUGUCAUAGCUGUCAGUGCUCUUAUAAUAUAUGUGACACGUGUAGCUCUGGGCUACAAACAGACAUGGGAUAGGUAUCAAGUGAGUUGAUGAAGUUUGCUUUAUCCAGUACAGGAGAUCUUGAUUUAAAGUGUAUCAACCACAUUUUUUUUCACUUUAAGGCAUAUUCCAAACUUUAUUAAUGGAACCUGUUAUUACAGCUUUUGGUCAACAGGACACUUUAUGAAAAAACCUUAGCUAGUGGCUUUGGCUCAGUUCAUUUUCUUCUGGAUGCCUCUGAACAGCAGCAAGUGAGAAACUCUUCAUUAUCAUUUUUGUGUUCUUCUGAACCCAACAGAUAAAUGUUCAAUUAAAAAACAGAAAAAAAAAGAAAAAGAAAAAGAAAAAGAAAAGAGGAAGCAACUGAGAAAAUGUCAAGCAUUCCCUGUGCUCUGUAUUUAAUGGUUUUGAUAAAAUUUGAUGAUUUUUUUUUCUCAUUUCACUUAUCUUUUUCUCCUGGGCUUAUGUUGUACAGUACAAGGAAGCUAUUUUAGCAUAUGCAAUACUGCUCAAAGCCGAGAAAGGCCAGGUUUUCCCUUUCCUUCUCAGUUCUAUGCAUCUAUAUUAGAAGCAUUCAUACUGUCAACAUGUUUUGUCAAUAUAUUUUUAGCUUGCAGCUAAGUACAUAUAUUCCUUGUUUGAAUAGGGUUGUUGGUAGUUGUUAGAUUCCAAGAUUUUCAAUGUCAUGUGGAAUCAAAUUUCCUUAAAACAUAAUAGUGGUAGUUUCAUGACAAAGACAAACAUAUAUGCAAUAAAGGAUUAAGUCAGUCCAAACAGAGGUGAAGGUACCAUACACUUUUUACAAUUUCUUCUGUGGAGAUCAAAUUGCUGUAUGAAAUCUGUAUGAGCCGGCUAGUUAAAUUAAAGUGAUGCUUCAUACAAAUUCUGUGAGAAUCUUUGUCAUAUAAUUAUCAACUUUUGUUCUCGUAAUCAAGUCUUGCCAACUGCUCCAUGAGAAUCUUAGGUUUGACACAUUGGGGAGUUUCCCCUUCUAACUGGAAGGAUGUGAUUUUGACUUGUUGAGAUGGGGUUUGGUGAUAAGUGAAGAGUUCUUCUACAUGAUAAGGAAACUCCAAUCUUAUGUUUUGAGAAGUAAUCAUUGGAUUAAAUUGUUUAUUCUGGUAUCCCAGCCAUGUAUUGUUUCUCAGAAUCAAUUCAAGGAUCAAGCCUCCUUGAUCUUUCUUUGCAUUUGAUACAUACUUUCACAGAGAUGCCCAAUCUUGGAGUUCAGGACAGAGAGAAUCCCAUUCACUUGACAUGUUGUUCUGUUCGCUCAUAGAAAUGUCUGUCUACUUUUUCCUUAGUGUUGCAAGAUUGUCUACUGUAAUGCCAGAUGGUAAGAACGCUUCAAUUACUAUAGGAAUGAAGGGUAACAUGGAUUACAAUAUUUAUUUAAAACAUAAGCGUCUCUGCUUUUUGUUCUACAAAAGGUUCUACCUAUAGGUGCUACUUAAAGAAACAAUUUGGAGAAGUGAAUAUUCUGUAAAAGACAAGUCCUAUAUCCUCUGUCUUUAUUCUCUCCUAAAAUCACAUCAUCCUAUUCUUCCAUUUGAUGGACCCUGCAACACCGAAAUAUUGGUUCAUAUAGCCUAGAUCUGGCUAUUCCCCACCCAUAGGGGCUCAAUCCUAACCAUUCUGGCCUGCCUACUGGAGAACCUUGCCUUUUUACCCUUUUCUGUUGUGCAAGCUGUCAUUAUAUUGAGAUGGACUACAUUCAGCCCGUUCUAUUUUGAUUAAGUAUGUUGUUAGUUCAAAUAUAAAUAUGAGAAAUUUUCUUCCAUCACUAAGGGUGCGUUUGGCAGUGAUUCUAUGAAGCGUUUCUAAUAUUUUUAACACUUUAAAAUUUUUACCUUUCAAGUAUUAAAAAGGUUAAAAACACUUCCUAAAAUCACUAUUAAACACACUCUAAGUUUCAUUUGGUCUGCAGGCCACUUGCCGCAAAAGCCUUGGAGAUGAAUGUGAGAGAUUCAUGUACAACGUGUUUAAACAGAAGGUAAUAAAAGAAAAGGAGUAUAUUAUCUAGUAAUUCUGAACUCUGCAUUCGAUGAUUAUUUGAUACAUUUGUGCAGGUCGAAAUGCCUGUUGACAAGGCAGCAGAUACGUUGUUAAGGUUGGGUCUAGUAACAGAAACACCCAUUAAUGGAAGAAUGGGACUCCAGGCCGUUCCCUGUCCCAAGGCAUGUCAGGCCCUUAAACAACGAUGGAACAGUUUGCUUAAGUGACUGACUAUUAGGGUUCAAGUUCCAUGUUCCAUGCCAUAUGUGAUGUAAAUUUUUUAGUUUAUUUAAAAAUUCAAUUAAAAGAAACUGUAAUAUAUUUUUUGUUCUCAUUGAUAUAUAGAUUUUCCCUUUUACUUGAUUGGAAAAAAAUAGAGCAAGGGUUAAUAUAUCUGUGACAUUCCAUGAAAGUUAGCAUGGCCAAGUGAUUACAAAAUAGGGUUGUCAUUUGUUUGGUACCUAGAAAACUAAGAUUUUGACUUGUAUCCAAACAUCUAACUCAAGUUUCAAUUAUUCUGAUACACAAGAAUGAUUCUCAAACCCAAAAUAAUGUCCCUGGUUGUAUAGUGCAAUGUUCAUCACCUUUGGCUAGGUUGCUUUUAUUCAAGCAUGCCAUUUAAAAUCUCCCCUGGUACGAGAAGGAAAGUUGGGUUCAUGAGAGGUCUAGGCCAAGCACAGCCUAUAUUAUAAGAACAUAGGCAUUCUUCAGCUUAUGGAGUAACAGAAUAAAAUUAUAUAGAGUCGUUGCAGCAAGUGUAAGUCAUAAUAGCCAAUGCAUCAGUCACCCUAUUAGCCCCUCCAAACACCUUGAGGACCUUGCACUCCCAGGAAGUGUUUUAUCCUCAGGAAUAGUGAGUGAAAUAGUAAGUUUGGCUCAAAAUCUGAUUUAAGGAUCUUCCAUGGCGAUUCUUUCAUAACAAAGCCUAUAAGGUGUACCAUUUGAAUGCCAAAAGUUGUUCAGAAAUGUGAUCAUAGGUGAUUUAGGACCUCGUCCAAAGGAUCCAAGUGAUGAUGAUGAUGACAACGACUUGAACACUUGGGGUCAAGAAAGAGAUUGAUAGAUAAAUUGGACGGGAUUUAAGAAAAGAUGGGAAGGUUAAGAAUUGAUGAUAAGGAAAUUGGUGUCACAAUAAAUAAAUCGGAAAUGCUUAAAAAUUUCUCUAUCUCAAAUGUAAUUGGAGAUCCAACAGAAGUGAUGGUUAGUAGUUGUAUUAAAAUGAAUGAGAUAGGAUUUCUGUGUCAAACCUCCCAAUUAAAAUGAAUAAGAUAGGUUAGAAAAGGCAUUUCUAUAAACUUAAACAACCAGAUAGGCUAGAGGGGGAAGCAUAUAAGAGACCUGACCCAAAUGAAGAAGCCAAAAGGAGACAAAAUGCGACUAUAUCAACAUGAUGUUUCAGAUAGAAAUAAAGAAAUACUCCAACAGGAAAUGUUUAAAUUAACAAUGUAAUUUAAAAGGUUGACAGGAUUAAAUGCCUGGGCUCAUGGCUGUAAUAUGUGAAAAUGAAUGGAUGAGUACUAUUUUGAGAGAACACAGUUGUAAACCUAUGAGGUGUGUAAUUGAUAGGCUGGUAUUCGGCUUUGUCCCAGUAUGCACAUUGCAGGUUCGUAUAUCUUGAAGAAAAAGGUUGAGCUUCCACAUCAAACAAGAGGUUGAGCUCUAGUAAACACAAAUAUUCCACCUGCAGCAGCACGCCCCAAAAGCAUAUUGGCAUCCAGAUAUGAAAGGUAAUAAAGCCCUCCAACUGAUCGCCUGCAAUUCAAUUUUCAUUCUUCACAAGAAUAUCUAAGAAGCAUGUGUAUAAUACAAGUUGAUUGUGAGAUCUAUGAAUGCAUGAUACAGACCUCCCUUGGUUUCUCACAGGAAUUUCAGCUUUGAAAGUACGAAUAAACUGCAAGAUCUGCACACAAACAUUUAUGCAACACACACAAAAGAAGAGGUGUAUUGAAGUGCAUGCACAUAGGUAUAAGCUAAUACAAAGUAGCAUCAAAGACAUGAAAAUAGUUUGUAUUGAUUUUUUUCAAUUUAUCUUGAAGUAGGAUAACCAAAUAUUUUCUGAACAUUCAAAGAUGAUAAAACUUCAAAAUCCAAGUUCGCUAGACAUUUGCUGAAUCUGGGACCCAGGUAUCAGAUGUCCAAGGUGGCAUGCAAACCUUGAAAUUCAAGAAUGCAAGCUGAAAUUAGGGAUGUAGCUUCUUUUACCUGUAGACUCAAAAAAGAACGUGGUAGUAUUGCUGGAGCUAUCAGAGCUUGGAGCUCCUCACUGAUGUUUAUACUUUGAAUUGAUAUCUGUGAUAUGGAAGUUGCAUCCUUCAGUUAAUACUUUGGUUAGUUAAUCUAGAAAUGUAUAAAGAGCAAGAAAAGACCAUUGAGAAUACUUUGUUAACAGGUGAUAAAACAUAAUUUAUGGUCUACUAACCCAACUUAAAUUGGUCAAUGUAGAUCUCAGUAUAUGGUUUAAAGCCCUACAUACAGGCCUGGAACCAAAAAAUUAGAGCCCAAUAUCAUUUGGGAGGAGCUUGAAUAAGAUCAUUAAGAUGAAGCUCUUUCACCUCAGCAUCACUUUCAGAUUGAAGAAAUGUCAGACUCAUCUGUUUAACAAGUCAAAACCAUUUAAGCAGGGAUAUUAAGUUUAUUGAAUUGCUUAUAAAUAGAGUUGAUUAUAACAAUGUAGGGAUUGAUUAUUAUUAUUAGAGAAAUACUAGAAGUUAGCAUCUAUUUCUCUCUCUCCUUGUUUUCUUAUAUUUUCUCAUCUAUUUUCUUCUCAUCUAAUUUGCUUCUUACCACAAUUUCUCUUCUAUGUACAAAGUGCUUCUGUUGUCCUACAGCAACAUUCCUCCAUUAGACAAGGCAUAGCCUUUGCAAGGGAAGUGAUUUGUAUAUCUGAUGCUGAACUUGUUGGUUUGACACAACAGAGCUUUUAAUCAAAGAUUGCAGAACUCUGCUUACACAAUCCUGACCUUGCUCUCUCUCCAACACUAUUCCUGAAGAGAACUUAUCUGUAGACUAUCUGAUUGAAUAUAAGUCAGACCGGAUUCAGAGGCGACCAUGGAAAGGAUCCCAUCAUUACUAGAAUGUGUUUCUAAUUGCCUUUUCUAGUCAUUUCCUCUAAAACAAUGGAGUAGACAAGUGGCACUUUUCCAUUGUCCCUAGUUUUAUAAUAAACUGGACACAUUGCUCCCAUCAAAGGAAGAAAAUGAUCAGAUUGGAGAUGAUAGAAAAAGAAAAAAAAAUCCAUGAGGAUUUCAAACUUCUAGUAAAGCAAAGUGAGCAAGUGAACUAAUUGGCUCACAACGAUACCAAGUAUAAGAUACACCUAAUCCUAUCAUUUUGAUUGGGAACAGUUCCAGGUGACCCUUUGGCUGCCCAACCAAACAGUGGAAAAAUGUUGAAUCUGCCACAACUCAACUUCCUAGGAAGUCAUGUUGUGUUUUUUGAAGACAGGGAAACUGACCUCUUCAAACUGAAGGUAGAUGUUACGGGCAGAUACAACAGAAAACUUUGCAGAUACAAGCAGAGUAGCACCUUCUUGCUCCUGUAAAGCAAAGAACCACAAAAUUAAGACAAUCUUCCACAAUUACAAGCAGUUAUAAGAUAACAGAAUGUCCCCAAGACUCUCCUCAAUGUGGCAAGAAAAGCAUACAUUCCUAACUCAUGUUGACCACCUUCAUACACAGGUGGCUACUACUCAACCUGAUCACAAGUUUGAUGCUAAUUCUGUGGACUUCAUAAAAUUUAUUGACAGUUCGAAUUUUAUAGAAUGCAAUAAGACACAGAAAAGGAUGGUCCUUAUUUCAGAACUUUUCUUAAUAGAGUUUGACAAUAAUACACGACUAUAAGAAUAAAAGGAUAAAGGCAAAAAAAAAAAAAAAGGCCCAUCAAUUUUCCAUCUUUGGGGUAUCUUGGAUAGCUGCACAAUCAGUGUUUGAUUCCUUAAGACAUACCAUGAAUAAUAGUUGAAUAUAAGGAAACAAUUAAUUUGGAGGAAAGUCCCUUGAUGCCCUAUGCAACAUAGAUGGAAGAACCAUUACAGAAGAACUUAUGAGGAAAUGGUAAGCAGUCCUAAACUAGAAAGAUAUUCAGAUUAAGUCCUUAUUCAUCUGGUUACUGAUUCAGAAUAAAUUGAUUUCUUUUCCCUUUUUGAUUUUUUGGACAACAAGAGCAUUGUUUGACUGGGGCCCUUCUCAUUUUAUUGCGUUUAUACGCUUCACGCUUGUUUGGAAUAGAAUCCACCUCUUGGUGCAUUUUAGUCAUAUUUAUUAAUGAGAGAGAGAUCGGGAAAAGUAUCCCCUAUGCCUAAAACAACUAAUGAAGGUCAUUGAGUGAUUCUGUAAUAUAUUUCAAGAAAUGACCACAUACAAGCCAGUAUUGCAAACCAAGGGAAAAGCUCUUUCAUCACUUUGAGCACUAACACAAUAUGCUUCGUAUUCAGUCCUUAUCAAUGAAGAUAAACUGCUAUCUAUGCUACCUUUUAUGAAUCGUGCUUAAUCGUUCUCAUAUCUUUUUUACAGGGGAGGGAAGAUGAAAUAGUUCUUUGGUGAAGAAUCUUAGCAUAGUGCAGAGCUACAAUUCAGAAUUGAUAAUUACAUUUGGAAGUCUAAGAAAUAAAUAAAUAAGCAAAAUCUUACCUCUAAUAAGGGUGGAAUACUCCACCGAACAACAUUGCGAACAACACCUUCUUUUGAUUGAUUCUGACAUUCAAAUUUUUGGAAGAUUUGCCCAACCUACUCCACAAACAUGGACAUGCAUGAGACUGAGAAUAGACAAAACUAGAACAAGAGAAGAAGGAAAGUAAAGUGAUCCAGGAAAUUUGAUCGUUCAAAUUCAAAUCUGACAAUUGAAAUUUGCAGACAUAACCAACAGAAAAUCAUCCAAAGUUCUAUUGCACUCCCUUUAUAUGUUAAGCACAAUCCCAUGUCCAAAGGCAAAUUCAUUGAAAAAGAAAGCAGAACCAAAAUAAAUAAACAAACACACACAAAAACCACCUCGUGAAAAUAUAUAUAUAUAUAUAUAUAUAUAUAUAUAUAUAUAUAUAUAUAUAUAAGGCUUCCAAAUUAUUCUGGCAUUCUAAUUUUUGGAAGAUUUGCCCAACCUACUCCACAUGUAUACACAUAAAUGAGACUGAGAUUGAUGGGGAUGAGAUGCUUGGGCUCUGUUUGGAUCAAGGAAAGUACUAGGGAAAGGGAAAAAAAGGGAAAGAAUUCAAAUUCUCUUGUUUGGUCUAUCUUGGGCAUUAUGAAGGAAAAUUAAACAAUUUAAAUGUUAAAUAUUUUCAAAUUCUCCAUUCUAUAUAUAGAAAAGGACAAGAGUAAAUUUGGAGAAGCAUGUAAUAAGAACUUUAUGAGUUUUAACCUAUUUUUAUUUUCUUUUCUUCCAUUUUUCCCCUCUAGUUUCUUGCCCUUGUGCUUUCCUUCAACCUUUCCAAGUUCCAAAUGGAGCCUUAGGGUUUAUCCAUGAAAAGGACCAAACGGUUAUUUUGGUAUUUUUGCUAGUUUGGAUUGUUUAGAAUCUAAAGCCCUAAUCCAACUUAUUUGGUUGUAUACAACCACCUUAGGGUUGUCUUGCAUCAAAGAGUAGACAAAGGUGAACAACUAACAUACUCAACAUAAAAUCUAGAAAAGAUGAUAGCAAUCACUUCAAACAUCAAGUCUUAUUUUGUGUACAGAGACAAAUUCAUCAAAAAAGAAACCAGAACCAGAACCAGAACAAACAAAAACACACACACACAUACGCAAAACCACACACAAGCAUCUUCAUGCAAGGCAACUUCCAGCAAAAUCCUUUCAUAGUUAACACAGAGAGAAUAUGGAGAAUAGGUCAAUUUCCAUCAUCUUGGAUGAUUAAAACAAAAAGGAAAAAAAAAGUAAACAAAAGAGAAUAAAAGGUUCAGAAUAGGAAAAACAUUAUUUUAUAUUUCAAUUGUAGUACCUGAAAGAAUGAAAACCUUGCAGCAGAUUCCAGAAGAACGAGGACAUCAGGGGCGGAAGUAUACUGCAGACGCCAUGUCCCAUCUAACUUUCCCAGAUCAAUUGGUACACCAGCAUUGUACUCCUCCACAUUUACCUACCAUUUUUAUAUACAAAAUAAAAUAAAAUCACCCUUGCUUCCAACCUCCCUUUGGAUGAGCAGGUGAAAAUUUGUCAAUGGAAAUAAUUAGGACAGAGCAAUGUAUGAUCUAAAGGAAGAAAAUGGAAGAAGCUCACUAGGGCCUCCUCAAUGCAAGAGCGUUGAUCUGCAGUUGCAACAAGGCCCCGUUGUGUGUCUUGGAUAGCUCUCAACAGAUCAUGUUUUUUCUCCUCUAACACAAAUUCAGCUGCCUGGAACUCCAAACCAAAUAAAAAUUAAGUAAUAAAAAUGAGUUAAAGAUUAAAAAAAAAAAAAAAAGGAGGAAAAAGGUGACCUGAGUCGUGGGGGUAGCAGUAGCUGCCAAACAUGGAAACAUUUUCUGAGUAGACAGCCCUCUGCUGGCAUUAGGGGCCAAGCUAACGGAUCUUGUGUCAUAGCCAACUCUUUGUCCGGUUGGAAGGUGCAAUGUAGAAGCAAAUGCCAAGUUCAUUUCUUAAGAGAUGGGCAGGGUAAUUGUUCUAAAAGCUCAAACUUCAUGAGGUCAAUGCAAUGCAAAACAAAACAACAGCUUUUCUGAAACCUUGUCUAAAAAGAAAAUAUGUAUCAUUUUCAAACAAUAUUUAUUCCAUUAUUCUUUCAUGAGAGCCCCUAAAAAGUGGACGGUUAGGUUUACAAAAGGGGAUGAUUUCAUCCCUUUUAAUCAAAUAACCCAAAGAUUUAUGUGAGUUCUGAAAUUGAAAGGCAACCAAGUAAAGAGACAACAAGAUAGAGGCAAUUUGUGAACCAUCAUCUCCAUCUGCAACAACCCUUUUUUUUUUCUUUUCUCUUUUUUUUAACAAAUCAAUUCUACCCAAUGAAGCCCUAAUCCCAACAAUGGAAUGGGGAUUCAGCUACAAAGAGUCUUUUCUUCCCCUUCAGCUCCAUCUAAAACCCCUUUCUCUGUUAGUACUGGAUAUCAUGUCAUCUCCCUUGCUACUCUCUUUCUUUAUCUAGGGCUCAAAACAAAUCACUUUCCCCAUCGCCCCAUUGCCCCAUUGCCCCACUAGUCCAUUUAUAUACCUUCCUUGCAUACAACCAUCAUAAACAACUUUCCUUCAUCAAAUGUUAAAAUGAAGUCACCUCUAACUUCUCCCUUUACUUGAAGCAGGUUCAAAUUAUGUGAAUAUGGAGGUUUGAUAACAUAAUCAUUUACUCUUUUCCCAAUCAAAACACAAAAGGCAAAGAAAUAUAUUAAGUGAAAAGAAGACGAAAAAAGAAGAAAGCAACAAACAGCUUACCUGGUUCUGCUAGAGGAGAAGGGGAGGAAACAAGAAGGCAGGUAGCCGUAACCCUACAAGACUAAAUUCUGAUGAUUACAGUUGCAAUUUGCAAAUGAUAUUCAUAUCCCAAUUCCCUUAUCAAAUACCCACCCCAAUUCCUAAGGGUAAAAAUGUAAAAUUAUCAAAUUUGUCUAGGAUAAAAGGAGUGGAGGAGACAGCCCUGACGAUGCCAAGAUGCUUCCUAGAGAAUUCCAAAUUCAAUGGCUUGUAGCACAGCAGUUAAUCAUUCUGUGUUAGGGCUUCAACGCCAAAUUGUUGGGAAGAGGCUAUCCCUCCUUUCAUUGCCUGCAAUUACAAACCUUGGUGGCAUUCCCAGAAGGAGAAGAAGCUGUCAUGUCUAUGCCCAUCUUCAACCUUCCGUUGUUUCCGAUGACCCCAAGUAUGGCAACAAACAGGUCAUCACAAUUACUCCACGCCUUUACGACUAUAUAUUGACAAACGUUCGGGAGCCUGAGGUGCGGUUUCGAUUCUUCCGUUUCUCUUGUUAAGCCAUUCUCUUCUCUGUCUCUCUGGUAUUCUUAUCAUGCUUUACCUUCUUCAGAUUCUAAGGCAACUUCGGGAGGAGACUGCUAAUAUGCGGGGUUCUCAAAUGCAGGUACUUUUAUUAUGAUUUUGUUUUUUCUAUAAAUUUAGUAUCUCCAAACCACCAUUAUUCAUCGAAUCCAACUCCAGUAUCAUUCAAAUGUUCUCUUCAUAGGUAUCUCCGGAGCAGGCACAACUACUUGCCAUGCUCGUCCAGAUUCUCGGGGCGGAACGAUGUAUUGAAGUUGGUGUUUACACUGUAAGGACCUCAAGAACACCUUCAUUUCUGAACUUCAGUUGUCUCAGUUGCGCUACAGCUUACCAUUUUGAAGAACAUAUUCUGUUAACACUCGAUGUAUGGUGAAGUAUCAAAUAUCAUUAGUGUUGUCAAAUUCUCUGGCCUGCUUUGCUUGUUAGGCACAUGAAAACACCAAUAUUAGAAUUAUAUGAAGUUGUAAAAUGAAUGCACUCAUAUAAUUUGAAAAUGGAUUGAGCAAAUGAUGGCAUACACAUGAUUUCUGAUGGAUAUGUUUAUAGUAUCUUAAACAUUUUGCCAGAUGAAUGUUUUGUCAAGCUAUGAAUACUUGGUAAAAGUCUUUUAUGCAGGUUCAAUGCCAUGAAAAAAUGUUAUGUAUCUCAGUCAUUUAAUAUCCGACUAAUGCAUACUAAUAACUGUUAUGAUUAAGGAAAAAAAAUAUAUGCAUACCCGACUACGAAAAAUAACUGAAAAUGGGCUACAUUUGUUUUUCUCAUUAGCAAUAUAAUGAUGUGAUUCAAUGUCACUCUGAGGCAGUUGACCGUCAUUUUUUCCAUGAACUCUUAUGCUCUAUAUUUGUGUCCCUAAGUUGUUGAAGAACAUCUUCUGACCCAAAGAAACUUUGAACAGCAUUCUACUUGUUUUAACUGUUGUAAUGAUGUAAUCUCUCAUAAAAAGAGAGGACAUAUUAUCAAGAUUACUUUUGGCACCAUAGAGGCUCAACCACAACUAAUGUGUAGCCCACUCAGUUAUUCUUCUUGUGAGUUUGCACACAUGUACUCAGGUUUAGGAAUGAUUCAGCAUACACAUUUAUUCAUUUAGUUCAAUAUUUGCACCUUCACUAUGAAGGCUGCUUCACACUUUAGUACUAUACUAAUUUGGCAUUAAAAUUUGUAUUACCAUCCUAUGGUAUUUUCUGUUUUGUUUUUCAUGUUCCAUUUUAAGAUUAACUUCUUAUUAUACAGAAGACCACUUGUGCUCUGCAAAUGAAGUAGCAAAAUAUAGCAUCUUAUUAUAAUCAUGAUCAUUUAUUUUCAGGGAUACUCAUCGUUGGCUAUUGCUUUAGUCCUACCAGAAUCAGGUUAUUUAGUUGCUUGUGAAAGAGAUUCCAAAUCUCUUGAGGUUGCAAAAAGGUACUACAAGCAGGCUGGUGUGUCACACAAGGUGAUUCACAUUUCUUCUAUAUGCUAAUUUAGAAAUAUAAAGUUCUUGAUUUUGCCAGUAGUACAGACUGAAUCUUAUCCAGUGAUAUGGAUAGCUCUGAAACAAUUUAUUGACUUUAGGUGGACGUGAAACACGGACUAGCAUCAGAUGCUCUAAAAUCUUUGAUUUUAAAUGGAGAAUCUGGCAGGUAUAUUGCACAAAGAACACAAUUAUUUAAUGAAGUUCAAUUAGAUAUCUGUUCCUGUAGACAUGUGCCUUAAAAGUAGCAUACAUGAGAGAGCUGUGGCACAAGCUAUUUAGAUUGGCUAAUUUGGACUGGGUUUUCUCUUAGGAGUAUAUGUGAUAUGAUGACUAUCUUUUAUAAGGGAUUGGGAAGCUCCACUAGAGGCAAGGUUCUAUGGCAAACCACAUGUCUCGCUUUGAUUUGGGUUAUGUGGUGGGAAAGAAAUACUCGGAUUUUUUAGGAUAAGGCAAGGUCUUCAGAGGCUCGUUGGGAUAUCAUUCAUUUCUUCGCAUCAUUUUGGGCCUCUUGCAACACAUUUUAAGGGCAUUUCCCUAUAACGUAGUUCAACUUGAUUGAAUAUCAGUGUGUAGUUUGAAAGGUGUGGCAGGGAAUUUUUCUUGUACGGAACUAUGAUUUGAUUGUGUAUAUUCCCAUAUGGUACUUCACUGUUGUUUAGGUUUAUUUUGUACUUUGAAGGUUUUGACAUACCUUCUAUCUAGGUCCUUUAAUUUUUGGGGGGCAUUUCUCAUCAUUCUUUUGUACCUCAUGAUAUACCUAUCUUAAUAUAUUACAUUAUUGUUUCUAAUUAUUAAAAAAAAUAAAAAAAGAAGCAUACAUGAGAAAGGGACGGAUUGACAUUGAGGCACUCUGCCUUGGAGGUCAUAUGAAUGGAAUCAACUCACAUGAUUAUAUGCAUUUGAUUUUCGUUUUUGUACAAUUGUAACAUUACGGCUUUUUGGUGAACCAUUUGCGCUGUUAUAUGUCAUCCUAUGGUAGAUAAUCAAGACCAAGUUACAUGUUUUUUUUCUUAUAUUAAAGGAAAAUUAGAUUCUAAGUUAUUGGGCUGAUCCCUUGCCUAAUUUUCCUAUGACAAACCAACUUUUCUAACUCCUCAAGUUGCAAUUUCAUGGCACAGAGGAUCCAAAUCCAUUCAUCAAUUUGUUUAUUUUCGAAAACUGCAAUCUUUGUCCUAGUAAAAGGAGUUUCUUUAUGACUAAUUACGGGGUAACAUAUAUUUAUGUUUUAGAACAUUCUUUUAGUGCCAUUUUUACUUUUUAUGACUGAUCAAGAUAACAAAUUAAAUAAUGUUUUCUGCGUCUUCUUUUUAAUGCAGCUAUGAUUUUGCAUUUGUUGAUGCUGAGAAGAGAAUGAAUCAAGAAUACUUUGAAUUGCUACUGCAACUGGUAAGACCAAAAUGUCAUGUUUAAACAGUAUGUUCUAGAUCCACUGGCAACAUCUAAUUUGAUGAAACUGAUAAUUCAAUUUUCCGUCAGUAGUUUGUAAGAAAUGCACUUAGUCUCCUGUUGCAGGUGAGGACCAGGGGUGUCAUUGUGAUUGAUAAUGUUCUCUGGCAUGGAAAAGUUGCUGAUCCUCUGGUGAAUUAAUAUCACUCUGAUUUGUAAACUUUGCCCAUUGAAAGGAAAAAUAUUUCUAAUAUCAUCUCUUGAACAGGUAAAUGAUGCUAGGACUGUCAGCAUAAGAAAUUUUAAUAAAAAUAUCAUGGAGGACAAGCGUGUAAGCAUCAGUAUGGUAGGUAUUUACCAUAUAGGUUUUUUGUUUUUGUUUUAUCAAGUUGUGAACAACUCUUUUCAUUUGGUACAUACCCUAACAUUUUGGUUUUUUAGGUACCUAUUGGAGACGGCAUAACAAUCUGCAGAAAAAGAUGACCACACAUUAAAAACAUCUGGUAUUAUGUUGAUGCAGUGACCUAUUUCAUAAAGUGUCAAUUACAUUAGUGUAUGCAGCUGAUAUUUCCUUGGUCUCAGUUAUUGUGAAAAGGUAUCAUAUCCAAUGGCUUCCAUGGUUUCCACAGAAAGGUAAUUUAGUCAUUGAGACACCAGGCUCUUGGUUAAAACUUUGGUCCUGUGUUGGCAUUCCUUCAACAGCUUGACAAUUCAGUUUGAGAUAUGAAAGUCUGCUGAAAUUGAUGGUGGCAGAGACUACAUUCUCUUGCGAUGAAUUUUGGUCCUGAUGUAGGGAUAGCAAUCAUCCUGGUGCAUCUUGCAAGGGUGACUGCACUAUCAACCAUGAAUUCAAUAAUCACUUAACAUAUGUUGCCAAUAACAAGGCAGGCUAUGUUCAGAGGCCAUGAAGUAUGCAAUCAUUUGUUAUUUUUGUCUAUCUUUGAACUUGUAAGUUGUCUUCUGUACCGCAUCUAUGUGUCUCUAAGUAGCACAUUGAACUUUGUAUCGUCUUUGAACUAACAAAAAAUUGCAGUUUUGAUGAAAUUUUGGGAUACAAUGAGUUUAAUUUGGUGCUGUGAUUUGAUAUGAUUACUUCUAACUCUUAGGGCUAAAAUUGAAUGCCAUUGUUCAUUUCUCAGUAAAGCCCAAGAGUCCUAUCAAAACACAUGAAGUGUCUAACAAAAAAUGAAGUGAAUAUGUAAUGAAGAAAGGGAUUGUCAUUGCAACAACAAAAUCCAGAUGAAAACAUCAAGUUACCAGCCUGGUAUGAUGAUAAGCUAGGUUGGUGGUCGCUGAUUUUGUUGGUCUGCUCUUUAUAGGCAAAGAAAAUUUAUUAGAAAAGUGCCUAAGAAGAAGGGUGUGCAACCCAUGUACAGAUCUUGUAAGUCACUAUGCAUCACAAAGUUGAGAAGAAAAGAUAAUAAUAAUUAAGAGAGAACUAAGCGGCAACACCACCGCCUCAUAGUAAGUAUGCAUGGUUACUAGAAAGAGAACCAGUUUUCUGCAGUAAAACUUCAUUCUGCAAACACUCACUGCACUCAACGCUACCGAUAUUGCUCUCUUCACCGCAAUCCUCGCCGUCUUGCCGGUUCUUGAGCUCCCUGCAUUGGCACAACGAUUAGGCCUUUACCAUGGUUUCUGGGGCCUUGCUUGGAAAGUGUGGGCAGAGAGCAUGGCACCAUAUGCCCCCUUUACCCCCUCCUCACCUGCAAAGGCACCUGUACCUCCCAUUUUGGAAUAUUUUGGACAUGGGUAAUUUUGCCAGUGGGUUCACCCCUUUGUUUUAUAGUGGUCCCAGAUGAUGCCACCAUUGAUAAGGGAAAUUGAAUGUUACCUUCUAUUAAAUGUCAAUUGCUGUGCACAACAGCAAUUUUAGAAGGUAGUGCAGAGUGAGGAGCAGCUUUUGCCCCAAGGAUUUCUUGCAUUCUAGUGGCAAUAAAACAGUAAAACCUAUGAAGGCGGAGCUCGAUUGACAGGAGAAAAGCCAUAAGCCAAAUUUACAGCGUAGCUAUAAUUAACUCAAAUCAUGGUUUACAAGAUAUUUGCUGAUCCAUUCUCCAUAUUGGAUUUGCAUCUAUAAGACCACAAGCACCACAAGAUUCAUAUAUCAGCUGGCACUGUGUUUGUUUGUCUCAACUAUUUAUUUACCUCAACAAUUGUUUAACCACUUUAGGAAUGCUACGACAUCAAUCCUCAUAUGGCAACAGCACAUGUAUGUUUAAACCUACACGCACGAUAGAAAAAAAGAUGGGACAAAUCAUUUUCCCAAGCAGCAAAACAACUUGGUCACCUCUAGAAAGAGUUAUUCUUCGGUGCAGAAAAUUGAUCUCGAUCACUGAUGUAAAUGAGUUUCUGAAAAUUUAAGCAUAGUCCAGAUCGCUAUAGAUGCUGAUCAAUGACCUUGAUCAUCGGGACCAUGUCCAUUGGGUUGGUUGUCCUCACCAGCUUCCUCUUCAACCCUAUCUCCAAAAUCAACCCAGGGUAGUAUCGAUUCAAACAAAACAGCUAAUGGACUUCGAUUUGCGAUGUCUCGUGGAGCACGAUCACCACCAUGUGGAUUGACAACUUGGUUCACAUUUAGCACCUCCUCUCUCAUCCUCGGGUCAGCCAUAAAAUUUUGCAAGUUAUCAGGUGGAAGAGUUGGCACUGAAUCAGAGAAAUCUGACACCAAUAAAUGACCAUACCUGACAAACAAGAACUUCUGUCAUCCAAUCUCCCAAAUACACAAUAAAUUUAACCGUAUGAACGCAGGAAGUAUAUCUACCAUCUACUUAACAAGAAGAUUCAAGUCUAGUCUGAUAUCCAUAACUAAAUCUAAGAACUGUUACUGAGAUUUAAUUGUUCCAGAGACAAUUGCAGCACAACCACCAUUAUGGGGUGAAAAGCCAAAGAAAAAAAACUAGUUAACUAGAGAACUAAACAAUAGUCUUUGAAUAAAUGAAAAUACUCACUCAUUUUUCUGAGAAGAGAACACUUCUUUUCUUACACAAGCCCAAUCCCUAGCUUCACUUCCAUUACUUUCCAGUGUUUCAAUCACCAGAAGGGCAGCAUUUCUCAACAAUUUUUGCAAAUCUGGGAGCCUCCAUAUGAUAUAACUCCUCUCUACAUAGAUAUUAAUCAGGUGAUCCAAGGAGAGGCUCCCUGCUUGUUCUGAUUUAAAAAAAGCUUGCUUGAGUAUAUUUGUCCAUGCCUGGUCCUUUAAAGGUACCUUUGCAACUAAUUUCUUAAGGACCGAAGGGUGAAGCAUCAAAGCCUGCCUCAUAAGAUCAGUUGAAGUAGCCUUCACAUUUUCCACAUAAGUGUCUUUUGAGGAUUCAUCUCUCUCAAGAUAAAACCGGCAAAUGGCAAGGGAAUAUGAGAAGUUUGGAAACAACCACAAGGAGUUAUCACUUUUGUAAUCUUCAGAGAAACGUUCUAGCCAAGCAUAUUCCUCUGCCCUCAAAGCAAAGUAGUCAAUGCAGAACAUGACCCCCAUUGGAUCAUCUGAAUCCAGUGAAAGCAACAGUUUGCAAACUUCAAGGGCAGACCGAUGACAACCUCGCCUGUCCAUGUUUUUCAUGUGAGUGAAAAGUGUUGUGAACAAUGGCUUGUUUGUUUCAUGGCUGAAUUUUAAUUGACAAUUACCCUGCAAUGGGGUAAACAUUGGAUUCCAUGCACAUUCCAAGGCAUACAAAGACUUUGCAGUAGCAUCAGCUGACAUGUGAUGUUCCCCCACAAAUUUAAAAUAGUCUGCCAUUGUUAUGAGUGAAUCCAAGUGAUAAGGAUAGUACAGUAAAACACUGGCUAUACUGUUCAGAUCAUGAAUAGAUUUGGCACCUUCAAACGCUCUCUGAGCUUGGCCAUAGGAAGAAGAAUGUACAUAUCUACAUGACAUAAACAAAGCCAAAAUUAGGGCACAUAGUUUAAUAAGCUCAAACCAAAAUGCUAUAUAUUAUAGUGGAAAUGAGAUAUGCUGUUAUGAUCCUCAAGAUGGACGCUGAACUACCUUUUAUAUCCAAAGUAUAAAAUUAUUGCAUAGUUAAUAAUAACAUGUGAUCAUAAUUGCUUACGCACAAGAUAACAGGAGAUGUGUGAUGAACUCAGCUUCACAGACCAUUCACAUCGCACAACUCUCCUCAAUUUUGUAAAAUUUACAUCAUAUGUCACAAUGAGUGCUGGAGAAACAAAUCGACAAGUCAAAUCAGCAAAUUAAGAAUUUUCCUUUAUAGCGGGAUCCCCCUCUAAUUCAAACAUUUAUGCAGUGGUUUCCAUACUUAAUCAGUGACAAUGUAUGAAAUGUCACAUGAGUCCUGUCACCAAUACAUUUCCCAUAGUGCACAUGAUAGAAAUGCACAAAUUAAAGGAAGAGCUAAGAGUAAAUAUAUGGGACACACUCCCCAUAACCUUUUCAUUUGGUAAAAGAUACAUAGCAGGGGUGCUUAUGGCAAGAACCUACUAGUGAUUAAGACACUAGUUAUAGAUGGUUCUAGCAAGUUUCAAUGUCCCCUCAGGUUAUUUUUCAUGUGGAAAAUCACCUAGAUGUUUGAUCCUCACAUUCGUGAGCUUUGCUUCUGCAUGCAUGCAUGCUUGCACAUUCGGAUAAACCAAAAUUGCAAAUCACAACCACUGUCCAUGGCACUAAUUGUUGGAGCAUCUAAUCAAAAUUGCAUGUGCAAAGGAAUACCAUUUGCCAUGUUGAACCAUUUAUCCACAAGGCAUUCACACCCUGUUAAAAUUCCAAAUUGCAGCUCACAUAAAGUUUUGCAUUACAAGCAAGGAAUGAGUCGUUCAUAUUAAAACAGAAAGGUAAGGCUAGCAGUAGCAAUUCAAUAACAUAGUCUGUAGCUCGCAUAAAGGUGUGCAUUACAAGCAAAGAAUGAGCCAUUCAUAUUAAAACAGAAAGAUAUGGUCAGCAGUUGCAGUUCAAUAACAUAGUCUUAACAUGGAAGAAAUGGUGUAGAGGUCCAAAAUUAUCAAGCAGACUAAGGAUGAUAGUUACCUGAAGAAGUUCAAUCCAUCUUUGGAUUCCAGAAAUUCCAUAGACAAAGAUCCAUCCCAACGGGGCCAAUGGUCUGAGGGAGACACAAGAAUAGUCUUUUUGGGAUUGUGGCUUCCACGUCUUCCCCCACGUAUCUGUCUGGAACUACCAGUUUGCUGACUAUUCUCAAAAGAACUCACUACCUUAGAGCCAAAUAUUCGCCGCAGCUCGUUUUCAGCACUUAAAAAUUUCGGGUCUACUUGUAAUAUGGAGGUCGUGUAUUGUUUAGCCCGGUUAUCACAAACUUUUACAUUCACUGAUUUAGCUUCUGUAGAGCCAGGCUGAUUGCUCGAAGAGUUACUAUCAAGAGACAAUGUUUUCAAAAUCACAUCCAAGGGUUUUUCAGCUUUAUCCACUCUUGAAAAUGAACCCUGCUUGCCCUUUUUCUUUUUCUUUUUCUUUGAUUUAUGAUUAGAAGUUGAAACUACAUCAGCAGUACUUUUCUCAGAGGUUUCUUGUUCAUUAAUGUUUCUGGUCAACGUUUCGUUAGCAAUUUCACUUUCAUCCCCCUGCAGAUGAAAUUGAUCAUUAGCAAGUCAAACAAAUAAAGUGCCAAUGUUCAAUGAUUAUCCAUUCAGCAGCCACCAAUAAUUUGUAAAAUGAAUUUACAAAUGCACAAACACACAAAAAACUCGAUAAUGAAUUUUUACCAAAAGUUAACACUGGUAACAAUGGAAAUACAAGAGAGAAGCAUAAGCUAGCAUCUAAUAUAGUCUCACAUCUGCGAAUUAUUACUGCAAUGGGAAUGAGGUUUGAAAAACAAGUGAAUUGAUAAUAAAGUACAAUCUCUGAGGUUCAAAUUCAUUUAUAGCUUUAUUUGGGAUACGGAUUAACUUUGCAAUUAACAAUAUAGGAAGUAGAAGUAAUUAUUACUAUAGUGUAAUGGAGUUUUAUGUUUGGAACUAUAUUUUUAAAAUUGAUUUUAUUAAACAUAAGGAUAAAUAUGAUAUCUUUAUUGCUAUGCUUGGUUUUAAGAAAGAAAUUAAAAAAAAAAAAUACUAAAGAAAAUAAUUUUCUAAUGUUUGAUUUUACUAUGAAAAAUACAAAAGAAAAACAAAUAAAAAUUUAAAUUAGUUAGAAACUUAUACAUUUUCAGAUUAUUUUAUCUUUAUAUAAAAAAUCUAAAACAAGUGAAACAAAUUUGAAGUAGCAUAUAAAAAUAAUUUAUUGAUGUUAAAUCUAUUUUUUGUAUUUUCCUUUGCUUUUCUUUCCUUCCACUUUUCAUCCCCAUUUUCUUCUCCUUGCAUUUUCCCUUGAAUGUUCCGAGAACCAAACAUAGCCUUGGUAAGAAAGUACAAUCUCCAACCCUCAAAUACAUCUACAGCCCUAUUGGGGAUAGGGUUUAAUAAAAAGUAGUUUGACUAAGUUUUAUGUUUGGGAAUUAUAUUUUAAAAUUAUUUUUAUUAAAAAUAAGGAUAAUUAUGAUAUCUUUCAAAUUUUUAAUUAAAUAAAAAUCAGCUUGGCUGGAUAAAUUACAUUGGGAAAUAUGGAGUCAUGAUUGAGAAUUCUAUCAAACACACUAAUAAGUAGCUGCAGACUUUGAGAAGCUUUCCCAAACAGGGCCUAUCUAUGUAGGAGGGCUUAUUGUAUAGGAGAGGAAGGGGUGAGGCUAUAGAGAAACUUUGCCCAAUCACAAGAACAAGGGCUAAAAUACAAUACAUACAUAGGCAUAUGCUUGAAUGAUUUCCAAGUUGAAUUCUUAACGGAGGGUAAGAGAGUUGAGAGGACAAAUUCACUAAAGAAUUCAUAUAGAAAGUUCUUCCAAUUCUAAUGGCAAAUAGAAACAAUGAAAAACACCUGUUGAUUUCAUCUUCGCAAAUCGCAAAUCCCAGAGAAACGAUAUGAAAAAUGAAUUACAACAUCAUCCCAUCUCAAGAAUUGGGAAAAAAAAACUUUAAUGGUUAUUCAUUUAUGAAUAGCAGCAGAACUUGCUAUGAAGAAGAAAGAAGCAAUAUGGGAACCUGAGCGUCAUCGUCGUCGUCGUCGUCGUUGAGGAUAUGGAAGAGAUUUUUAGAAGGAGGAGCGGCGGGAUCGGGAGAGUCCGAGUCAUCGUCGUUGCCGAGCUGCUGCUGCUGCUGCUCUUCUUGUUCUUGCAAAACCUUCCUCAGCAAUCGCGCCGACAUUGCUGUUCUUUGACAAUCCAACAAAGCCUUCAACCUAUGUGGGUGUGGGUGGAUGUAAUAAAUUUGUAUUCAUUUUGAUAAAAAAUUGAAAACAUAAACAGAAUCCCAGACGGGAAAUCGCUAGGGUUCUUACACUGGUUUGACCUAAUCUGAGGCCUCUUCACUCCCCAGCUCAGGCCCGUUCCGUUUAUUAUCAAUUCAAGUGCGUCAGGAAAUUUUGGAUGUUAAUUCAUCUGUAUCACAUACGCCUAAAAGGGGUUUUGUUUUUUUUCUACAUGUUGCUUCAAAAAUAAAAUAUUAUUAAAAAAAAUUGACAUUUUGUUGUUCUAAAAAUAAAUAAAAAAUAAAUACAAAAAAAAAAAAAAAAAAAAGAUAUCACUCGUUCAAUUUAUAGUUUUUUUUUUCAAUGUUUUGAUAAUUGGAUUCAUUAUUGAACAAAAAAAAUUAUUACUAUCAUUUGAUCAUGUCAAUGGUUGAAUUGGUGACUUAAUAAAUAUAUAAUUUAUAUAUUAUUAUAUAAAUUAUAUAUAUAAAAUAAAAAAAUUUAAUAUUUAAUUUUAUAUUUAUUUAUUUUAUUAUUUUAAAUUUUCAAAAAUUAUUAUAUUAUUUUUAUGCUUAUCAUUAUAUAAUUAUUAUAAAAUAAAGUUUGUUUUUCUUAAAUAUUAUAAGUAAUCCUAGAUACAAAUUUUAUAAAUUGUUGUAAAACAAGAAUAAAUGUGACUCAAAUAAAAGUAGAGAUAACUAUAUAUUACUUUAAUAAUAUAUAUAAAUGGGAGAAAGAAAUUAAAGAAGAGAAGUAUUGAAAGAAUGAAAAAAAGAAAGAAUAAGAGAGAGAGAGAAUAAGAGGAAGAGUGAAAACUUCUUUUUCUUUGGAUGCUCCUUACAUGGGUGUAAGAAGCCUUUUAUAGGCUUCACCAUAUGAACUCCCAUUACUCAUCUUAAAGAUAAGUAAAUGGAGUUCAUAAAUAACCAUUAAUAUUUUAUUCAAUGUGGUCAUUCAUCACUUUAUUUACAACAUUCCUCCUUAAAUGACCACCAUAUUAAAAGAAUAUAUCUCAUUAAAACCUUACUAGUAAAAAACCCUAUAGGAAAAACCUAGCAAAGGAAAAAUAAUACAAUAUUUUUUUCUUGGUAUGUUAAGACUGCCUCGUUAAAAACCUUACCAGUAAAACAAAACUUGGACGAAGGAAAAAAUAGUACAGUACAUUAACACUCUUUUACAAGCAUACUCUUCCUCAUGUCGAUAUUCUUGAGUUGACGCAUUCCAAUCCUGUGUAUUAACUUCUUGAAUGUUAAGGUUGACAAUGAUUUUGUGAACAAAUAUGUUAGAUUAUCACUUGAGCGUAUUUAUUGCACAUCAAUUUCACCACCCUUUUGGAGUUCAUGUGCAUAAAAGAAUUUUGGUGAAAUGUGUUUAGUUUUAUCUCCUUUAAUAUAACCCUGUGUUAUUUGUGCAAUGCAUGCAACAUUAUCUUCAAAUAAUAUUAUCGGGUCACCUUUGAUAAAGGAGAGUCCACAUGAUUCCCGAAUAUGCUAGAUCAUAGAUCUUACAUGAGGUGUAAGAAGCUUUUAUAGGUUUCACCAUAUGAACUCCCAUUACUCAUCUUAAAGAUAAGUAAAUGAAGUUCAUAAUAACCAUUAAUAUUUUAUUCAAUGUGGUCAUUCACCACUUUAUUUACAACAUAAACUAUAUUUUAUAUAAAUACUUUGCUUAUCCUCGAUGUUUCAAACAUGUUGGGUUGGAGAGUGUUAUUGGGCUGCAGUUGGGUCAUUAUGAUGCAAAGCACAUUGGGCUAGAAAUGAAGGGGUUGGGCUCACAUUAUGAUUUUGGUCAAAAUAAUGUUGACGGAUUAAAAAAGAAAAAACUGCACAGUUCGUUAGAUUGGACCGGUUUGGACGAAGUCAACCGGACCGGAGGGUAUUUAUUUUUUUAAUUAUUGGUACUUGAACAAAAAGCUCCUACGGUUUUUUUUUUCUUUUUUAUGCGUAAUAAUGAGUUUUUAUUUUUUAUUUUUUAUUAGAAUUAGCUAAAAUAUUAUUUUAAAAAAUUUAUAUAAAAUAAUUUUUUUGAAAAUAUUAUUUAUGCAUAUAUUAAAAAUACAAUUCUAAAAAUGUUUUAUUUCUACAAAUAAUUUUUAAAGCUUUGAAAAGAUGAUUUUUGUAUGAAAGAUUGCUUUUUUAAAACUAUGUUACAAAAUAACUAGAAUGGACAAUAAAAAAGAAAAUUAAAUAAGAAGACAUAGAUUUAGGUGGAAACCCUUGGAUAAGAAAAACCACACUAAAGGAGCAGAAAAUUCACUAUAUUAAAAUAUUGGUAUAUGUUUAUUGUUCCUUAUUUUAUCAUUUGUUAAAGUUUUUUUUUUUUCAAUAUUUUUAUGAGUUUUGAUAAAUUUUUAUUUUACCGAUUGGUAUUUAAUAUCAAAAUAUUCAUCGAUAUAUUUGAUAUAUUUGUAAAAUUAAGUUACGAAUAUAAUCUUAGAAACCUAAUAUUUUCAUCCUUGCAUGAUACAUAAUAAAAAGUUAUAGUAGGAUUAUGGGUGUCAAUUUGUGUUGAUGGACGGAUUGUAUCAAUGUCAUACCAAUAUUUGCUUAUGACGUAAAUGAUUUAUUUGUUAAAAAAAAAAAUUAAAUGGGUUAAAUAGUUUAAAGUUAUUCUAAGGUAAAUCAACACGACUAUUAAAUAAGUCUAUUUAGGUCAAAUUCAUAUUAUGUAAGUUGACUCAAUUUUAUUUAUUUUUAAUUAUUUUUUAUUUUACUUAAACAUGUUUACACUCAAAAAUCCAAAUCUAAGAAAAAUGGUAUUGGAUUUGAGUUACGAAGUAUAUCAAACUUAAUCACCACUUAGUAGAACUAUGGUAUGGAGAACAUUGAAGCAAUGAUUGAAGCCAGUUGUUUCUCUUAUUUUUCUCACCAAUGGUUGGUGUUCCUAGUAAAUUUUCAUUUUACAGAAGCAAAAAGAAUCCUCCAGUAUGGGAGGAGGAAGCUAGGCAUCAAGUAUGCUAAAGAAUCAGAUAGCAAACUCAUUGGUUUUACUGAUGGUGAUUGAGAAGGAAGUACGGAUGAUGAUGGAAGGAGUACAUUUGGCUCUUCUUUUUGAUGGGAUCAAAAGUGAUUUAAAAAAAGCGCUGGACUGCUGCAUUGUCAUGGACAGAAGCAGGGCAUGUAGCAACAAAUUAAGCUGCAUGCGAAGCAAUUUGGCUAAGGGAGCUACUUGAUGAUUUGCAGCAGAAUGUCUCAGAAACCUACUACAAUCUUUUGUGACAGCUAUGAUUAAAAAUCUUGGUUUUUCAUGCAAGAUCAAAGCACAUGGAACUUUGGCAUCAUUAUAUUCAUGAUUCGGUAAGCGUAGGAGAAAUUUGCUUGGAGUUGAUCAACACAAAUGAACAGCCUGCCAAUGUUCUCACCAAAACAUAACUAAAGAGAAGUUUGAUAAGUUUAAGGAGCAACCGGAAAUUACAAAUCAAGAGGGGGUGUUGGUAAAUAAUUUGCAAUUUCAUCAAAGGAGUAAAUGUAUCUUGUGUGAAGUCUUUUUUCUAGCUAGUAUCAUCGUCCGUUUGUGUUCUUCAUGUCUUGGAAUCUGGAUGUCUAGAGUUCAUAUUAUCAGCUAAAAAUAGCUUGUCAUGAAGUAAGGGUUUGGAGAAGCCAAAAAAAGUUAUCCAACAAGUCUGAACUUUCUGCCAUGGAUAUGAACUCAACCCCAUUUGAAGAAAAAAAAAAUGGAAUCAAAUCAGUUCUGCAGCUUGACGAGAAGAUAACUGAAGAACCCAAUUUAAUUUGACGGGAAAAUUCUUGAUCCCUUCUAUUCUGGCAGUCCAGGUGAACUUCUUCUUCUUCAUCUUCUUUUGGCUAGGACAUUCCAGGUAAAGCUUCUCAAAAGAUCUAUAUAUCAACUUCUUUGUUAAUUAAGAUGACAUGCUAUCAAUUUUUUUUUUCAUGCUCAUCCUUCCAUGUUGCAGUAUAUCAUUGUUGUGAAACUAAUUCAACCAGCAAUCAUGGAUGUCACUGUGGGUAUCUGCAAGUUCUAAUGGGGUUUUAAAGAAUAGAGGGUCCUUUUUCUUCUGAUUCUUCAUUUAUUCUAUACCACUUUCACCUUAGCUGAUCAUAAUUCAUGCUUCCCGUUUCUGAAUUUCUCAAGAUUUCAUACAGUAGCCAUGCAUCAUGAUGGACGUGAUGAGCAAACCCAGAAUGUAAUCCAUGGAGGGGGACGGGGGGCAGUGUUUGGGCAGACCUUUGCAUGCUAAGAAGAAAAUAUCACUUCCCAAGUGGACCCUGGGGUGUUGAAAAAGGGCAGUAAUCAUCAAUUGAUAGCGAUUAUGGCUCCUCCACCCAGGCGUGGCAGCUGUGGAUAGAUUUUGCUUUUUAUCUCUGCAUAGAUUGCGGGGAGGAUGGAGGAGGAAGAAGAGUGGUCGAGGGGGACGGGGGGACCAUGCUUCAAACCGCGGGUGCCAUGUGAAAGGGGGACUCAAGCAUAUCAUUAGGCACACCACUAUCGGCUGCAGACAUCAUUACAGAUAGGUAACCUUCUUUUGAUUAUAUGCUUUCUGCUUUACAUGACACGCUGAAUGAUUAUUGUUAGGAAUCCGAUUGAUCAAACAAUGAUGAAGGCUAAUUACCUGAGACCCACCUUCAUCUCUUUGAUAUGAAAGUGUUGGAAAUAUUUAUUUGAUGAAAUUGAUUUUUUUUUUUAAUAUGAAAAAAAAAAAAAAAAGAAACUAUAAAAGGGCCUCAUUUUGGGUAUGUGGGUGGGUUUGGUGUUUGAUUGUUCCUGAGAGGGGCAACCAUCAGAAGACAGUAUGGGUAAUUUGAAGAAUGUAGUGAUAGCAUUGGUGACCCCUCUUCCCUCCAUACUCUUCUAUCUUUCAUUCCUUAACCACUAUUACCAAAAUGGGAAUAGUACCAGUUCUGCUCUGUGGACAUGGUGCUUACACCAUCCUCUUCUUUUGGCCAACGCCUUCUUCUUCGUCAAUGUCAAUUUGCUCUUCUGGGUAAUUGGUCUUCUGCAGUCUAGCCACUGGGUGGGUUUUCUCAGUACUUUCAUCUCCAGAAUCAGAGUUGCAUUCCCUUUUAGAAGUCUUUCUUUUUCUCUAGCUCCAUUUACAUUGUUGUUGGUUUUGGUUGGGUGCAGAUGAUAGAUUUGUAUUGGACGGUGAUACCAGUAUUGCUUGUUCAUUACUAUGCGACCCAUCCUUUGGCCCAGUAUGACUGGUGGAGGUCCAGGGUUGUGAUCUUGAUGACUUGGGCGUGGAGCAUGCGGCUUUCCCACAACUACUUUAGGCGAGAAAGGUGGCAGUGGGGUGUCAGGGAGGACUGGAGAUUUACAGAUAUGCGCCAUCAGUAUGGCAAGAACUGGUGGUGGGUUUCAUUUUUUGCGAUCUACCUCUCUCAGCAGGUAAAUUCAAGACAAACUGUUUGAUGAAUUGCCUGAAUGAAUUUUAGAUGACAGAUAAGGGAGUGAUUUUCUUUUGCUUGUUUAAACCUUUCAGGUCUUUCUAAUUGGGGUAUGUCUUCCAUUUUAUGCUGUCCAUUCGGUUGAUAAGCCAUGGAAUAUUUGGGAUGUGGUUGCAGUGGCAGUUUGUGUUUGUGGGAUCGUUGUUGCUUAUCAUGCUGACACAGAACUCCACAAUUUUGUAACUAGAAAUGAUAAACUGAAAGGGCUCGGAAUGCCUAUUGUGCCCAAUCUUGACAAGGGCUUGUGGCGCUAUUCUCGCCAUCCAAACUACUUUGGGGAGCAGUUGUGGUGGUGGGGACUAGUCAUCUUUGGAUGGAAUUUGGGACAUGGAUGGACCUUUGUUGGGUCUCUCAUCAAUAGUAUGUGCCUAGCAUAUGUGACCAUUCUUGUGGAGAAUCGAAUGCUGAAACAGGAUUACAGGGCUGAAGCUUACAGGUUGUACCAGAAGACAACAUCAGUGUGGAUACCUUGGUUCAAGUCAUCUCCAGCAGGAGGAAAAGAUAAGAAUACUUGAUGUAUUUCCUCUUGUUUGCAUUUUCUUUAUUUGUCUGCAUCAUCUAUCUAUUUUGCCUUUCUUGGUAUGCUCAGCAAUUUGUGUAAUGUGUAACUUAUUGGUAGAAGUAUGGAUUUUACUUGAGUGCAGCUAUUUAGUUCCUUGUAUGAAAUCGAACAAAUCCUUUCUGCUUUUAUUAUAGACAAGUUCCUUUCUCAUCUGAAUUUGCAAGGCAGAACAAGAUUUAUGAUACUUCUUAGAGCUUAUAACUCAAAAAAGGAUUAAUUUUUUUACAUAGAUGGAGUGACACCAAAAGAAAAGAACAAAAAAAAAAAAAAAAAAAAAUGGUAACAAAGUGGAAGCAUUGAAAUUGUAGCUCUUGGUAGAUGGUUUGAUUGGAAUGUUUUGCAAGAAUAAUUUAGAUCCAGACCCGAUUGCUUAGUGUCUUUGAACCCAAAGGUGCAAUGGUAAACUUCCUAGAAGAAGUUUUGUAGGCUGGAUUUUCUGUUGCUGUUCUUAUGAAAGCUUUAAUCAUACAGGACUAUAAGGGGGUAUGAUUUUGAUUGGCGUGUGUCUAGGUAUCAGGUUCACCUAAUCUCCAAAUCAUAAGUCAUAUGGACACUGCUGAAUUUUCAAAUGUUCAACUUAUCUCCAGUUAAAAAGUAGAGUAAAAUGAAGCGCAUAUCCACCAUAGCGCAUUGGAUAUUGGUCUUCUAACUUACACUGGGGUACUUCUAGAGAACUCCAAGUCUCCAACCAUACGCCUCUAUUUCAGGCAUGCCUAUUUGGUUCACUUCCAAGAGUAGCAUGUUAGAGACAUAUGAAAUACACAUACCCACGUUGUGCCAUGUAAAGGUACUUCACAUGUUGAAUAUUGUGUGCAACAUAGGUGGGAGCUGUGGGAUGUAACCCCUGAUCACAUCAACUUGGAAAACAGUUUACUAUGACAAUUUCCUUAAAGGUUCACUUUCUUAGUGUAGCAGAAUAAAACGCUAACAGGUUGUUUCAUUAGUUGACUUAUAACCUAUUGAUGAAAUCUCUAAAAGGGAAAUCAGAGCUGUCUGUAUCUUCACGUGUGCUUUGUUGGAAAUGGGAAUAAAGAAUUAGAAUCUUCUCUUUGGGAUGUAAUAUCCAAACAAUGAAAAGAACGAUGAUGCCUAAGAAUCAUGGUUUGAUGCUUCUUCCAACAAUGUGGCCUUGUUAUAGACUAUAGACUCACAUGUGUUUGCAGCCUGCUAAUACCUUAUGAUAAAAUCAUCAAUUGCAUCCUUUGAUUAUGACUAUGCAUCUUUUCCUGAGUUAGAAGAAUCUGUGAGAUCCGUGUCUCUCUCAAAGAUAUUACAGGCUAUUCCCUUCUUCAGCUCUGUCAUUCAUUUUCAAACUCCAUAUCAGUCGAGAGAAAAUUUGAUUGAUUUGCUAGACAAGGUAUUAUUUAUUAUAACAAUUUUUUAGGCCAUGUAUCUGUGCUAUGCACUGUGUGGAGUUGGCAGAACCAAGGCACACAAUUGGUAAAAAUUGGAGAGAAAGAGCAUGGUCCAACUGAUGUGAUUUAUGAAGCUUGGAUUUAUUCGAAGGAAAAUGCUUUGUUGCAAGAGUCACAAGCCAUACCAACUGGCAUGAGUUUAAUUAAGGGUCAUUUUCCUUUUCUUAGCCCUUGCUUGGUGUUCAGGUCACACGGAUGUUGGACCUCUAGAGUUCACAAGUAGGGGUGAUUAGGCAUACAGGCAUUCCAACCUAUUUUAGUGGAAGGAUGUGCUAUUUAUUUACAUCCAUUAGUUCAUAAGGGAUUCAAUGCAGAUUUUGAUGGGGAUCAAAUGGCUGUUCAUGUACCUUUAUCUUUGGAGGCUCAAUCGGAGGCUCGUUUACUUAUGUUUUCUCAUAUGAAUCUCUUGUCUCUAGUCAUUGGGGAUCCAUUUUCGUACCAACUCAAGAUAUGCUUAUUCCUGUGCACACCACACAAACCGGCAACCCAUGAUCUUGAAGAGUUGAAAUCAAGCAAUUCUGUUUUGGUAAACUAAUUUUAUCAUUGCAUGCUUUAAAAGAUUGACCUGAUUAAGAAGAUUCAUUACAUACACGGUAUAAGAAAGUUGUCUUAUUAUCAUGUGUCAUUGGAUUAUAAGACCAGGCAAACAGACAUCCUUACACACCAAAGAACAAUCUAAUACUAUUUUGUAAUGACUUGCUCUUUCCCGUGUAGAUAUUAUCCGUACUAGAUCUAAUAAGUUAUCCUGAUUUAAGAAAGUGUGUACAUAAUUAAGAUGAGUUCACGGUAUACAUGUAUAAAGUGCCUUCUCCGUUUGUUCCACAUGAAAGUGUAGAGAAAUGAAAUCCAGCACGGCAAGUAAAAAACAAUAAUAAUAAUCCUUGUCAUAGAAAGGAAGAUUGGUUUAAAAAACAAGGCCGUUGAGGUGGAUUUCCAUGUCAUUGUCCCUCUCGCUGUCUAAGAUUAAACUGUCCACUGUUCAUCACAGGGGAUCUUCCCUCCGAAGCCGGCAAUUGCCUUGUUGGGUGUUGCUAGUGACUAAUUUUCAAAUCAGUUUAGACUUCACAUAUUUUAAAUAAGAUGACUUGAGCUGUAUAGAAAAGGAGAUAUAUUUUCAUGCAUAGAUCCAAUCCUUCUCAUUUUUUCUUUUGGGUAGGAAUGUGGCAUGGUAUUGACAUUUUUGUUCCGACAUUGGGCUCGUGUGCUCGUGACAGACGACAGCGAGGGUACGAAGAGAGUAAAACAAUCACAGACUGCACAGGACAUGAAAAACUCAACGAGGCUAGCGUGUGCGUAUUACAAAGACAAGCAAAUUAGCUGGCGAGAAAUCUAACAGUUAUCUUCAAAUUCAUGAACUAUGGAGUUUGUGCACACUAGAAUACAACAUACAAAAGUUAAAUCAGCCACGCACAUGAAGCCAUUGAAAAGAGGGUUAGAUUUGUCUUUUGGGAAGUAAAGAAAAGAAAGGGAAUUUGAAGCCUUGUGGUUGUUGAACUACAAAGUAACAAAGCAAGGGAUUGGGUUGUUGAAAGUUGAAACCUGAAGGCCAUACCUUUGUGCGAGCCACUUGAAUUGAAGGCCGUUGGAUCACAUGUGACAUGCCAUUGAUCUCUAAAGUUAAUCUUAUAAGUCCCUUGGACCCGUGGGAUGCUGCCUUGUCCUCAGGGUCACAUGACUUGAUUUUCCUACCAAUUAUCUUAUUUAGGUUUUCAUGAGGAAUAUCUUUCCACGGAGACAGAAUAUAUCUCGAAAGCAUUAUUAGCAAGACAAAGACGAUAACGUCAUCUAUCCCAUUCAACAUCAAAUUGAAUUUAAGGUAGAAACCUUUAUUUCAUAUAGUUCUCUCACUUGCGACCUCCGGGAAGCUCUUGAGGUAGCAAUUCAUCUCGUUGGACGUGGUUCGUUUCCUGCCUCACAUUGGAUUAAAUUACAUCAUUUCAAAUGAUAAGAUAUAAAUUAAAAUAUAAUUUAAUUAUUAAAUAAUUCUCUAAGUCUUACGGGAAAUUUCUUAAGUCAAUAUGAUCUUUUACACCUUCAAAAACCACAAUAUAAUCAAUUUUCAUGUCUUUUGAGUUUAGAGUAAAUAAUAUCUAUAUAAUUCAAUACGGAUCAAUAUAAAUAGUAUUAGAGUCAAUUCUCAACCCUGAUGUAGAGUUUUGUUUAACUUUAUGAGGGGUAUUUAUUUGUUUAAUUCCAUGAUAUAGUGAAAUAUAAUUAUGGAUCAUUAUAAAUAGUAUCAAAGUCAAUUUUCAACUCCGAUGUAAAGUUUUAUUUAACCCUUUGUGGGGUAUUUGUUUGAUUUUAUAAUCCCGUGAAAUAUAUAUAGGAUUCUGUAUUUAUUUAAAAGAUGUUUGUAAUAUCUCACAUUUUACGACGGAAAAAAACUUCUUAAUACUAUAUAAAUAUGAACUCUUUAAUGUUAAUAGGAUUAACCUUUUAUAUUUAUAAUUUAAUUCACCUGUUAAUUUGAAUAAAUCAAAUAUAUAUGGAAGAGAUGGAGAUUAUAAUUAGGAUAAUUAAUAUAAUGAUUAUUAAAUUGAUUUUCGAAUUAAAUAAUUAAUUUGGUUUCAAAACACAAAUUGAAUCUGAUUCCACACGAAUUUUAUCGAAAUAUGAUUGUACUCUAUCCAAGUGUGGCUUUUUCUUUUUGUUUUCCAAAAGCUAAAAAUAUAAUUUAUUUUAUUUUAUUUUAAAAUUUGGCCCAGUGCGGGCCCCUGGGGGCCAAGGCGACGGACUAACAGCUAAGAGGAAUUAAUGACUAAUACUAGUCAGCAGGGAGGUGGCGGAAUUAAUAACUAGUACUAGUUAGCAGGCAGGUGGCUGCGAGUGGUGACUAAUGCGAAGCAGUGGAGCAGUGGAGGAGGACCUAAUUGAACGUCAACUCUGAAACUAAAACCAGAGAAAGAAGGAGAAAAACAAUGGCACAGCCAUGGAAGAAGAAAACAUGUUACUGGAUGAAGGCGAUGCUUCUUGCUUUGUGGUUUUCUGGGAUCCAUGUGUUGGCUGAUGCGGCUGCAGCUGUUUCCAAGGAACAAAAUCAAUUGCGGUUCAGCAAGGAGGGGCAGUUCAAGAUACUACAAGUUGCGGACAUGCACUUUGGUGAUGGCAAGUCCACCCCUUGCCUGAAUGUUCUCCCUAAUCAGAUGCGCGGUUGCUCCGACCUCAACACUUCCGCUUUCAUUCAUCGCAUGAUCCAAGCUGAGAAGCCUCAUCUCAUUGUUUUCACUGGUAUUUUCUUCCAUUUUCUUUAUCAUUGUGUUUCUUACCAUCUGUUUGGGAAAUUAGAGAGCCGAGUGAAUUCCCAUCUCCCAAGAAUUUUCCCCAAAACCCCUAAAGCCUUGUAAUUGGAGUUGAUUUAUGCAGGCGAUAACAUAUUCGGAUUUGACGCCAAAGAUGCAGUGGCGUCUUUGAAUGCUGCAUUCGCACCUGCACUAUCAUCAAACAUACCCUGGGCUGCUGUUCUCGGCAACCACGACCAGGAAUCCACUCUCUCAAGGGAAGGGGUGAUGAAAUAUAUAGUCGGCAUGAAACACUCCCUGUCUCAGUUGAAUCCCCCCGGGGUUAACAUUAUUGAUGGUUUUGGGAACUAUAAUCUGGAGGUUAGCGGGGUUGAGGGUUCUAGUUUACAUAACAAAUCAGUUCUCAAUCUCUAUUUCCUGGAUAGCGGGGAUUACUCCACGGUUCCCUCUAUCUUUGGCUAUGGCUGGAUCAAACCCUCUCAGCAAUUUUGGUUUCAGCGCACUUCUAAGAAGCUUCGGGUACUAAUUUUGCGUUUUCCGAGAGCAUUUUUCCCAUUUCUAUGGUCCUCACCAUGCCCAUUCAAUUGGGUAUUCCGUAGCCUCAAGUAGAAUUAUCAUAGAUUUUAUGCCUUAUAAGCCAUAACUCUGUUCAUUUACCACUGCCCUUUCUAAUGCAGAGAGCAUACAUGAGCAAUCCGGAGGGUCAGAAAUCAGCUGCACCAGGUCUAGCAUACUUUCAUAUCCCGUUGCCCGAAAGUGCGAGUUUUGACUCAUCAAACUUCACGGGUGUAAAACAAGAAGGCAUCAGCUCUGCUUCUGUGAAUUCAGGCUUCUUCACAACCAUGGUGGAAGCAGGGGAUGUGAAGGCUGCGUUCACUGGACAUGAUCAUGUCAAUGACUUCUGUGGAGAGCUACUUGGUAUACAUCUUUGCUAUGCUGGAGGGUUCGGGUACCAUGCCUAUGGGAAAGCUGGAUGGGCGAGGAGGGCUCGGGUUGUGUUGGCAACUUUGGAAGAAAGGGAGAAGGGAGGGUGGGGAGAAGUUAAGUCUAUCAAGACGUGGAAGCGGCUUGAUGAUAAACACCUUACUGUUAUCGAUGCUCAGGUCCUCUGGAGCAAGACCUCUGCUGGUAAGCUUCUACUCAAGUACCUUCUUGGUCACACUCUUGCAUUGGUCUUUUUAGCUUGUUAUAGUGGAGAGCAAUCAGCUCUGGAACAUCUAAGAAGUGUGUUUCAUAUCAUCCUGUCUGCAUCUGUCUCUUCCAAUUGCCUGAUUUUAAUGGAUCAUUCAGUGGUAUCCUGUGGAAACUCAAUGGUUUUCUAGUAAAAUACUUCAUAUUAUCUUUGAAAAGAGACCAUACAUGCAGAUAAUUUCUGUGCAAGUGUUUUCACAUCUGCCUUGGUGAUGCCAGAACAUAAUGAUCUUAUUUUCAUCUUCUUUCCUGGCCUCCACUAGAUGGUCGAGAUAUAAAUGAAUCAAGGAUUCUCCUACUUCAUUUAUUUUUUCACCCACUAUGGCAAAAUCUGUUUGCCCACCAACUUCACAUCACAAUUCAUUUUCUUUUGGGAUCCCUGUGUGAAUCACCUUGUAUCAGUGUUCUUGUUGUAUGGAUUUAUGAGUUUUGUGAUAUUCUCCUAUCUCAUUCACUGAAUUGAUUUGCCAAACACACCAAAAAUAAAUGUUGCUAAUUUUUCUAAAAAAUUAUCAUAACUGCCAUCAGGUGUAUGCCAUUUGCCUAAUCAAUCAUUUUUUUUUUCUCAAAGUUAACAUUUGAAUCUGUUUUCCAUUCCAUGCCAUCAGAAUGCUCACAUUUACUCUUUAUUUUUGGUUUGCAUUGAACAGGAAGCCGUAGAAAGAAAAAGAUUGGUGGCAUUUAAGUGAUUAACACGUAUUUGCAGCAAAGAUAAGCCAUCAACUUAGCUGUGAGAAAGUAAGCUUCAAAUAUCAGUUCAAAGGAAUCUUCUCUUGAUGUUGUUUUAUAGUUUUAUUUCAAGGACUUGUAUGUCUAAGACAUAAAGAAAACACAUGAGUAUUUUACAGGACAAUAAAUGAAAAACUAUUAUAAAGGAAGUUAAAGAUAUCAUCAGUAAUCAGUAAGUGGAUGUCAUCUAAUUGCAAUUCAUGCACGGUAGUUUUGUCAAAGAACCUUUUGAUGCAUGAAUGAUUAGAGAACAUAGUCCACAAAGUUGAGAAACUUCUUUGAUUCUUAAUAGUUCAUGCAAUGUACUAUUCAGUAUCAUUACCAUCCAAAACCUGUUCAUCCUCAACUUUCUCAGACUGCAGACUAGAAGAAUGGACAACUAGAUUGACUUUCAUCUCCUAACAACCUACAAAUAGUCAUAAAUCAAGACAAUAUCAGGAGCUUAAGUUUAGCUCUUGUCAGAGCUUGGUCAUGUACACAAUUUAAGCCAAAAAAAGGCUGUUGGGAGUAUAAAGAACUGGGAUAAAAACUAAAACAAGGCCAAAAUCUCUGCAAAAAUGAUCAUUUUGAAUAAUCAAGAAGCCACAUAUGUUUUUGAGGACUACUAAUAGUUGCAGGUGGACUCCAAAAAUUUUGUUUGGUGAUAGGAGUUUUGGUUCUGGAGCACUGAAAGAAACUUGAACCAUUGGAUGAAGUAUCAUAUUUCAUGUCUUUUAUGCAGAGUAUGUAGAUGAAGAAAGAUUUCAAGUUAUUGGAUCAUUCUUGUAAUCAGACACUUGUGGUGGUGAUCCAUUCCCAAAUUCUCUCUAUUAUGUCAUAACCUGAAACGUGGAAGAAAGAAAACCAAGUGAUCAUUCUUAUUCUUACAAGUUGGUUUUGGGGCUUAAUAUGCCAUCUACCAACUGGUUCAACAGAAGUCCAAACUUUCAAUUUGAUUGUGAUUGUCACUAUUGAGUUGUUGUUUGAUUGUUCAAAUGACAUACAUGAAAUGGCUCUUUGCCAUGAACAAUUGAUCGGGAAGUUUUCUGAACAAUGGUUCAAAACUAUAAUUAUGGUCAGAUUAUUUUGUUAUUAUUGGAAUGUUCACAUAUAUGGUUAAUUUUGAUACAGCAGUCCAUCGGCUUUUAGAUUUACAUUUAUAUUGUGCUGUUGGAUAAUGCUAUAUGAUCUGUUUUGGUGAAUUCCAUACAGCUAAAAAUGAUUGACUUCAAAUCACCAUUCUUGACCAGCCAAUAUCACACUGAGCCCCCGAGAAUUUCAAACAGGUUCUUCAAAUUCACGAGUUCCUGCAAGAACAUUCCCAGAAAGUAUUUUCCGUUUUAACUAUGAUAAGGUGAUCUGUGAUGAAAUCGAGUGUCAUAUGUCUAAAUAACAAAAUCCAUUUACCAAGGGGUACAUUGUAAGAAUGAAAAAGAAAUAGAAUUAAAACCUUUCUACCUGCUCUAAUAUUCAAAAUAUAGUCAUAUAUUCAUCUGUUAACCCUAAAUCAUGGUUAUACAACAGGAUUUGUUUUCGAUUGAUGUGUAUUUAUUAUGCUGAUUUAUUGACCUUGUUCCUUCAUUUCGUCUUUUUUUUUCCCUUCUUAUUUCCUUUUUUCUAUGACUACAUUUCAAUUCUUAGAUUAUUAACAGUACAUCAAAGUUUUCAUCUGCUUCGACAUUUGUUCAACAAAAUAGUGUUGAGGACAUUAGCAUUUCCCUAAGGCUACAUCUGGUUUCAUGAGAGUUUGAGAAAAAGAAAAUAGGAAGGAAAAACAUAAGAAAAAGGAAAAGAAAAUUUACAAUAUUUUUACGUUGUUUGGUUGUCUGGCGAAAAGUUUUAGGAAAACAAAAUUAAGGUUAUAUUUGGUUUCUGGAAAGUAUUAAGAAAAAAAAGUUAAAAAAAAUGAUUUUCUCAUACUCAAUCGCAUUAUUGAAUAAAUGAAAAAAAAUCAAAUAUCAUUAAAAUUUUCCUUCCUUGUUAGAAAACGAUAAAUUUUUCGGUACUUUUGUAAAUGAUAGGCUCAUUGGGAUCAUAUAAAUUUUAAACACCACGACUCAAGUGAGCAAGAGUGGUGGACUCUGCGAGUUGACGGAGCCUCACGCUCAUCAGGCUCCGGAGUGGGGCUCGUACUACAGUCCCCAACUGGGGAACAUCUGGAGCAAGCCAUCCGGCUGGGAUUCUCUGCAUCUAACAAUGAAGCAGAAUACGAGGCUAUCCUGUCCGGAUUGGACCUCGCUCUUGCUCUAUCCGUCUCCAAACUCCGGAUCUACAGCGAUUCACAACUCGUGGUAAGACAUGUCCAGAAGGAAUAUGAGGCCAAGGACGCAUGCAUGGCGCGAUAUUUGGCUAAAGUAAGAAACACCUUGCAAUAAUUCACCGAAUGGACAAUCGAAAAAAUCAAGCGAACUGACAAUGGGCGCGCUGACGCCUUGGCUGGCGUAGCUGCUUCCCUCCCAAUCAAAGAAGCCAUUCUAUUGCCUGUACAUGUGCAAGCCAAUCCCUCUGUCGAAGAAAUCUCCGCUUGCAACACCAUUGAGGCAAAUCAAGCAGACGAUCAAGAAUGGACGUAUAACAUUGCAGAAUAUCUCCGGACAGGGAUUCUACCCGGAGAUACUAAACAGGCGCACAAAAUCCGGGUGCAAGCUGCCCGUUUCACACUGAUUGGGGGGCACCUGUACAAACGAUCCUUCACGGGACCUUACCUUCGGUGCUUAGGGCAUUCAGAGUCCCAGUAUGUGUUAGCUGAAUUGCAUGAGGGAAUAUGCGGAAAUCAUUCCGGAGGACGAUCUCUAGCACAUAGAGCUCAUUCGCAAGGAUACUAUUGGCCAACAAUGAAGAAAGACGCGGCAGCAUAUGUCCAGAAAUGUGAUAAAUGUUAAAGUUACGCCCCCAUUCCACAUAUGCCAUCAGCAAUGUUGAAGUCAAUCUCAGGCCCAUGGCCCUUUGCGCAGUGGGGCAUGGACAUAGUAGGACCCCUUCCAGCAGCACCUGCCCAGAAGAAGUUCCUCCUUGUUGCCACUGAUUACUUUAGUAAAUGGGUAGAAGCCGAAGCAUAUGCUACCAUCAAAGACAAAGAUGUCACCAAGUUCGUGUGGAAAAACAUUGUUUGUCGUUUUGGAAUGCCCCAAACUAUUGUAGCUGAUAAUGGUCCACAAUUUGACAGCACUGCAUUUAGGAAUUUAUGUUCGGAACUAAACAUCCGGAAUUCAUACUCCACACGCAUUAUCCUCAAAGCAAUGGCCAAGCAGAAGCCACAAACAAGACCCUAAUCAAUGCCUUAAAGAAAAGGCAUGAACAAGCCAAAGGGAAGUGGGUGGAGGAGCUACCCGGCGUACUAUGGGCCUAUCGAACUACACCCGGACGACCAACAGGAAACACUCCUUUCGCCCUCGCAUAUGGAAUGGAUGCAGUCAUUCCUACUGAAAUCGGUCUUCCUACUAUCCGGACUGAUGCAACAAAACAAAAUGAUGCAAACACGGAAUUAGGGAGAAAUUUUGAUUGGACAAAUGAAGUGAGGGAAAAUGCAGCCAUCCGUAUGGCAGACUAUCAACAAAGGGCAUCAACGCAUUACAAUCGCAAAGUGAAGCCCAGAAGCUUCAAAAAUGGUACGCUAGUACUUAGAAAAGUUUUUGAAAACACUGCUGAAAUAGGCGCAGGGAAGUUACAAGCUAACUGGGAAGGACCCUAUAUAGUGUCUAAAGCAUGUGAAAAUGGAGCCUAUCAUUUACAAAAGUUAGACGUGAUGAUGCUUUUUAUUACCAUCAAAUAUCAUUUUUAUUUUCGAUUCAAAGCAGCAAUAGUUAUCAAUGAUGGAAAAGAUGAAGAACAGUUAAUGUUAUCAUUGUGUAAAUGAUAACCCAUUACACCAUCAGUGUGAUGUAUAAUAAGAUUUUAACAUAUAAUAGUUAAGAUUAAGCAUAACAGAUUUUAACGUUGAUAGAAUCAGUCUAUGAAAAUGUCAUUUAGCCAUAAUCUAAUUUUUUAUUACCAUUGGAGAUUGUUUCAACGUGAGUUUAUUUAUACUAUUAAUGAAACAAAUCCAUGUUUCAGGAAGAACAGUUAUCAAAGAUGUCAUUUCUAUCAAUAAUCUAAUAUGAGAUUCUAUGUAAAUAUCAUUUUUGAAAACACUGCUGAAAUAGGCCCAAUUUAUCAUUUGCCCGUGAAAAUUUGUAAAUAGAACCGACGAUGUCGUCGUAAAAUGAGAAACCAAAUGAAGAAAGAAUAAACUUCCAUAAAACCUAGAUGGUGUCUAAACGAUGAAAAACCAAAGGAUCAUGUCCCAAUGAUUAGUUAUAAAUGGAAAAAAGGAAUGAGCUUAGAUAGAACCUAGAAAGUUGUCCCAAUGACGAAAAACGAGUAGAGCAAAUAAAUGAACUUAGAUAAAAUUUAGAUGGCGUCCAGUAACAAAAAACAACAAGGAUGAAGAAUAAACAUAGAUAGAACCUACGAUGGUUUCUAAACAAUGAGAAAUUAAAGGAACAAAAUAUUAAGCUUAGAUAGGGCCUGUCCGCGUUCCAAUGAUCACAAACCAAGGUAAAGAAUAAAUGACCUUAGAAAGAACAUACGAUGUCCCAAAAUGAGAAAAUAUCUUAAUGAACUCGAUGUUGUUGAAGAUACUCUUGACUGGAAACAAUUCAAGAUGAUAUCACUGAUAGAAAUGUCUCCUUAAGAUUGAGUCCUCGGGAGGAUGAUGGAAAUUAGUGUUAUCAUUGUGUAAUAUUAUUACCAUCAAAUAUUAUAUUAUGGCUAAAUGACAUUUUCACAGACUGAUUCUAUCAACGUUAAAAUCUGUUAUGCUUAAUCUUAACAGAACCAGUUUCUAUAAGGACUGCUUCAUAAAACUCUCUUGUUUUUAAAAUAUCACCAGAGGGAUAAUGAAAAUUUUCUUGAAAAGCUUUUGCAGCAAUCUCUCUGGGGUUUUCAGAGAAAAAUUAUCUUUCAAUAACCAAAAGAGAUUGAUUUAAAUCAUUUUGCCAAUAUCUUGAUUUUGUUGAAAGAUGUGUGGGGUUGGCAGCCACCACAAUUUGUUUGCUUGAAAAAGAAGAACUUGUUGCUAAUUCCUUUUGAGAGGGAUUAGCCUUAGUAACCUGCUUAAAGGUCUGAGACCCUGAGGUAGCUGGAUAUUGUGUUGCCUUAACUGGUUUAGAAUGAUCAGAAGGAUCAUAGUAUAAGGUCAACAUUUUGUUAGACAUAUGACUGGAUUCAUGCAUAGGUUUAGAAGAAUGAAGCUUUGCCAAAAGUUGUGCUUCUUCCUCUUCAACUUGUUGACUCCAAAGCAUUUUAUGGGUAGAAGGAGAUUGGUUAGCUUGACUGGAUUGGGGCUUUUGAGAGCUAGAAGCUUGGGUAUUCUUUUUAGGGGCCAUGAUCUCAUGAACCCUGCAAAAUUCACGAGAUAGCUAAUUAGGGCUGAAAUAAUCUCCUUUAAUAAAGUAACUUUGAAACUUAGAUUUUAAAAUAAUAUACCAGUUAAUUAAAUCAUACUUAAAAGUUAUAUAUUUAAUUGUUUCAAAAUCUUUGAAAACAAUUUUUAAUAAAAAAUCUUGAUUCAAAAUCCCAAUUUGAAAUUUUGAAAUGCAUAAAGAAAUGCUUAAAAUAUCAUUUAUAAUGAGAUUAUGAAUGAAUUGGGUACUUAAAAUCUUAGGUGGAUCAUUAAUUCUAACAAGAUUAAUCUCUUGAUCACAACGAGUGAUGCUUUCAACAGGAUUAGCAAAUUCAAAAAGAAUUUCCUUAUCAAAAAGCUUAGUUCUUAUACCUUGGUUAUCUACCCACAACGGAUAAAUAGAACUUAAGAAGGGUAUUCCUAGGAGGGCUUUUUCAUUAAGAUCCUUAACACUGGGGCUUAGAAAUUAGUGACAGUUUUUCGGUACUCGAACGGAUUUUACCUUUUGUCGGUACUCGCCCGGAUUAAACAAUUUUUCGGUACUCAGACUGAUUCUACCAUUUUUCCGUACUAGUCCGGACAGUUUUUCGGCACUCGCACGGAUUCCACCUUUUGUCGGUACUCGCCCGGAUUCAACAAUUUUCCGGUACUCACACUGAUUCUACCAUUUUUUCGUACUGGUCCGGACAGUUUUAAGGUGCUCGCACGGAUUCCACCUUUUCCCGGUACUCUUUCGGAUUCAACAAUUUUCCUCUACUCACACUGAUUCUACCAUUUUUUCGUACUGGUCCGGACAGUUUUAAGGUACUAGCACGGAUUCCACCUUUUCCCGGUACUCGCCCGGAUUCAACAAUUUUCCGGUGCUCACACUGAUUCUACCAUUUUUCUGUAGUGGUCCGGACAGUUUUUCGGUACUCGCAUGGAUUCCACAUUUUGUAGGUACUCGCCCGGAUUCAACAAUUUUCCGGUACUCACACUGAUUCUACCAUUUUUUCGUAAUUGUCCGGACAAUUGUAAGGUACUCGCAUGGAUGCCACCUUUUCCCGGUACUCAUCCGGAUUAAACAAUUUUCCGCUACUCACACUGAUGCUACCAUUUUUUCGUACUGGUCUGGACAAUUUUUCGGUACUCGCACGGAUUCCACCUUUUGUCGGUACUCGCCCGGAUUCAACAAUUUUUCGGUACUCACACCGAUUCUACCAUUUUUCCGUAUUGGUCCGGACAGUUUUAAGGUACUCGCACGGAUUCCACCUUUUCCCGGUACUCGCCCGAAUUCAACAAUUUUCCGGUGCUCACACUGAUUCUACCAUUUUUCCGUAGUGGUCCGGACAGUUUUUCGGUACUCGCACGGAUUCCACCUUUUGUAGGUACUCGCCCGGAUUCAAACACUCUUGGUAUAAAGUCGAGCAAAACCAAGGAAAAUGAUGAGGUAGUAGCAAAUCUACAAUGCUUACUUUCAUUCUUUGGUAUCUAUGAAAUGCUGCAACUUUUUGAGGAAACACAAAUUGCAUUGAUGUAGAUACAUAGAAAUCCAUCACUCUAUGCUACAAAAAUAAAGGGAGCAAAACAAUUUGAGAACAAAUGCCACAAUUGUGCAACAUGUUGUGCAACCAUCACUUUCACCAGUGAUGAUGAAAAAAGCAUGACAUCAAAUUUUACCACAAUUGUUUUCAAACCUCGACAUUCCAAUUAUGCUCCUUAAAGCAUGAACCUAAAAUGCAUAUUGUUUCUAUCCUAUAAGAGCUUAAACUAUAGUAUUAAAAAAAAAAAAUCAAGCUUAUGGCAAAAAUAAAAAUAAAAAAAUCUUUUUUGACAAUCUUUUUAAACUAAGGAACAAACUCUUUGUAUUAAAGAAGUCAAAUUCAUAGAUUCUAAACUAAAAUCUCCAACUUCUCUAAAUAAAAGUGUUAUUUUCUUUUAACAUGACAAGUUCUCAAAAUGGCAAUGCAACCCAGAAGCUAAAUCCAAAAAUGAAGGUUCAAAAGUCAUGAUCAAACUCCAAACAUUUUUCAACAAGCUCGUGGAAGAAUAUCAAGCACCAUACAAAAUUGUCAUUCAUCCACCUUCAAAGCUAAAGAAAAUAAGGUUAGGUUCUUCAAAACACUUCAGGAAAUUAUUGAUAAGUUUACUUGAGAUUAGGUCAUCCUUGACCAUCAAUUAAACUUUGCUCCAAGAACACGUGUUUACUACCCUUGGAUUAAAGUCAAGUCUAAGCUCGACACAUUUUUCAACAAUCCUAUGGAAGAAUAUCAAACACAAUACAAAAGUGUCAUUCAUCCAUCUUCAAGGAUGAAAAUCAAGAUGAAUUCAAAGGACCUUAUUUUGUUCUCCAAAAUGCUUAAGAAAGGUCUUCACAAGUUUGGUUGAGAAUAAGUCAUCUUUGACCAUCAAUUAAACUUUGUUUGUGGAAUUGCCUAAGAUUAUAUCAGAAGAUCAAUUGACCGAUAUCCUCACCAAAGCUGUCUCAAGUCAAGUGUUCUCAAAAUUUUUAGAUAAGUUGGGCAUGUGUGACAUCUAUGCACCAACUUGAGGGGGAGUGUUAAGAUAUUAGAAAUGUUUUCCAUAUAUCAUUCUUUCCUUAUAUUAUUUAGUGUUGAGAUAUUAGGAAUGUUUAAAUAUUAGGAAAGUUGAGAUAUUAAGAAUAUUGAGAUAUUAGGAAUAUUGAGAUAUUAGGAAAGUUGAGAUAUUAAGAUAUUAGUUGUUAUUUCCUUAUAUCAUUCUUUCCUUGUAUCAUUCCUUCCCAUUCUUAGAAUGGUGAUUACCCUCUAUAUAUUCUCUGUACAUGAACGAAUGAAAGUAUGAAUGAAAAAACUAUCAUUUAUCAAUUUGAACAAAAUUCACUUUAUUGAGUUUAUCCUAAUAGUAUGAUGUUGAAAACUCAAGCCUGACUCACAUAUACCAAGUUGUUUACUUAGCUUGUUGAAUCGUGAAACAUGAAUCAUUCCUAUUGCGCUACAAAGGGGAUAUCAGGGGUGCUUGUGAAUUUUGUUUCUUAUAUUUGUUGAAUGAUGAGUUUGUCCUUAUUGUGUUUUUAACUCUUUUAUUAUUUAAGGCUUUGUUUUAGAGAGUACACUUGUGAAUUAGCGUUUAUCAUCAUAAUCCUUUACAAGAAAGUAAGCGGUGCAACUAGCUAAGUCCUUAGGCUUAUUUAAAUAAAGAUUCCAAUUGGACAAGUCAAAUUAAUCGGGUUAGAGAAAGAAGACAGGAUAAGAACCCUAACCCUUGUGUCAUAAGGCUGCAAAGGCACUAUCAAGGAGAGGCUUUUGAGAGAGAUACAGGUGAAGUGGAGCCUUUAAUGCUUGGAGUGCUCAUCACACAAAUAGGGGCUCAUCACACAAAUUUUAAACACUUUUACCCUAAACAGAUCAUAUAAAUUGAAUUGCUGAUAUGUCCACGGGCAAAUGAUCGCUGAAACUCGCUGAAACUCACACUAACAAAGAUCCAAUCCACCAUAGCGCAUUGGAUAUUGGUCUUCUAACUUACACUGGGGUACUUCUAGAGAACUCCAAGUCUCCAAGCAUACGCCUCUAUUUCAGGCAUGCCUAUUUGGUUCACUUCCAAGAGUAGCAUGUUAGAGACAUAUCAAAUACACAUACCCACGUCGUGCCAUGUAAAGGUACUUCACAUGUUGAAUAUUGUGUGCAACAUAGGUGGGAGCUGUGGGAUGUAACCCCCGAUCACAUCAACUUGGAAAACAGUUUACUAUGACAAUUUCCUUAAAGGUUCACUUUCUUAGUGUAGCAGAACAAAACGCCAACAGGUUGUUUCAUUAGUUGACUUAUAACCUAUUGAUGAAAUCUCUAAAAGGGAAAUCAGAGCUGUCUGUAUCUUCACGUGUUCUUUGUUGGAAAUGGGAAUAAAGAAUUAGAAUCUUCUCUUUGGGAUGUAAUAUCCAAACAAUGAAAAGAACGAUGAUGCCUAAGAAUCAUGGUUUGAUGCUUCUUCCAACAAUGUGUCCUUGUUAUAGACUAUAGACUCACAUGUGUUUGCAGCCUGCUAAUACCUAUGAUAAAAUCAUCAAUUGCAUCCUUUGAUUAUGACUAUGCAUCUUUUCCUGAGUUAGAAGAAUCUGCGAGAUCCGUGUCUCUCUCAAAGAUAUUACAGGCUAUUCCCUUCUUCAGCUCUGUCAUUCAUUUUCAAACUCCAUAUCAGUCGAGAGAAAAUUUGAUUGAUUUGCUAGACAAGGUAUUAUUUAUUAUAACAAUUUUUUAGGCCAUGUAUCUGUGCUAUGCACUAUGUGGAGUUGGCCGAACCAAGGCACACAAUUGGUAAAAAUUGGAGAGAAAGAGCAUGGUCCAACUGAUGUGAUUUAUGAAGCUUGAAUUUAUUCGAAGGAAAAUGCUUUGUUGCAAGAGUCACAAGCCAUGCCCAACUGGCAUGAGUUUAAUUAAGGGUCAUAUUCCUUUUCUUAGCCAUUGCUUGGUGUUCAGGUCACACGGAUGUUGGACCUCUAGAGUUCACAAGUAGGGGUGAUUAGGCAUACAGGCAUUCCAACCUAUUUUAGUGGAAGGAUGUGCUAUUUGUUUACAUCCAUUAGUUCAUAAGGGAUUCAAUGCAGAUUUUGAUGGGGAUCAAAUGGCUGUUCAUGUACCUUUAUCUUUGGAGGCUCAAUCGGAGGCUCGCUUACUUAUGUUUUCUCAUAUGAAUCUCUUGUCUCCAGCCAUUGGGGAUCCCAUUUCCGUACCAACUCAAGAUAUGCUUAUUCCUGUGCACACCACACAAACCGGCAACCCAUGAUCUUGAAGAGUUGAAAUCAAGCAAUUCUGUUUUGGUAAACUAAUUUUAUCAUUGCAUGCUUUAAAAGAUUGACCUGAUUAAGAGGAUUCAUUACAUACAAGGUAUAAGAAAGUUGCCUUAUUAUCACGUGUCAUUGGAUUAUAAGACUAGGCAAAUGGACAUCCUUACACACCAAAGAACAAUCUAAUACUAUUUUGUAAUGACUUGCUCUUUCCCGUGUAGAUAUUAUCCGUGCUAGAUCUAAUAAGUUAUCAUAAUUUAAAAAAGCGUGUACCUAAGAUUAAAGUGUCCACUGUUCAACACAGGAGAUCUUCCCUCUGAAGCCGGCAAUUGCCUGGUUGGGUGUUGCUAGUGACUAAUUUUCAAAUCAGUUUAGACUUCACAUAUUUUAAAUAAGAUGACUUGAGCUGUAUAGAAAAGGAGAUAUAUUUUCAUGCAUAGAUCCAAUCCUUCUCUUUUUUUUUUUUGGGUAGGAAUGUGGCAUGGUAUUGACAUUUUUGUUCCGACAUUGGGCUCGUGUGCUCGUGACAGACGACAGCGAGGGUACGAAGAGAGUAAAACAAUCACAGACUGCACAGGACAUGAAAAACUCAACGAGGCUAGCGUGUGCGUAUUACAAAGACAAGCAAAUUAGCUGGCGAGAAAUCUAACAGUUAUCUUCAAAUUCAUGAACUAUGGAGUUUGUGCACACUAGAAUACAACGUCAGCCACGCACAUGAAGCCAUUGAAAAGAGGGUUAGAUUUGUCUUUUGGGAAGUAAAGAAAAGAAAGGGAAUUUGAAGCCUUGUGGUACAAACUACUAAGUAACAAAGCAAGGGAUUGGGUUGUUGAAAGUUAAAACCUGAAGGUCAUACCUUUGUGCGAGCCACUUGAAUUGAAGGCCGUUGGAUCACAUGUGACAUGCCAUUGAUCUCUAAAGUUAAUCUUAUAAGUCCCUUGGACCCGUGGGAUGCUGCCUUGUCCUCAUGAGGAAUAUCUUUCCACGGGGACAUAAUAUAUCUCGAAAGCAUUAUUAACAAGACAAAGACAACAACGUCAUCUAUCCCAUUUGAAUUUAAGAUAGAUGCCUUUAUUUCAUGUACUUCUCUCACUUGCGACUUCCGGGAAGCUCUUGAGGUAGGAUUCAUCUCGUUGGACGUGGUUCGUUUCCUGCCUCACAUUGGAUUAAAUUACAUCAUUUCAAAUGAUAAGAUAUAAAUUAAAAUAUAAUUUAAUUAUUAAAUAAUUCUCUAAGUCUUACGGGAAAUUUCUUAAGUCAAUAUGAUCUUUUACACCUUCGAAAACCAUAAUAUAAUCAAUUUUCAUGUCUUUCGAAUUUAGAGUAAAUAAUAUCUAUAUGAUUCAAUAGGGAUCAAUAUAAAUAGUAUUAGAGUCAAUCCUCAACCUUGAUGUAGAGUUUUAUUUAACCUUAUGAGGGGUGUUUAUUUGUUUAAUUUCAUGAUAUAGUGAAAUAUAAUUAGGGAUCAUUAUAAAUAGUAUCAAAGUCAAUUUUCAACUCCGAUGUAAAAUUUUAUUUAAUCCUUUAUGGGGUGUUUGUUUGAUUUCAUAAUCCCGUGAAAUAUAAAUAGGAUUUUGUAUUUAUAUAAAAGAUGUUUGUAAUAUCUCCUAUUUUACGAUGAAAAAAAAUUUCUUAAUAUUAUAUAAAUAUAAACUCUUUCUAACUUGUUAAUGUUAAUAUGAUUAACCUUUUAUAUUUAUAAUUUAAUUCACCUGUUAAUUUGAAUAAAUCAAAUAUAGAUGGAAGAGAUGGAGAUUAUAAUUAGGAUAAUUAAUAUAAUGAUUAUUAAAUUGAUUUUCGAAUUAAAUAAUUAAAUUGGUUUCAAAACACAAAUUGAAUCUGAUUCCACACGAAUUUUAUCGAAAUAUGAUUGUACUCUAUCCAAGUGUGGCUUUUUCUUUUUGUUUUCCAAAAGCUAAAAAUAUAAUUUAUUUUAUUUUAUUUUAAAAUUUGGCCCAGUGCGGGCCCCGGGGGGCCAAGGCGACGGUCUGACAGCUAAGAGGAAUUAUUAAUUAAUGACUAAUACUAGUCAGCAGGGAGGUGGCGGAAUUAAUAACUAGUACUAGUUAGCAGGCAGGCGGCUGCGAGUGGUGACUAAUGCGAAGCAGUGGAGCAGUGGAGGAGGACCUAAUUGAACGUCAACUCUGAAACUAAAACCAGAGAAAGAAGGAGAAAAACAAUGGCACAGCCAUGGAAGAAGAAAACAUGUUACUGGAUGAAGGCGAUGCUUCUUGCUUUGUGGUUUUCUGGGAUCCAUGUGUUGGCUGAUGCGGCUGCAGCUGUUUCCAAGGAACAAAAUCAAUUGCGGUUCAGCAAGGAGGGGCAGUUCAAGAUACUACAAGUUGCGGACAUGCACUUUGGUGAUGGCAAGUCCACCCCUUGCAAGAAUGUUCUCCCUAAUCAGAUGCGCGGUUGCUCCGACCUCAACACUUCCGCUUUCAUUCAUCGCAUGAUCCAAGCUGAGAAGCCUCAUCUCAUUGUUUUCACGGGUAUUUUCUUCCAUUUUCUUUAUUAUUGUGUUUCUUACCAUCUGUUUGGGAAAUUAGAGAGCCGAGUGAAUUCCCAUCUCCCAAGAAUUUUCCCCAAAACCCCUAAAGCCUUGUAGUUGGAGUUGAUUUAUGCAGGCGAUAACAUAUACGGAAAAGACGCCAAAGAUGCAGUGGCGUCUUUGAAUGCUGCAUUCGCACCUGCGCUAUCAUCAAACAUACCCUGGGCUGCUGUUCUCGGCAACCACGACCAGCAAUCCACUCUCUCAAGGGAAGGGGUGAUGAAAUAUAUAGUCGGCAUGAAACACUCCCUGUCUCAGUUGAAUCCCCCCGGGGUUAACAUUAUUGAUGGUUUUGGGAACUAUAAUCUGGAGGUUAGCGGGGUUGAGGGUUCUAGUUUACAUAACAAAUCAGUU